ACAUCCAAACAUUCAACAAAACACUUAUUCCUAAAUUUUGCCUACCCGAACCUAUAUUUGCCUACCAAUUUUGACCUAUCACGAUACUAUCAUGUUUAACAACAUAAACAUUUAUUUCAAAUCAAACCACUAACAGGAAUCAAAAUAAAUUCACGUCCACACAUAUCAAUGUCAAUACCUCCACAAAUUAAAAUCUACUCCAAAUGAGUUCAAAUCAUUUCCGAUUAAUUAACCAAUUUCAACAUAGAAUCACCCAAAACAAUUAAAGUUACUCAACCAACAAUCAAGAUCACUUCAUCAACCAAAGCAUUCCAUCCAUAACACUGGAUAUCGUAAACAAAGAAAUAAAAGAAUAGAGAUUAAAAAUGGACCUCGAUUCGGAACUUUUGGAGAAUAUUACUUGAUAAAAUAAAGAAAUCCACCUCCGAGAACCUCAACUCGAGCCACAAAAAUGACAAAGAUCUUCUCGGUAUCUAUAAAUAAGGAUCGAAAUCAACCCAAUCUCUCUGAAUUACCAUUGACUCCGGUGGUUCUAGCGUUUUCAGGCUAAGACGUCCAAAAAUCAAAGGAAAAAAAGGAAAUCUCGAUGAUUUUGAGACUGAUUCGAUCGAACUGAUGAUGAAAACUAAUUUCAGCACUGAUAUCAUCGGAAACAGCUCGAAAAAAGGCUGGUUUUCUCGCUGUUUUUCGAGUCCUUUGCUGAAUCUCCAUCGAACACCCUCUACUCCCUCAUUUUCUCCUUCAAUCCCACCAUUUUCUUACUUUACCCUUGUACGCAUCGCUUUUUCAUUGAAGACGAGUCUGGUGAGAUAUCGGCACCGGUGGCUGUGCCAUUCGUGUCGCGACCUUGCCUAUUCUCUCUCCUCUCUCGCUGGUUUGCCCCGAUCUACUCCCUCCGUUCUCUACUCUCUCUCUUCAUUAAUCUCUUUUUGUUACUCACUGUUAUGUGUAUCUGUGCAUUAAUAAAUUCGUUGUGUAUUUAUGUGUAGUGUGUAUAUGGUAUAUGGAAGAAGAGAAGAUGGUCAAUGUAUGUUGUGUGUGUUGUGUGUCAAUGGAAUAGAAAAAUGUUGAAGUUUUUCGUGUGGGAUUCUGUAAGCUUUUUUGUGUAUUUUCUCGUGUAUGUCGCGUUUUUCGGUCGCCCUCCCUUUUUUCGGUGAGAUCUUUAUAUGUCUGUAUCUAUAUCUCCUCUCUAUUCGUUACCCUCUCUCUCUCGAUCUACUCCAUUUUUCUCUAUGUAUGUGCGAUUUAGUGUGAAGAUAUGUGUGUGUGUCGAGAGGAAGAAAAAAAAAGAGAAAAGAAUGAAAUCUCUAUGGGUGAAUUGUGUGUGCGCGUUCUGUCGUGAAGAAGAAAACUAAAAGAAAAAUGGAGUUUUUUUCUUUUUUUUCCUUCUCUCUCAGAUCUCUGUGUGUGUGUUUAUGGUGUAUUGUGAGAGGACGAUGGAUGAUCUCUACGUAUUAUUUUUUCUUGUGUUUGUAUAACCGUGAGGUUUGGGUGGGGACCACGUGGGGUAUAGGGGUAGUGGUGAGGUGUAAAAAAUUAGUUAGGAUAAGAUAAAACUUUGUUAUUGAUUUGGUUAUUUUUGUAUUUUUGUGGGAUGUUAUCACAUGGGUGAGGGUGUAUGAUAACGUGGGGUAAAAAUGGAUGAAUUGAGUUUUGGGGAGGGACAAAUUAGGUGUCUACAUAUGGUAGGAGAAUUAAUUAAUAUUUUUCUUUCUACUAGACUUCCUAAAAUAUAUGUGACUCCUAAAAUAUAUGGUGGGAGAAUUAUUUGAUAUUUUCCUUUCUACUGUUCGAUUAGAAAAAUACUCCUAAAAUAGGUCUAUAUUAAAGAAAUACUUCUAUAAAUAUUGAAAUGUACAUUAAACUAGAUAACAAAUCGGUUUGCCUAUUGGGAGAAUAUGAUUGGUGCUAAUCUAACUUGAUUCGAUUGCAUGUCUAGAUAGUGGAUGCUUGAUUUUUAACCCUCAACUUCUUUACUAUUUUUGUCAGCAUAAUAGAACUCAACAUGUAUGUAUAUAUAUAUCUUCUUUAUUUUCAUUCAAAAUCAUUCUUUAGGAUCAUAAUUUUUGCUCAGACAAGAAUUAGUUGGACUAAAAUCGAAGCUUUGUGACCACUAUUAUAUUUUUUUUAUAGUUUACAGGUCGUAGAUAAACAUCAGUUAGCUUUGAAGAAUUUCUUGUGUAAAGGUUAAGUUUAAUUGUAUUGCUUUGAUAUCUUUAUUAUCUUAUUAUUUUAUUUUAAUUUACAGAUGCUAGAUAAAUGUGGGUCGGCUUUGAAAUUUUUUUUAGUUAAAGGUUAGGUUUAAUUGUAUUAUCAUAAUAUCUCUAUUAGUUUAUUAUUUUGUGGUAGUUUACAGUUUGUAGAUGAAUCUCAAUCGAUUUUGAGAAUUUUUUGUGUGUAAAAUUUAAGUUUAAUUAUAUUCUUUUGAUAUCACUUUUAUCGUAUUAUUUUGUUACAAUUUACAGGUGAUAGAUAAAUGUUGGUCGGCUUUGAGAAAUUUUUUAAUGUAAAGGUUAGGUUUAGUUAUAUUAUUUUGAUAUCUCUAUUAUCGUAUUAUUUGUUAUUAUUUACAGGUGGUAGAUAAGUGUCGGACGACUUUGAAAAAAUUUUGUGUGUAAAAAUUAGAUUUAAUUGUAUCAUUUAAAUGUCUCUAUCAUUGUAUUAUUUUGUUGCAAUUUACAAAUGGUAGAUAAAUGUCGGUCAACUUUUAAAAUAUUUUUGGUAAAGAUUAGGUUUAAUAAAUAAAUUCUCCAUCUUUACGUACUCAAAAGAUAUUAAAUUUAAUUAGUAUAUUCAUUUUUAUUAUUCACACAAAUAUCCUAUUUAAUGUAAUGUUUAAACUCAUUAAAAUGAGGUACACGUGCAAUGCGCGUACACCUAAACUAGUUACAUAAUAAAUACGUACCUUAUAAAGGAUCUCAUGCUGAUAAAAUGUUGAAAAUAAAUACACUAUAAUAAACUAAAACAAAAAGGAGGGAGAGAGACCUAUAGAUAUAAGAAAAUGACUUUAUUUUCUUUUUGGUGUGUUUUUACAAUGCAGUAUGCAAUGCCUUUUAUAGGCAAUAGUAUGUGUAGUCUGUGAAAAUACAUUCACAAAAGAAAUAACUUCUUUACAUGCUAUAAUAGCAUGUGUAGUAUGUGAAUAUCCACAGAAGAAAUAACAUAUUUACAAUAAUGAAAAAGUUAUUUGUUUUAGGAGUUAACUAUGUUAGAACUUUCUUUGGAAAACAUUUAAUUUUAUCUAGUAAUAUUUUAAUUUUAAUUUUUAUAUGACAUGUUUAAGAUCACGUGAUUAAAAAAUAAUUUGAUAUAUCUGACAUAAUUUAAUUUAAGAUCAUAAAAUUUAAAAAAAUAUAUUUUCUUUAACUUUGUGUCAAGUUAAAAUAGAUCAUGGAGGGAGGAUUACAUUAGCAACUCUUAGACUUGACAGUUUUUUCUGUAUAGGCACCUUAUUAAGAUCGUGUUACUAUUGAACUCCUGAACUCCUCAUAAAAAAUGUAUCUAUUAAAAAUACAUAUCAAAUGCAUCCCACAUGGAAAUUACAAUCAAUUAAAAUGUUGCACCCAUUUUUGUUUUACACUUCAUUUAUGAUUUUUAUUAAAAAAAAAACUCUUCGAUCACCACCCAUCCUUGUCGAAAAGCUAAUGUCAAAGAAAAACCUAGAAAUUUUUGUGUGAUUUCAUUAGUUUUCUCUUACAAUAGACGAUAUAUUAUGCUAUUGACAAAGAAAAUCCUAUAAUAUCGUAGUGUUUUGACUAAUUUGAGGAAAGAUAGCAUCAAAAAAAUAGGGGAAAAAGCAUAAAUAUCCCCCAUAACUUGUCAUCACAACUUAAUUUUAGCACUUAAACUUAAUUGGUAAUUAUUUAUCCCCUUAACAAUUUUAAAACGUAUUAUUUUUCUCCCUUCGUGGCUUAGACCAAGUCAAGUCUAGGUGUUGUAUAAGCACUCGCAAUUUGAUUCAUCCACGUCAUUAAUGAAUCAAAUUUAACCCGAUCCGCAUCAAAUUAUUUUGAAAAAAAAAAUAUUUUUUUAUAUUUUUAAAAAUUAUUCUUUCUUUUUUCACACACCAACCACCACAGACCCACCGCCACCGCACAACUAGCUAUUUUUCAUCCACUUCGUUACCGCCGUCGGGGGAUUCACAAAGCUCAGCAAUGCUGAAUAAGGUGAAUAAGUGUAUUCGUAAUGCUGAAUAAGGUGUAUUAGUAAUGCUUGCAUUAUAAAUGUAAGUACUAGUAAUGCUGGUAUUAGUUAUACAGACAUUAUUUCAUUCACAGUGUUUGGUUUGAUAUAUUAAAAAUAAUAUAUAUUUACAUAAUUUUUAUGUAAAAAUAUUUAUUUACCAAAAUACCCUUCUUUGUGUCCUUUCUUUCAAGCAUAAAAGUAGCAACAACUACUUGUCAAAAAAUCCAAGGAAGCACCCAUGACUGCAUAAAGUUUGAAGUGUUUCUAGAUUCCUAACGGAUCACCGUAACAACUUUCAAGAAUCAAAUUCAUAUUACCUUCCAACUUUUACACUUCGAUAGUGAUAUAUUUCCCAUCAAACUGACAUCAUAGUCAUUAGUAUUUUUUUUUUUCAUAUGAUAAUUUGCCUUCUUCUUUUUUUCAUCUCAAGCUUGUAAAUAGUAACAUUUUUGUUCUCGAGGAUGAGAAUGAGGUCCAUAAAAUUGGACUAGUUUCAAUCACAUUGAUACUACUAUUUCAAUAUCUCAUCUGAGAUACUACCAUGCUCAUGGCUAGCAGCAGGUGAGAUAUUGAAAUGGAGGCAGCAACAGCUCAAAUCAUAGCAGCAAAAAAGCUGAAAAGGAGGGGUAACUUUGACAUUUAACAAGUUAAUGCAUGUGUUUAGAAUCUUUGUAUUACUAAUACAUGGGAAAUGGUGUGUAUUGUUAAUACACACCUCAAUACACAAUAGAGUGUAUAAUUAAUAUUUGCAUUAGUUAUACAUAGGCUAAAAAAUGUAUCAAACAAUGUACCAAUAAUGCACAUUAACUAAUGCAUGCAUUAUUUUUUUCAAUAUAUUCUACCAGACGACCCCUUAAUGUCUAUCACCGCAACUCCACAAUGUCCAUCACCACCGUUAACUCUACUCCACAAUAUUUACUACCAACAGUUUUGCCAUUUUCACUGAUAUGAACUUUAAAAUUUUUUGAGAUGGUUGUAAAUUUGACAACACUCAUCACCAACACCAACAAUUUCACAACACCCAUUACCAACACCAAUAACUUCACAACACCCAUCACCAACACCAACAAUUUCACAAUAUCCAUCACCAAAAUCAACAAUGUCAGCUAAAAAAUAGGCAGCAAAAAAUCAUGCGAAAAUUUUUUUAUAAUGAAAUUAAAGAAUAGUGACAGGAGAUUGAUUAAAGUGGUGAAGAAUGAAAAAGGAUGGUGGUCUGCAUGGAGCGGUGAAAGAUAACGCCAUAAAAAUGGAACAACAUUGUCAUCAUCAUCAACACCAUAGUAUCCACCGCCGACACACAAAAUUCACCAUUAACAUCAGCCAUCGACAUGAACAAUUCUAUUUUCCCAAUUGAAUACCCUCCUCAAAAUCUGUAAGGUAUAUCGAUUACACUCUUUAAUAAUUCAAAUAUACACCCCGAAAAGCUUUAUCCUACCCAAAAAAUUAAAGUCUUUUUUUUUACUUUGGUGAAAUGAAAGAUGUGGGAUGAAAAUGGUGACAGGGGAGGAGAAAUGAAUGAAUUAACCGAAGAAGAAAGGUGGGUGACAUCUGUGGUUGUGAACAAGAAGAAAGGUGGAGUGAUAACGUAAAAAGAAAUAAAUAUGGGAUCAAUUUUUUUUUUUAAGUUUCACGCGAGUUUGAGCGUGUGGGAACACUUUCUUCAUUAGAGGAGAUAUCAAAUUCACUUGAAACAAUAAUAAGGGGGUAAAUAAUUACUUAUAAAGUUUCAGUGCUAAAAUAAGUUUUCGAUACAAGUUUAGAGAUGUUUUUAUGUUUUUUCUCAAAAAAGAAUACAUUCAAAAAUUACUUUUAGUGAUAAGUUGUGUCCAUGCAUGAGAUCUUCAAUUUAGUAUUAACCUCACAUCGACAGAACAUAAUUACAGUUAAAGACGAUGCAAUUGAUAAAUUUGACAUGCUAGUUUCAAAUGAGAAAAAAGAAAUCUUUGAGCUCCAAGUGAAUCUAUAUAUAAUAUAAAGGAAGAUAAUAGAGAAGGUGAUGUGGCACCUCUCUAUCACCUUCAUUUAUAUUUAUUUUUUUCUCAAUUUUUUUAUAAUUUUUUCCUACUUCAUCCUAUUAGUUAGCUUAUACUUAUUAAAUAAAUAUUAAAAAUCUAAAAGUCUCUUUCCUCCAUAAUUAUUUGUAUUAAACUGAAUAACUAAUACUUAUUAAUGAAAUAUGUUAUUCAUCUUCUCCUCUUCCCUAUGGAUUUUGCCAAUUCUGUCAAUAAUUAUUUUAAUCUUCAAUUAAAUUGAACAACUAAUGCAUAUAAUGACGCUUCCUUUUUUAUCUUCUAGGAAUGAAAGGUUUUUUUAUGUUACAUAUACUUUUUGCAUUUUUAUGUGCCAUUUUAAUAAAAGUAAAAUAAAAACUCUUCCUUUCAUAAACCACUGUCUUUUGUCUAUACCACAUCAAUGAAUACAGUUUUUGAUGAAGUAAUAUAUUAUCAUUUGAUACAACAAAAAAAUUGGUAAUGGCUUUUAAUUGAAUGCUACUAUUUUUGUAGUAUUUUUGUUGCUUCCUCUUCUCAUUCAUUCUCUAGUUUAAUCCUCACUCCAAGUGAUGAAUAUUUAAGUAUUCCUAAUUGAAGAUUGUUGUUGUCACUUUUAUGAAUGGUAAUAGGUAUUGUAUUUUGCUAUCAAUAGCCUUAAGAUUUUAUCGGUUUUUUUUGCUAUUAGAUAUUAUUUAUUUAUUAUAUUUGUUUACCUUAACAAAUUAUCCAUCAUCUCUAAAUUUAUCUAUAUGAAAUAUUUAUUAUUGAAAAAAAUAAAUUAUAAUUUGAAAUUGUUGACAGUGAUUUGAUGAAUACCAGGAGCGUGUAAUUUUCUUGGGAAAAUUUGCCCUCCAAAUUGGUGGUUGAAAUUCAUUCAAAUUUAUCAUAAGUUGAAACAAGAUGAGUACUCAAAUUGGAUUUUGCUUUAACAAAUAUCAAAAGGUCUCUUCUUUCUUCUCUUAUGCUAUUUAUUCAUUUAUAUUCCCCUCUUAUCAUCUUGAUAUAACAUAUUAUUUAUCGUUUCUAAAUAUAUAUAUCAAGAACAUGUCAUUCUCUUGGAGAAAGUUGUCAUAACAAUUAAUGGUUGAAACUCAUUCAAAUUUAUUAUAACUUGAAACAUAAUGUGAACUUGAGAACUUGAAUUGUAUUUUACUCUUAAAAAAAAUCGAAAGGUCACUUUUUUCUUUCCUUAUGCUAUAUAUCUAUCUAUCUAUACUACCUUAAAAACAUGAACUUAAAAAUUUUAAAGUAGAAUUACUAAAAUGCCCUAAACCUAUAUACCUUAUUUAUUAUAAAUUAAAUUUAAAAAAUAAUAUAUGCAACAAAUAUAUAUAAAUAUAUCAUGAUUUAAACAGAUUAUCUAUAAUUUCUUAAUUUAUAUACAAGAGAUAUUAAUUGUUGAGAAAACAAAAUCACAAUUUGAUUUUGGGAAGUUAUUAUUUAUUGUUUGCUUCUAUAAAAGUCGAGAAGCAUUGUCGGCAAAGGUUCUUUCAAGGUCACAGAAGUUCGAACAUGGAUUAUUCUCCCUUUAGAUCUCAUCCAAACAGUGCUUUCUUAUUUUUUAAAAAUAAAUUAAAUUAGUUUUUUUAGAUUUGUGCUAUCCUUAUAAUUAUAUUGAAAGUUAAGUUGCUUAAAAUUACUUUAUAUUAAUUGUUUAUUGGACCCUUUUAAUUUUUGGACUUUAAAUUCUUAUUUUAUUCGUAUUUUUUCUUCCUUUAUUUUUUUUUUCCCUUGAAAAAAUUGAUUAGUAUCUAGAGAUUUGUUCUCAGUCGUCAAAAAACAUAAAUGUUCGAAAAGAAAUUCUUUGAUUGUAUAGAAAAUAGACAAUUUUUGCUUUCGUUUCAAUUAUUUAUCGAACAUUUGUAUGUCAUAAAGUUUGAUUAUAAUUUUUGAAAAAUAAAAUUAGUAAUGGCUUAAAAAAAUAAAAUUUAGAAGUGAAUUUAUUUAAUUUAGGAAUAAAAAAGAGCGAAUUGUGUUCAAAUAACUUUUAACACGGAUAAACUCAUUUUUGUUAUGAGCUAAAAAAUAUUUUAAACAAAUAGUUAGAAUACGAGCACAUGCAGAUUAAAGAAAUCCAAGUUGAAUUAUCAUAGUUAAUUUUAAAUUUAUUAUAGUUACAGAGAUCAUGAAUCUUAAAAUUUGAAUAUGUUCGAAAUGUGGUGGAAUGCUUUAUCAUUUUUUCCCCUAAUAUUAUCCUUAUUAAGUGAGUAUAUAAAGUAUUUAAUAAAGUUAUUAAUAAAUACUUUCAUGGAUGUGAUAAGUCAACAUUGAUCAACUAAACUAAAAAAUGAAAUGGAGGAAAUAGUAAUUUCAAGCUUUCUUAUUGUAUCAAGUGUAAGUUUAAUUUGUUAGAAUGAUAUUUGCAAAUCCCCAUUUUAUACAAUUUUAUUGUUAGUUUAGUGAAUUACUCCAAUAGUGAACGAUUACAUUAUUGGAAUUGGCUUAACUUACAACUCGUGAUAAAAAAGAAGAACAUAAUUAUCACAUUUGCUCUUGAACCUGAUUAUUACCUAAUGACACUAUUUAUUGUUAAUAAAAAUUUUAAUAUUUUAUUUAUUUUCUUAAUGUACAAAUAAACGUAUCAUUAUUUGUAUGCUAGGGAGAUUUAAGAUGAAAUUAAUGCAAUUCUAAUUUUACCUACUAAUUCUUUUAACUACUCAUCGAAUCAUUCUUAAUUAGAUAAAAAUAUAAAACAAAAUUCAUUGGUUAUAUAAAUAUAUGAGCUUUCUUAUUUAUUUAAUUUUAAUUUUGGUAAAUUUAGUGAUACUGUUUAAAUUCAUUUAUUGGGAUAUUAAUAUAAAUGACCGCGCAAAGCAUGGAUAAUUUUACUAGUUAUAGCAUAUGGGGGGAAAAGAGAGAGAUGAGUAAUAAGAAAAGAGGAAAAAAAUUAGGGCUAAAAAUUAAAAGAGUGGUUAAAAUCACAUUAACAUUUCUUUUACAUUUUCACGCGCUCAAGCAAUGCAAAACACAUAAUAUGUGUGUGUUUAAUAAAUACACUUUAUGAGGAGUUUAAUAAAUACACUUUAUGCGGGGUUUAGAGGUUCAAUAGAAACAUAGUCUUAUUAAGGUGCUUGCAUAAAAAAAAAAAAAAACCAGACAGGUCCAAUGGCCUAUUUAUGUAUUCCGUCUAAAUGUUUUCUAGACACUUACAUUAAUAAACUUUAGUUAGACAUGAAAAUUAUACUUCCUCUAAAUCAUAUUAACUAUAUAUGAGGCAGUGCACACAUUUUUUUUAAAAAAAUUAAGGCAUAGAUUGAACGUACUUUCCACCUGUGCCCUUUUAAUUAUUCUCAAUCUAUUCUUAAAAAUAAAGAUAGUCAUUACUCAAAAUGGUUGAAAAUUUCUAACACCAAAGAAAUAAUUCAAAGUAAAAUCAUUAACAUGAGCAAUUAAAUCUCUUAAACUUAUUAUUUAAAAAAUAUGAAUAAAAGACAAAAAUGAAAGAAAUUUCUAACAACUCUCUUGAACAUUAAACAAUUAACUUAUUUUAAAAAUUUUAAAAAAAAUUAGAAUUUAAUUAUUAUGGACUAGAGUAUAAUAUAUUUUAAUUAUAUAUAUACGUGUGUGUAUGUAUGUAUAUAUAUGACAUUUAUGAUUUUUAAUUCAAUUAUUUUUUUAGUGAUAUUUUCACUAUAUAUGUCAAAUUUGUCAAAGUUAAAGUUUGCAACAUUUGACAUUAUUGAAAAUUUUGAAUUCUCGAUGUUAAAAUUCAAUACAUAAGAUAAUAAAAUAUCAAGUCUUUGUUGAGUAUCUUAGAAAUGAUGAGUACUUUAAAAUUCAAUACAUAAAAUAAUGGAAAAAUUACCUAAAUAAACAACAUAAGUUUCUAAACUUCUAAAAAUUCCCCUACUUCUUAAAAAUUAUUUAAAUCCCAACAUUUCAUAUUUUUUAUUAAUUGUGAGAUACAAGUUAACCCUACAACUAAAAAGGCAGCUCUUUACCAAAAAAUACUCCACGUCUCCUCUUUGAACGGCGCAAAAUCUGGCCAUUUUCUAUCCAUCUUCUCUAUCUGAUUCAAAAAAUUUAACCAGGGUAAUUUUGCCCCAUAAAAUCAGUUUCAAUUUAUUUAAUUUCUUUUUUACAUUUUUUUUUUCAAAAUUUUUUAUGCCACAAGUAAAGCUAUCUGAAAGUUGAGUAUUUUGGUAGAGAGAUUUCUUCAAUUUCACUUUUUUUUUUUUUGCUCCAUUGUUUGAAUUAUCAACAUGAAUAGAGAGUCUGAACCUUCUUUUAGUUUUGGGGUUUCUCAAUUAGAAUGUUUCAAAGAAUCUUAAGAAGUUGUAAACUUUGUUUCGGGAGAUUUUGACUAUGAAAUUGAUGAUUUUCAUGAAAAUAGGUCAAACAUAGAAACGAUCCUCAAACUAUGAAGAAAUUACGUCAAAAGAUUUCUAAGAAGGACAAGAAAAAAGAAAGUGGUUCUAAGAAAAGAGGACACAACAGUCCUGAAAGUAAAGCUCCCGUCAAGAGAAGAAGAAUUGUUGAAGAAAUUUGUAGAGAUGAGCUUCCUAAGGUAAUUGCAUGUACAGAUUUGUUCAAUUUUAGGCCGAGAUACAUAUUUUGUGAUGGAUGAUACGUUUGAAAAUUUAUUUUUUAUCUGGUGCUUUGUUGCUAAUAAUUUAUAUGUAUCUUGUGAUUUAUUUUGAUAUUGUAAUUAAUAUAACAAAAGAUACAAGUUUCUUGUUAUUAGAUACAUGUUAUGUUAUCUUGUAUCUGUGAGUUGUUGUUAAUGCUUUGAUAUGUAUCUAUUGGUAUUUAAACUUGACUGAAAAUUAUAUUAUAAGAGAUACAAGUUAUGAAUUCAUAGAUACAUUUUAUGUUAACUUGUAUCUGGCACUAACUGUUAAUUGCUUGAAAUGUGUCUAGUGUAGUUUAAUUGUUAUUGAAAGUUAUAUAACAAAAGAUACAAGUUUCUCGUCAUUAGAUACAUGUUAUGUUGUCUUGUAUCUGUGAGUUGUUGUUAAUGAUUUGAUAUGUAUCUGUCGGUGUUUAAACUUGAUUGAAAAUUAUAUUAUAAGAGAUACAAGUUAUGACUUCAUAGAUACAUGUCAUGUUAACUUGUAUCUGGUACUAACUGUUAAUUGUUUGAAAUGUAUCUAGUGUUGUUUAAUUGUUACUCAAAAUCAUAUAACAAAAGAUACAAAUUUUUUAAUAGAUACAUGUUAUGUUGACUUGUUUCUGGUACUUACUGUUACUUUCUGAAAAUGUAUCUAGUGUUGGUUUAAUUUUUAUUGAAAGUCAUAUUACAAAAGAUACAAGUUAAUACCUACAUACAUACAUGUUGUAUUAACUUAUUUCUAAAGUAUAUUGUUAUUAGAGUAUUUGUUUUUAUUGUAAUGUCUUAAUGUAGAGUUGUUGCAUAUAGACUAAUUUUUUCAUUAUUGUUUCUUUUUGUUUUAGGAAUUGAGUUAUGUUAUAAAGAAAAUUUCAAGUCAUCCUCUUAGAUUUGUAAGUUUAUGCAAUUUAAGAUUCAAGGAUGAAAUUAAAGAAGUUGUCGGGCAAGAAGUGUUAUACUUAUUUGAGAGGACUAUCUUCGGAUGCUAUCUCAACAUACCUAUUUCUAAUUAUAUUGGACAAAUAAUAAAAUAUAUUCUUUUGCUCGAGAUCGAGCAACCAAAUCAAGAAGAGAUACAUGUUUUUGUCAAAGGCCAGAUCCUUAAGAUUUUUCAUCAAUGAAUUUGCUUUGAUUACUGGCUUAAACUAUUUUGAAAAUGUUGAUGAUUUCAAAUAUGAAGAUUCUUCUCCGAGUAGGCUUAUGAAAAGGUAUUUUUCAUAAUCAACCAAUGGUGUAGAUAAGGAGGCAUUGAUGGAAUGUUUUCUAAAGGAAAAUUUUGAAAACAAAGAGGAUGUCCUCCAGAUAACAAUCCUAUAUUUCAUACACACUUUUAUCUACUCACAGUUGAAUGCUUAUCCCGUGCCAUUUUUUGAUUUCAAAAUGGUUGAAGAUGGAAAAUAUCAAUUCUUUUCUUGGGGUAAAGUGUCUUUCUCCAGGUUGAUGGCCUCACUUAGGCAAGAAUUUUCAAUGGAGAAGCAAAUUUAUAGGUUAGGUGGCAUCCCACAGGUUCUUAAUGUGUGGAUGUUUGAACUUUAUUCACAUGUUGAAUCCAAAGUUGCUGUUAAGGAGGGAAAUAACACACCUCCCAUAUUGAAUUGGAAGGUUGUUGUAGUUCGGCCUCAGUUUAAUCAGUUUAUGACCGAAAUGUUUAGCAAGGUACGAUAAUGAUUGAACUUUUUUCAUACAUUGCAUUAUAGUUUUUGUAGUUUUAAUCGUAAUAAUAUUUAAUGAAUAAUUUUUUUGUACAUAGUAUUCAUAUGUCAACAUUGCUCCUACUGCGGACGAGUUUGAAAAACUUGAUUUGGCACGCAUUAGUUUUGCAUCUGAACGGCAUGGUACAUCUUCGAUGCCAUCGUCACCUAAAUAUCAAGAUCGGAGGAGUUACAGAGUCAAUGUACCCCAAGUUACCGAAGAUCAUGACAGUUUUGAUGACUUCAGUUCUACCCUUCCAUAAUUUUUGAUGAGGUAGUCGAUACAUGUAUCUCGUACAGUAUCUAAACCUAUGACAAAGACUGGAAAAGAUGUUCCGAUAGAAAGAAGAUCAGAUCGUAAAAAACAAACACAGUUACGAGACGCAGAAAAAAAACAGACAACAGAUAUUUUCCUUAUCAACAUAUUUUAUAUUUUUCUCAUAAUGAAAACGUUUCUAUAUUGUGUUAUUUUUCAUGCUUAACAAAUGCUGGCGAAACAAGCAGAUAUGAAAGAAAAGAGUAAAGUUGAUGCUGAUUCAACAUCCACAUUAAACAGGAAAGACCUUGUGGUUAAAGCGGACCUACAUUUGUUAGAGUCCGAAAUGAAGGCAUACAUGAAGACAUACGUAAGGAUCUACAAUUUAUUGUUGUGUAAAUUUAUUAAUUGUAUGCAUUUUAACUAAUCAACUUGCAUAUUUACUAGAUUGACAAAAAUUUAAAGAUUUGGAGCGUCUGAUGAACGCUAGAUUCACUGAAGUUUUGAAUUCAUUGGAGAAGAAAAAUGAGAUUGUGAAGCAGGUAAGAUGCUGUAAAACAACACACAUUUAUUAACGAGUAUAUUGAAAUAAUUCAUGCUUCUCAUCCUUCAAUUUUAGGAAAAAAUUGCAAAACAAAGCCCGAAAGAGGCUGCACAUUCAGAUGAUGUUGCUGAUUUUGAAUGCCAUACUAAUCCCGUCAAUCCACAUUGUGUCUAAAAAAAAACAGAGAAAAUGGAGGUGCUCAUUAGUACAUAUUUACUAUUUGAAUUAUCUUAUAAAAAAAUAUUUAUAUGUAUCAAUAUGUACUUACUUCUCAAAGGUAGUAAUUAACUAAUUAUAUUAUAUUAAUUUUUUUUAUUCUCUGAUAAAAAAUCUGCAGGAAACUAUUGUAAAACAGAGCCGGCAAGAAUGUGAUCCUUCAGUUGUCGUUGUUGAUAAUGCAAGACCUAGGAUUACUGACAAUGUAGUGAAAGAAACUGACAAAUCGAUUGAAAUGGAGGAUGAUAAAGCCAACCAAGCACCAUCAUUUCUCAAGAAGGGUGAACAACAUGAAAAGGUAAUAAACAUUCAUUAUGUGUUUUCUAAUUGACAUGACUAUUUUUGCAUACUUGAAAUGAUAAAUGUAAACUAAGUCAUAUAUGUAAUCAACAUUUACAUAUCUUGUACAAUUUAGUUAAUUUAGUAGUAAGAAUCUAAUUCACUAAAAAAAAUGAACACAGUUAUGUUAUUAAUAUUCCAGAUUAAAAAUAAAGUUUACAUACAAGUUAAAACACAGUUGAGAUACAAGUUAAAAUAAAACUGAUACAAGUUUAAAUACAAGUUAAAAUAAAGUUCAAAUAUAAGUUAAUACAAAAUUUAUAUACAAGUUAAGUUUAGAUACAUGUUAAACUAAAGUCUAAAGACAAGUUAAAAUAAAGUUCAGAUACAAGUUAAAAUAAAGUUCAGAUACAAAUUACUACUUAUUGAUAAAGUUAAAAAUAGUGGACUUUAUUUAUAAUAAAUUUGUUAAGGUUUCAAAUCAUUUUCAGGAUGUUGGAAUUGAGAAGUAAAGUGACAUAGCUGUUGAAGAAAUUCAACUGCUUGAAAGUAUUAUUCCAGGUCGAGAACAUGAUUUGGCAUUGACGAUUUACAAGCCUCCACCAACAACUCCAGCAGAGUAUGAGAUUAGUGACACCGCGAUUUUGUCUACCUUUUCUACGCCACAAAAGAAUGUACCGGCUAAUAAAAAUGCACCUGCACCACGCUCAAGAAAGCCAUCAAACAUUUAUCGUUCUCUCUUUUUGACCCAUUUUGGAUCAAGUUCUAAGGAAAGAAAAAGUUGACUUCUAAUGAGUGAAAAAAAUUCCCAUCCAAAGGUUAUCACAUUACUGGAGAUUCACCUACUGUAGAGAUGGAAAUAUUUGAAGAAUGAAUUCAUGAUGGCCUCUACAAGCAACACACGAAAAAGUAAGCAACACUUCUUAUUCUAAAUUCACCAGUAAUAUACAAUUUACUAUUUAUUUAUUUUUUCAAAUCAACUGUACUUUUAUGUUACAGGAAAGAUGAUGAAGAUCACUACAAGAUUAAUUAUUCAAAACUUGAAUUUUGUCAACUAGAUUUCGUAGUUGCUUUUCCAAAAUCCAAGAAUUGAUUUUACUGGUGUAUCAACAGAACAAGUGUUGGAAUGAUGAGGUAUUACCUUCAUUUUUUCUUAAAACUUUAUUUAAGCAGAUUUUCAAUAGUAAAUAGUUUUUGUAUUGUGUGAUUUCUAUGAUGAAGUAUUAAAAGUCUAUUACAUGAGUUACAUUGACUGCAAAAGUUAUAAUAAUUGUUUAAGCUAAAUAUCGUGCUAACGAAACUUAUUUUUGUAAUAUUUGCAUCUUUACUGUUAGUAAAGAUAAUUGAAAUUUUUUAGCCGAAAGUAAUUUAUAUUUGAUACAUAAUAACAAAAAAUGUUUCGUUCUAUAUGAAUAUAUAUGUUGUUCAUUUGUUGAUCUUACAGUUACCAGUAUUUAUAAAGUUAUUACAUUAGAUACAUAAUCAAUAAUUUGUAUCUAAUUACUACUUAUUACAGUUGAUUGCUAUAACCUACCACUUUAUUACAAUUUGAACAACAUCUGGAUUUUAUUAUGUACUACUUGAGGAAGAAGUACAAGAACAUGAAUUUUUCAAUCAGCACAUACACUACCACAGAUUAUUUUUUUAAAGUGUACAUCGAUAAGGAAUAUGUGAAUUACUACAAUUCAGACGUUGCUAAGGAUCUUGCAACUCAAGAUACAUCUGCCAGAAUUGAUGAGGUUGCUGAUAUGGAGAAGUCACUGAUUAACACAAUCAAAGGAUUGAGUACGUGCGCAGGUCAGCCUUAGCAUAUGGUUAAUGAGGUAUUUGUCCCAAUUAACUGUGACGGCGCCUUUCAAUAGGUAUUAACAUUCAUUGCUUUAAAUGAUCGAUGCAUUCGUGUGUAUGAUUCAAUGGCCUCUUCACGAAAAAGAAAACAAACAAGUGAGAUUGAAAAGUUGGCUAUAAUGAUUCCGACUUACCUUCAGUACAAUAAGUUUUUUUAGCACAAGGUACCCACUGACUGGACUGCACUGAAAUCAUACGAGAAAAGUCCGAACGGGAUCCAUUUCAAGUGGAAUAUGUAUCUGAGAUAGCACAACAAGAUAGUGGAAUCUUGUACGUAUUACAUUACCUUUUUGUUUGUUUUCAUUACCGUACUCAUGUAUAUUAAUGUUUUUAUACUCAUGUAUAUUAAUGUUUUUAACUUAAUUAUUUUUUGAAAUGCAGAGAUUGUGGUGUAUUUGUGGCUAUUUAUGCCGAGUAUCUGAGUGAGGGAUUAGGCAUUUCAUGUUCGGGUAUUGACGCUCAAUACCAUCAUCUGAGAUAUGCUUCUCUUUUGUGUAAGUAUGGAUCUGAAAAGGCAGAAAACGAAUACUUUAGUGAGAAUGACGAUCCACCAAGGUCAAGGAGCAAGUUCGCACAAAAAAAAAAAACAGACAGUGUUUUCCAUAUUAAGUAGUUGUUUAUUUAUUUGCUUGUUGGAUAUUACAAAACUAGGAGGUUGAUAGAAACAUUAAUGAUUUUUUGAUGAUGUUGGUAAUGUUAGGUACUGAUACAUUAUGUUUUUUUAAUGAUUAAAUUGUUUUAUUUUGAUAUCCAUUAUAAUGCAAUGCUAAAGCAUUUCAUAUAUAUUUAUGUAUCGAACUACGUUGUUCUAGCACUUUAUAAAGACAUAGUAUUAGAAAAAUAUUUUAUAACAUUUUACAAUCAUAUGUAUCUAAUAUAAUGAAACAUAAGUUAGAAUAUAAUGGUAUUAACCUUGACAAUAUUACAUUAUUUAGUAUCUACAACAGUUUUUGGUUUCAACUAAUACCUGUUGUCUCUAAAAUGCAUAACAAAUUAUAGCACAACUUAAUGGUACUAUAUCAAAAAACUAAUGACAUUAUACUAUAGAAGUAAAAAUUUAAUCUUGUAUCUAUAAAAUUAAAUGAGAAACAUCUUAUUAAAUUAUAUGUAUCUAGUACCAAAAAUACAUAUUUUACUAUAGAAUAAAUGUAAAUAACAAAACAUUACAUUAUUAUGUUUCUAUAGCCAAUUUUGAUUACUCAGAAUACAUGUUUGCCUUCAACCUGACUAACAUAUUAUAUCAAAACUUAUAGUCCUACAUGAUACAAUUAUAUUUUACAAUUAUUACAAAUUGUGCAAACUUGUAUCUACAAAUUUAUGAAAGAUACAUCAUAUAAAAGUAUAAAUCUGUACAAUCUUUUACUACAGUAUAGCAACUACAAUAACAUUAUUAGUUCAAUAUUAUCUUAAUUUCUAAAUGAAGUUUCACGACAAUUUCAAUCUCCAAAAAUAAGGGUAAAUAAUUAACAAGGAGCGAAAAUAACUGUUUAUUACUGAAACUAUUUUUCUUAAUAUUCUUAAAAAACAACAAUGUCAUCAAUUAAAACUUCGCAUUAAAAAGGAAAGAAAUUCAACUAGAAGAUAACAAAUUAUUCCACAUUAAUAAUUAGUCAACUGCAUGGUCAGUCCUCCUUUGGAAAGAAGUUACAAGUACGCCUGUUGUGACCUGCAUAACCACAUCUCCCGCAACAAUUACUACUCGAUGUCAUAGUUUCACUUGAUUUCUUGUGCCUGUUUUUCUUUGGCCUUUCGGGUUGACGUUUGUAUUUUGAUGGUAGCACAACUUCGUUCAUAACUUUGUGUGGCACAAUCCAGUCCUUCUUAUCGGGCAUUGAAAACAUAGAUUCUUCAUACGUCUUCCUUAAUGUUUCAGGAUAAUAAAACUUUGAACAAUAAGGCUUCAUAUCAACUACAUGCUUGCUUUUUAGUACUACAAUCACGUGUUCACAUGUUAUCUCAUCCAAUUGGAAUCUACCACAAGAGCAAGUCCUCUUAUCAAGACAUACUAUAUACUUCCUCCCGUCAUUAUAAACAGAAUAUACAUAUGUUGAUGACGCACUAACCUACAAGAUUAGUCAUAAUAUGUUUAUACAUAAAUACACAUUGUUUUUUUAUAGAAUAUUUUGUUUAAAUUCAAUAAAAAGAUUGAUUAAGUUACUGUAACAUUUUCCAAAACAACAUUUUUAAAGCAACUAGUAUCCUGUAUUAUGAAUCAAGCAUUCUAUAAUAUGUAAAACAAAACAAAAUAUCAAAACUAAACUUAAGCCUUGUAGAUUUUGAAGUAUUUAGUUGAAGAAUUCCUUUAAAUCUACUAUCAAGUGACAUGUUUGCAAACGAUGCUCUUUCUCUAUUCUUGUAAUUCCACUUUCCAAAUAAUUUCCUAGCCUGCUCCAAAAAUUCUAUUAUCGGCAACUCACGUGCUAGCUUUAAUUUACCAUUUAUGCACUCCGAUAUAUUUGAAGUCAUCAUUCUACCGCGAUUAACAGAUGCAUACAUGCGUGCCCACUUUUCAAAUCCAGCAUCCUCAAAAUAAGACUUUACCCUCUUAUCAAUCUUCCUAACUUGAUUCCAAAAAAAAUCAAACUCAUCUUUGCAGUAAGCCUUGGACAUAGCAUAGUAAAUAUCGCUAAGUUUAUCUUUACUCUUCCUGAAGUUUGUGCAAACAUUCUUCCACAAGUGCCAAAUGCAUGCGAGAUGCGGCACAUUCGGAUAUACAACACUCACAUCCUUUAUUAUUCAUGACGGUUGGAUACAACACACAUACUAUCGCCCUCUUCAAAAGCAAUUCUGAAGUUCUCAAAAAAUCAAGUCCACGAAUUAUCAUUUUCACUAUCAACAACACCAUACGCAAUCGGCAGAAUGCGUCCUACAAUUUUCAUAAUAUAAAAAAUUAAUUAAUUAGAUACAAGUAAACGAUUUCUCAAACUAAAAAAAUAAUUUAACAAAAAUUAUGAUCUUAAUUACAUCACAAAAAUAAAUAUACAUACAAAUAAAUGUAAAUUACCUGCUCCAUCAAGAGUGUUUGCGGAAAUAAAUGUACCUUUAUAUGCUCCACUCAAAUGCGCACCAUCAACCACAACUACAGGCCUGCAAUACUCGAAUCCACUCUUCAAAGGUUGCAAUGCAACAAACAAAAACAUAAAUUUAUUAUCCUCGAAUUUAUGCAUUCUAAUAUGUAAACCUGGAUAUAUGAAAUUUAACAUGUAUACAUAUCGAGCCAUUUGUCGAUAACCAUCCACAGAUUUCUCCCUUAACAUCUCAAUCGCACGUUCUUUAGCCCUCCAAGCCUUCUGAUAGUUAAUGUCUAUACCGAAAGUAUUUUUAAUAUCUUCGAUUAUAUCAUUCGGGGUGUGUAUUCUCUUAUAGUUGACAAGUUUUGGUGCAGCAAAACCACUAACAAACCCAACUGUAGCUUGAAGUUGAGUAAAAACACGGUCUUUCAACGGGCAUGUGUGAACAUCUUAAGAAAAUCUAACUUUAAAUAGUUUUGUACCCCGACGACAUGAUGCUUUAAAGAUCCAAACACAAUUCUCCGAACGGCAUUGUAGGACAUAGCUAAAUCAAUGAAAACAAAAGUUCAAAUUCUUCUUCUUAAUAAAUAUAGAAAAAACAGAUUUCUAUAUUCAUUAACAUCAUUGACUACUUGUAUAACAUGUAUGUAGAAAUUUUACAACAUGUAUCUAUGCCAUUAAUAUGUAUUUAAGACAUUUCUGAUAUAUAUGAGAAAAUAAAACACAUCGAGAAAUAUAAUUAAACAUAACUCUAUAAACUGAGAUACAAGAUGAGCAAAAUGUAUUAUUUUCAUAACAAAAUGUAUCUCGGCUUGAAACUUGCUCAACAUGUAUCUUGUAAAUUUACAACAUGUAUUUAGGAUAUUUAUAUGUAUCUACAACAUUUCUUAUAACACACAACAAGAAAUAUAAUUAAUCGUAACUUCAUAAAAUGAGAUACAAGAUUAGCAAAAUGUAUCAUUUUCAUAACAAAAUGUAUCUCGGCAUUAAUAACAUAAAAAUACAAAAAACAAUCUGUAAAAUAAUCAUCAACCAAACAUUGAAUACAAAUUUAAAUUAACGUAUACAAAAUUACCAACACCUGCUACCAAAAAAAAACAUAACAUACAUUUUCUUGUCCGAUAUUUUGGCAUAGUAAUUAAAGCGAAUGCCAAAUUGCAAAUCGCACCAUAACCGAAAUGAGAGUACACUUGUUCUUGUAUAUUUGUCCAACCUUAACAUCACUAUGCUUGCCAUCAGUAAUGAUCUUGUUCCCUUUGCUAUCCAACAAAGGCAUAGGAGAAGUAGAAUUAGAUUUAUAACUAAUUAUUUCUUCAACUAUUUCAGAUGGACUUUCCAAAUACAUUACAACACCAAUUUUCCUAUCAAAAAGCAUUUCGCUAUCAGACUUAUCUAACGUAAUGAUGAUAAGAGGAUACGUUCCAAAUCCACGCUCUGUUUUUUUAAUUUCAACAUACAGCUUCACACUCAUUUCGUUACGAAUGAGCAACGGACAAGAAUUUCCUUCAACAAUGUAACGAGCUUCAAUUUUUUUCCUUGUUUUAUCGAUUUUCAGUUCUCCCGCAAUUGUAGAAAUCAGUUUUUCGUAAGUAACAUGUUCACUGACCACAAUUCCAUCACUCUUAUAACCAACAUACUCGAUUUCGUUGAUCCAAACACCGAAAUGAUGUAAAAGCACCGAAAUAUUCAUAUCAAACAAGCGAAAUUAACAAAUCAAAUAAAAAAAUUGGUGUGUUUAAUCUGAACAAGAAGAAAGAAUAUUUUUCAAUUUCAAAAAUAUAUUAAAACAACGUUUACGUUUUAACGAAGAGAAGUAAUAAACGAAAUCCCAUUAAUUGUGGGAUUUGAUUUUGUUUUUACCUUAAUUAGUUAGCUUAAAUGUUGAUUUAAUGCAAAGUUAUCUGUUACAUUCCUUAAAACAUGCUGAUUUAAUUUAUUAAUACAUGUAUCAGUAGUAUGUAUCUAAUGUAAUUAACUUGUAUCAUCAGAGGUCAAAUGUUAGAAUUUUAGGAGAUUUUGAAAGAUAUUCGAAUUUUUAGUAAUUAAUGAUAAACAUAUCGGUAUAUAUGUAAAAUUUACUAAAAUAAUAAAAUAUCAAGUCUGUGUUGAGUAUGUUAGAAAUGAUGAAUACUUUAUCCUUAUAUUGUUAUAUAGAGUAUUUGGCCUUAUCUGAUCAUAAUAAUCAUACAUAUUGAUGAUUUUUGUAUUGCUUCAACUGAUGAAAAACUUUUAGAACUAAUAUAAUAUUCUAAGAAAUGAUAUAAAAGAUUUGAAUGAUAAAAUAUCAUUUCAGCUUAAAAAUUGAGUAUUUGACAAAGAAAAUCUUUAUCCAUCAGUCAACACUAACUAAAAGUCUUAAAACGAUUUGAGUAGAUACAUUUAUUUAAUACUCUAAUAUAUUAAAUAGAUCUUGACGAUUUUAUGUGGACACAAUCAUUUAGCACUACAAUAGUUGAUAUUAAAAUAAAGAUCGUUCAUUUGAUCUCAUGUAAAUGACGAAAAACUUCAUUAAUAUAUAAAUAUCAUAUCUUAAUAUAAUUAAAGCAUUAAUGUAUUUUUGCAAUAAUACAAUAUGAAACAUAACUUUUUUUCUAUAAGAAUUGGCAAAAUUUGGUAUUUUCUCAAACACAAAGGCAUUGAAAUGGUAUGAAGCAUGUUUUUUUUUUUUCUAUAAGGAGUCAUUUGGUGUGAGGUAGAAGGUAUAAUGCUUCCGUGAUAAAAUGUCAGAUUAUUUUAUCUAGCAUUUGAUUGGAAGUAUUAGUUAGUCCUGAAAUUAUUUACCCCACUAUUUAUACCAUAGUGAUGGAAUAAGUUAUUUCAUACACACGACGGAAUGGCUAAUUCUGAGAUUAAUUAUCCCGAGAUAACUUGUUUCCAAUCAAACGAUACCUAAGGAACUGUAGGUACGUGACUAUAUUUUAUUGACAUUCUUUUAUAUAUGGCUCCGUUAAUAUGUAAAUUUGUGUAUAUAAUAUGUAUAUUUUAUGCAUAUAAUGCUUAUAUAUAUACUUAAUAUACAAAGCAUACAUUUAGUGAAUAUUAUAUUUUGAGCAGUUUAAAAAUAUAAUUAUUCUGAUGCUAUUCAUAAAUCAAAGUUACGAUUAAUUCAUUAUGCAAAUAUUUGAUACUUGUUUGAUCGUUAUAAAGAUCCAUCUCAAAUAUGUCAAACUAUUUAUUUAUAUGUGGAAAUACAACUACAUCACAAUAUUCAACAAAAUAGAUUGUAACUUCUACUUAUUGAAAUCAUUCAUAACUAAUAAAAGUCAAUCAAGAAAAAAGUCAAGAGUUUGUUUGCCUUAGAUUAUUGAUUUAAGACAUCGAGGAGAUAUGUGUUUUUUUUAAAAAAAAUAUUUCAAGUACAUUGUAUGAAUAUAAUUUGGCAUAUAUAACUCAAUUGAAAGAAUGAUGUAUCAGAGAAGACAUAAUAAAACACAUUUCAUGAGCUUUUUUUUUACUCGUGAUUCGAAAAAGGACAAUAAAAUAGAUAUCCAACAAAUUCGAUUUUAAUAAAUCUGUUCACUUAAAUAUUACCGACCUCCACUAAUUUGGGUUGAAGGCCCAAUAUGAAAAAUAUAUGUUUAGGUCAAGUUGAUGGCAGGAAGGUGAACACCCAGCCCAAAUCAUUUGACAUUAUUUUCUCGGGAAAAGGACAAUCUAUGACCUUUUUAAAAAAUAAUAGCCCAAUUAUAGUCCAAGUUUGGCAUUUGGACAAAUAAUGUCCAGUCGGCUGUCAUUUUAUGGCCAUUUCCUAAUCUUCCCCAAUUUGGGUCAUUUUGAUCCACGUAGUCCAUACACGAUACUGAUACAGUCUAUAUACAAUACUGAUACAAUAUUCAACUUGGGCAAUUCGGCCCUUUUAAAAAUAUUUCAAUUUUUUUUUACUGUAAAUUUUUAAAUUGAUCAAAUAUUCUGAUUUUUUUUAUUCUUUAGAAAUAAUAAUUAAAUUAUAUAAAAAUGAUAUAAUUAUUAAAUAGAAUAUGAAUUUAUAUAAGAUAUAUGUAUAGAAAUUGUAUAAUUCUAUCAAAUAUGUAUAUGUACAAUAUAUAAAAAUUGCAUACAAUAUUUGACAUUAUUUUCUCCGCCAACAUUUAAAAAGUUAGUACACAAGAUUGGAAUGCACAUAAUUUAAAAGAAAUAAAAUGAUGUUUUUAUUAGGAAUGAAAUAUGCAUUGUAUUUUUCUAUUUUUUUCUUAACUAAAUUUUAACAUGCAUGGGAUAAUGCAUAUUCUAAGAUAUGUAUAAUUUUCUUUUUCUAAAAUUUCUUAUCGACAUAAUUUUUUCUUAGUAAGAUUGUAACGAAAUAAAUUAUCAGUUAUUUAACAUCCAAAAAAAUGUUAUAGAUAUUUGUUAUUGUGUAUGUUCACCACUCUUUUUGUUUGUGUGGAUAAACUCCCUACGACCCAAAUAUGAUUGUAACUAAACCUCUUUCAAGAUAAUUGAUCAUUCUCAUAAUGUUGGUUCAUAAUCUCAAUAAUUAGUGUCGCGAUUUGCUCAAUAAUUAUUGUCGCGAUUAAAGCAAAGUAUAAUUACCGUUUUUGUAAUCGCAGAAAUAUAAGUAUGAAAAAUGUGUGACACCCUUUUCUUUUAUCCGUUUGAAAAAAAAAAAUAUAUUAUUUAUAUUUUGAAACAAUUUAAUUUUAGAAUUAUCAUUUACCCUUAAUAAAGCAAUUUAUAGUCACACAAAUAUCUAAUAAUUGUUUUAGACCACAAAUUUUUAAGACUUCUUUUUUUUUUCAAAUACCAUGUCAAGUCAAAUGGUGCCACAUAAAAUGGGACGAACAGAAUACUAUUACAACAGUAAUUUCUUGAUAAUUAUCACUCUAUUUUGAUUUACGAGCUUAAAAAAAACUACAAUAAGUAAUUAUAAUCACUAUAAUUUUUCUUCUAUGACAAAACAUGCCAACACUAAUGAUGUUUGAAAAUGAACAAGGGCCUAACUUUGGGAUCGUAUAUGAUUAAUUUGAAGGAAAAAAAAAUUAGGGAACAUUUAUUUGUAUUUAAUAUGCAUAAUUUAACCUCUUUAUUUAUAUACAAAAAUAUAUAGCUCAAUCAAUGUUUCAUACAAUAUAUAUGUAUAUAUCAUCAAUUUUCCACCUAUUCACUAUGGCAAUAUUUCCUAUAACAAAAUCUAAAAUCCCAGAAAAUUAAAAAAAAUCACUCUUCCCUCCUUUAUCUAUACAUACAUCAACAAUACUUUGCAUAUGUAUUUACAGAAAUAAAUAUCUGACGCAUAUGUAUAUAUAAACAUAUAGAACACACUCAAAAGAAUGUUAUAGAUAUUUGUUAUUGUGGAUGUUCAUUACUCUUCUUGUUUGUGCAGACAAAUCCCCUACAACCCAAAUAUGGUUGUAACUACACAACCUCUUCCAAGAUCAUUGAUCAUUCUCAUAAUGUUCAUUCAUAAUUUCAAUAGUUAGUGUCAUGUUUAAAGCAAAGUAUAAUCACCGUUUUUGUAAUCGUAGAAAUAGAAGUAUGAAAAAUGUGUGACAUCCUUUUUUUUUUAUCCGUCUAAAAAAAAUAUAUCAUUUAUAAUUUGAAAAAAAUCAAUAAUUCAAUUUUAGAAUUAUCAUUUAUCUUUAAUAAAGUGAUUUAUAGCCACGCAAAUAUCUAAUAAUUGUUUUUGACCACAAAUUUUUAAAGAUUUUCUUUUUUUUCAAUUCAAAUGGUGCCACAUAAAAUGAGACGAAUAGAAUACUAUUACAACAGUAAUUACUUAACAAUUAUCACUCUAUUUCUAUUUACAACCUUAAGAAAAAAACUAUAACAAGUAAAAGCACUAUAAUAUCUUCUCUAUAACAAAACAUGCCAACACUAAUGAUGUUUGAAAAUGAACAAAGGCCUAACUUUGAAGGAAAAAAAAUUAGGGAACAUUUGUUUGUAUUUAAUAUGCAUAAUUUGACCUCUUUAUUUAUAUACAAAAAUAUAUAGCUCAAUCAAUGUAUUGCAUACAAUAUAUAUGUAAUGUAUAUAUCAUCAAUUUUCCACCCCUUCACUCUGGCAAUAUUUCCUAUAACAAAAUCUAAAAUCCAAGAAAAAUUAAAAAAAAAAAUCACUCUUCCCUCCUUUUAUGAUCUAUAGUCUAUACAUACAUCAACAACACUAUUAUAAACAAAAAUUUAAUCACUGUUCAAUCUUCAUCUUCAUUUUCAGAAUUCCUAGCAUCAAGUACUUGACUUGUUGAUCUGAUCUUCGGAUGGCGAUGACCGUGUCCGUGGUGCUUGUUAAACUUCAAUCUCCCGGUCUCUUUAAAUCGCCGUUGUUCAACUGGAUCUAUAUCGCACUCAGUUGGUGGCACUGAAUACCUCAAAGAAUCGUAACAGUAAGAGUAAUACAUAUACUUGGCCCUGAAUCUUUUCAUGGCCAUUCUUUGUCUUGGUGUUAUCCUUGAAAAAACAGCCUUUUGGAGUUCAACAUCUUUCUCAUCACAAUUAUUAGGGUUUACAACUUGUUCCAAUGGGUCCAUUGCACAUCCAUUAAGUACUAAAUCAGUAAAUUCAGCUAUAAAUGGUGCAUAUUUGUAAUUUGUUUUGUAUUUUCCACCUGAAGUAGCCCAAUCUGAAGCAUCCCAAAUGGUUGCAUAUAGGCCCAUUGGCUUUGAUGGGUAGUCUCCUCCCAUUGUAUCGUUACGUACAAUUUCUCUAAUGGGAACAUCAUCUAUAUAAAAUCUGUACGUUGUCAAAAUUGAAAGAAAUUAAUAAAAAAUAUUGUCAAUAAUUGAGUGGUUUAAUUAAUAUUGAAAGAUAGUAGCUAUCAUUUAAGUAAUUUAAUGUGGAUUAGGUUAUGUGUAACUUUUUCUAAUGAGUAAUAAUUCAUGUUAGUCAAUUCAAUGUACGUAAUACAAAGUGGUUACACUGUAUAUUCUAUUUCUCUCUCUCUCUCUCUCUUGUUGUGAUAAUUAAGUUAGUUAAUUCAAUGUAAUGCAAAGUGGUUAAACUAUAUUAACAGCAUAGUAAUUGAAAUUAAAAGAGGUACUUUAAUAGGUUAACAACAACAACUACUCCGUUAUACCCAAUGUAUUCCCACGAGUAGGGUCUUAGAAAGAGUGUAUAUGCAAACUUUACUCGACUAAUAAGUUCUAGAAAGCAAAUACUAGAAUCCUCAUCGAAUUUAUCUUCUUAACAAAAAUUAUGGCCAUAAUUUACAUGUGACUAAACAAACUGUUCUCACCCACAUAUAAAGGAAAAAUUAAAAUUAAUUUGUCAAAUCAUGAAUUAAGACAUAAUUGUCAUUUUGUCAAUGAGUUACUUUAAUGGAGAUAUUAAUGGUUAUGGUUAUCAACAAUUUCAUCACGGAACUUCAGACUUUUUUUAAAAAAAAAAAUUAGUUAUACGUCGUCGUCUUUUGAUUAAAUCAGAUAGAAAAUGUGACUAAUAAAUAGAUUCUUUGAACCAGUCAAGUAAGUACUAAUUUAUAACGUAAAAGAAAAGAACUCAUCCUACCUUACGUUUUCAAUAUGCAAAUACCAAAAUAAUUAUUUAGUUAUCAUAUUAUAUCUCUAUAUUUUCUAAUUUCUAAUUUCUAAUCAUGCACUAUAGCAAUAUACAUAUUCACUACCAGCGCCAUGAUUUUGAACUAUUUAAUAAACUCUAAUAUGUUAUAUAAGGUUAAUUACUUUAUCAUUAUAUUGUUAUGAGAUUAAUUACCUGCAAGAGUUUAUUAAGUUUUACGUGUUGAAGAUUUAUAUUUUUAUAAGGUUAAAUUAACCUAACAACACUAAACUCUUCAUAUAUCAUGCUUGAUUGAUAGCAUGAAAAACUGAUCGAAGAACAAAGCAAUAACUUGUUGUAACUAGUUAAACUGUGUAAGGAAAACCUAUAGUAUCAAAAGUGACAUGAUAUGGAUAAUUAAAAAAUAGAGCAUUAAUCCCUCCUACAAUUCCCUAAUAGCAUAAAAAAAUAUUUUUAGAAGACUCUUUCGUUUCAAUUUAUAUGACACAAUAGAGAUUUUUAAAAUUAAAUAUGUUUUUUUAUCGGGAUUCUUAAAUUAUAUGCCUCUUAACUUUUUAAGUUAAUAUUAAUUAAUUAUAGUUUAUUUCUUUUUUCGUUGUUUUCAUACAUAUAAAAUUUAUCUCUACAAAAAUUUAAAUCAAUUCCAUCAAAAUAAAUUUUUUAUCACAAAUGGGAACAGAAGAAUACUAUUUAGAAUGUGAUACUUGACAGUUGCAGUAACAGUAAUAACCGUGUUUUGAAAAGGUCAAAUAACAAAAAGCAGCCGCAAAAUAUGAGAAAAAAUUCAACGAAUCCGCGUGUUAUUAAAAUGAUGAUAUAUGAAUUAUGAUGCUUGUACUUUUCUUAAAUUUCAAAAAAUUAUCAAUUUUUUUAUUUUAUUUUUUAAAAUGAAUAAAAAAGUGAAAAACUAAAAAACUCACAUGAUGUUUUUGUUGGUCCACAAGAUGGUAUAACGAUGAAACUCUUUAGAAGGGUCGAACCAAAGAGUAUAUCUUUCUUCUCUUCCUCUAUGUGUGCUUCCAUUUCCAUACAUGUUUGUCUGAAAUCUCCAUGCUUUUCCUUUUAUAUUUCCCAAAAAUUCAAAAUCCAAUUCAUCAUGUGUCUUCUUAAAUACAUCUUGGUUCGUCGUCUGCACCAAAAAAACAGAUGACCGAGUCAGAAUCUUCACUAAAAAAAUGACAUACAGUACUAGUAUAGUUUUUUAACGAAAGGAUUUGCAACUGUGUGAUCGUAUUAAAACUACAAUGAAAAUCAUAAGAAGGAAUUAAUAACAACGAUACAUACAUAGAAGGCAACAACGAUUCCUGCAGUGUAAUCUGACGGCAAUUUUAUUUUAGCACUGAAUAAACCAUGGUUGUAGAGGUCAGAUGACUUGAACCCUGAACCUGUAACAAUAUUAAAUAAUACAAAAGCAAAUUAGAUGAAGUUAACUACGUUCUUGAUGAUUCUUUUUCAUGAUGACUUCUGUCGUAUCAAACACGAUGAAAAUUAAAAUUAGUAUGUAUAUAUGUUACCUGUGUUUUGGUUGAGAUGAAGUUGAAGGCUGUUAUCAUCAGUAGCAUGAAGAAUAUUUGCAUCACCAAAGAGAUGGCUAAAUCCUUUGUUAAAAGGAAUUGUGGAGACAUCAAAGGCUGUACAAAACCAGACAUUUAGAAACAACAAGACAGACAGACAUAUUUUCAUUCUGAUGAAAUCCAUUUUAUUUUUUUUUGUUUUGUUUUCUGUUUUUUAUGAGGCCACUAUGUGUUUUUAUAUGUGCUUGGAGAGAAGGAGGGUGGGUUUGGUGUGGGUGGGUGGUGCGGCUGUGGGGGUAGUAGUUUUGGAUAAAUUGUUUUUAUAUUUAUAUGGUUGGUUACGUUAUGGAGAAAGUUUGGAGGGGUAGUUAUGGAAAUAAAUAUUUAAAAGGAGAAAAUAGAUUUUGAUUAUAUUGAGUCUAUUAAACUUAGUGGUACCUUCUCGGUUGUGAGGGUCUAUCGAAAACAAUCUGUUUACUCCUUACUUUUAAACGGGGCAGAUUCACUUUUAUCUUAAGGGGUUUGGAUUCACACUUAUCCGAAUCUCCUUCGUCGGAAAAUUAUAUUACUAUUUAUAUAUGAUUAAAAUUAUUUGUUAUGUAUGUAUAGUAGAUGUUGAGCCCCUUCGAUUAGUUUGUAUGUUUACUUUUUCUGAUUUUAAACUACCUUAAUGAAUAUUUUUGGCUCCGCCGCCACCGCUUCCAAGGUAGGAGUAACAUUUAUGUAACUACACUGAGUAUUUAUUAUUGAGUCUAUAGGAUAAAACUCAGUGGGUAUUUGACAUAAAAAUUAUGAAUUUUGAAAAAAAAAAAAAACGGAGUACUAUUUGGGAAAAAGUUGAAAAAUGAUAUUAGAAAAUUAAAAUUGUGUUUAAAUAUGAACACAUAUUGGAGUUGUUUCUGAAUUUUGCGAGUGAUUUGAAAUGAAAAUUAUAAAAAUAAUAUUUUUGGAGUUUUUUAAAUUCUAGAAUUCAACUAUAACCUGUAUUUCGAAAAAUUAUAACUAUUCUAUAUUCAAACAGUUUUCCUGAGAAAAAUGUCUAUGAUUACACGGGAACUUAUUCUAUAUUUGGAUUACAUUUAUUUAAUGCAUUUUCGAUUUAUAGUUAUUAGUUGCUUUUCCAGCAAGAUAUUGAAAUGCAUUAUUUUUAAUUUAUUAAUAAAAAAAGGCUACAUGAAAAUAAAUUUGUUAGGCUCAUUAUGCCUUUUACAAGUGUAUAAUAAUACGUCACAUAUCACUAUGAUAUCUAUUUGAAAUGUUGAUGUUACAAUCUCAACAAACUCAUAGGCUUAACAAGAUUAAGAUUAUACUUAUAUUUAAUAUAAAAACAAAUUAAGUGCUACAACCUACUAGGCUUAGUCUAUUUGUUAUGAUUUCUUAUAUUAAAAUGGAAAUCAUUUUGUUGCUUAUCCUUUUCCUUUUCUUUUUUUAUCUUUUGAUUUCUUCUUCUUCUUUAAUACAAUGAUGACAAUAAUUAUUUAAUUGUUUCAUCAUUUUUUCUUUCUUCAUUAUAAUAAUUUGUGUUUACGUUAAGGGUGAGAGAUUAAAUUGAGAAUGGUGAUCGCUGUCUUUUCAACAAUAAUCGCUUAUUUUAGUUAGGGAAAUCGCUGUCUUUUCAACAAUAAUCGCUUAUUUUAGUUAGGGAAAAUUUUAGAAAUAACAACUAUGUAUCCUUAAUGAUAACUUUUAUAGCAACAGUUUCAUAAUUACGAAAAAUAGCAAAUUGUAUUUGUAUUUGUAUUUAAGUAAAAUGUUGCUAUAUAAAUACAUGUACAAAUAUAUAUGUAUUACUCAUAAAUACAUAUGCACAACUGAAAAAUACAUAUUCUUCUAUUACUAUGAAGCGGGUAAAAUAUUGCUACUUUUGCUAUAAGUUGUAAUUUUGAAAAAAUGUUGCUAUUUAUUGUAAUUAUAGUUUUAAGGAUGCUAGUUAUUGGGUUUGCAUUAAUCAUUAAUAUGAAUUUUUAUACAAAUGGUUGAUCGGAUUUAGAGUUUAUUUUUUCCAAUUGGUAUUACUAUAUAUAGACUAACGUCUAUUGUAUACAAAUAAACAUGUAUUACACACGAACUAUACAGAAAAUAUAAUAUAUACAGAUGAAAUUAUUUUUAGUUUAAACGGUUGAGUGUAUGACUAUCUAGGCUAAUUAAUUCUUUAUCUUUUUCGUUUAAUAACAAUUUUUUUUUAAUACAAAUACAAUAUUGUAACUGUAACCACACCUUUAAUUAAACGAUUUUUUUUAAUACAAAUACAAUAUUGUAACUGUAACCACACCUUUAAUUAAACGAUUUUUUUUAAUACAAAUACAAUAUUGUAACUGUAACCACACCUUUAAAUUAAGUGAGCAUUUGGACAUCAAAAUAAAAAAAAAGCCACUUUAUUUGAAAUUUUUAAAGUUGAAUUCGUUGUAGUUGAAGUUGUGUUUGGUCAUAUUUUUUGAAAUAAGUAUCUAAAAUUUGAUCUACUUUUAAAAAACAUGAAAUAUGAUUAAAAAAAAUAAUUUAUAUGAGGUUAUUUUAUAAAAAUAAGAAAAUUUAGGAUAAAUUCAAAAAAAAAGUUUAAUUUAAUUACAAAUGAAAGCGAAAACAAGAUUUUGAAUAUUUUAAAUAUUGUAAUACAAUUUUUGUAUUUAAAACUCUUACAUCAAUAGUAAUUUAUAAAUAAAAUGAUUCUUUCAAUGGCCAAACGGGUCCUAUAUUACACAAUAUUGGAAGACAAUUUUUUCUAUGUAUUAUUUUUAAAUAAUUUAUUUUUUUAUGAUAACCCAGAAUAGAAGUAAAGCAAGUCCUAUAUACCUUGCUGUAUUUUAAGCUGACGAUUUUGCCCAUGAACUUAACAUGUGAGAUUAGGUCUCAAAAGCCUAAUAUUAAUGGAAUUAGUUAUAGGGUGAACUAAUCUUUUCUUAAUUAAAGGGAAAAAACGGCCUUAAAUAUAUGAUAUUUAAAAAUGAAAUAAUUAACUCUGACUUCUAAGUUCUAAAGUUCAUUAUGAGUACGAGAACAGUCUGUCCACGUGUCCAGACAAUCAACUUACAUGCAACUUGUCACUGGAUUUCAUAUGCCAGAAAAUGUUCUUUUUCUUUUUUCUUUUUUUUUUCCAAUUAUUGAAAAUAUUAGCUAAAAAUUGUUGGAAUUUUGGUCGUUGUUAAGAUAUUUCUUUUUUAAAAGAAGCCACUUGAUUGGGCGUUGUUAAAAUUCAAUCCUUUUAGUGACAGUUGUAUAAUUUUAGGACAAAGAAAGAAAGGUCAGAAUUAUUGAAAACGAAAAACCAGUUUAUUAUAAUAAGGUCAAAAUAAAAAAAUAAAAUUAUUUUGAUAAAAAUAGAAAUGGAAUUCCAAAAGCAUCGACUAAACUUGGCUUUUUCAUCUUUGAACAGCAACAUAUAGGACCACAAAGUGAAAAUGAUCUAGAAGAAUCCCUCUUUCAAGUUGUUUAUAAUAAAUUAAAUUAAUAGAAAUAAUAGUGCUCCAAAAAUAAGUUCUUUUUUAAAUACUUACAAAAGAAGUUCUUUAUAUAAAUGAGUAAUUGUACUUUGUAAGUUUGAAGCACUACCACCUGCAAAAGUUUAAAUCCGAGUUGUUGAUGUGAAAAUACACACUCUUGAUCAUUAGACUAUGUUUCUCUAGCUUGUCAAAGGUGUGCAAUAAUAUAUAUAUAACCAUAAAUAUCUAUAUUUAACCUAUAUACUUUAAAAAAAAAAAAUUUAAUAAAGGAUGUUCAUCUGGCCACUCUUCGUGACUCCGCCAUUGGUCAUGAAUACCAGCAUAACAUGAACUCCAUCCAAUCCAACAUAGAAUUUGUAAUAUAUUUGUACCUUCUAUGUAUGUUUAAAGUGAUGACAGACUCGUGUUAUGAUGUUCAAUUAAUAUUAUUAAAAUAUUCCGGCUUAGCUCUUGGAGCAUGUUAUCUUAGAUAUAGCACGAAACAAUGUGUUAUAUCAAAGUAGCCAUGUGAAAUUAAUUUUAUUUGAAUAUAAUUGUAUUGAAGGUGGAAUGAGUACUGUUUUGUGAGCAAGACAGUUUGGAAAUAAUUAAAGUAAAUAUAUGUAUUAACGAGACAUGAUUAUUCAACCUUAGAAAGGUAAACUCUUACUAUAACAGGAAUUUGUUCAAUAUUCUUAAGGAAAAUUAAAUCGUAAUUUUUAGAAUUUAAUUUACAAUAGUCAAAUAAUUUAUGAUUUAUAUAUAGUUUUUAACAAUAUAAUAAACAUAGAGCUAUGUAUUCCUCCACUGUAUUAGAGAUUUAGAGUCCAAUUGACAAUGUUAAAAAAAAAGGUCAAAUGGAUGUUAUUUUUUAUUAGUGAUAUAUAUGGGACAUUAACUUAAAUAAUAUGAUUAAUUUCCGCUUGAUAAGUGUUUAAUGACACUAUAAAUUAUGAUUUUGUAUUUGUGGGGUGAUGGUAAUGGAAGAGGCUUAGAAUAAAAGGGAGCAAAAGUAAUAAUAAUAAUGGUAUAUUAAUUAAUUAAAGGGAAGUCGAACAUUGAAGAAAUGAAUAAUUAGGAGCCCAACUUAAUCCAAAAGUUAAUUCAUCAGAAAGGAAUUGUCCAAAUAUAUAUAUAUAUAUAUAUAUAUAUAUUGAGACCACUCAACUCACGCCAAGGAUUUGGUGUGUGGUCAAUUUAAUAUUAGGACUCGCUUCAGUGCAUAAUAAUUAAGAUAAGUCAUGCUUUGAUACCAUAUGGAAAAACAAAUCUUGAUUCUAACUAAACGUCAAAAAAUAGAUUGGUGUGACGAGAGAAUUGUCCAAAAACAAAACCACCCACCCAUCAUAAUACGUGGGACUAUUCAACAAGUGCAAAUUAAACAAAUCUCUGCUGAACUAAUCUUUCAAUCCUCACAGAUUAUAUAUUAAUUGUUAUCUCAUUACUUAUUUAAGAAGGAACCUUUUCCUCACUUUAAAUUGUUUAAAGUACUAAUUAAGUGGAAAAUGGAAAGGUAUGUGCCAGAUAAUUUUAUGUUGUCUUUCUAAAGUGGUUAUACCAACCUGAACAACUGUGUCCAUAUUGGUUCACUCAUCAUCAUUCAUAAUGCAAAGAAAGAAUAGGAUACCUAUCAUCUUUUUUUUUUUAAUAAAUUUAAAUAGUAUAGCCAUAUUAUAUUUAAUUAAUAGAAGCAUAAUCAAAGUACACAAAUUCAAUGAUUGUUAUCUUUUAUCUCUAGCACAAUAAAAAAGUUAGACAAGAUAAAUUAAAUUGACUUUAAUCUUUAGGGGAAUACUAAAUAUUUAUAUAUAAAUUAAACAAGAAUUUUUUCUUUCCUCUGAUAGUGUAAUUAAUUUUUGUGUUUCUUCUGUUUAGAAUAGAUAAAUUAAAUUAUAGUAGGUGUAAGUUCACGAGUUCCUUUUUGAUUAACAUGUGUACAAACAUAAGCUGUACUUUAAUUUUUAGCAAGUAAAACUCACUCUAUUUCAAAUCUCAAUCAUCAUCAAAAGAUUGUAAACCACAAUGGGGUACAUAUAAUGGGAGAUGAAUGAGAUUUUUUCGCCCUUAAUUAGAUAUUUUAGGAUCGAAUUUAAAAAAUAAAGAAAUUUCUGAUAAAAAAUAUUUUUCAUUGAAAUAAGCACAAAAAAUCUAAAUUAGGCGGCUAGAUAAUUAAGCAAACAAACAAAAAAUGAUAAUCUAGAUGCUUUACUCUAAAGUGUCAUCUUACUUUACUCAAUCAUAAUUUUUUUCACACAGUCCUCAUUUUAAUUUCUUGAUCAAUUCCUUCCUUCCCCUUUAACCAAACCGCUAGAUGGACAAUAUUUCACGAGUAAGAAUAAUCAAAUCGACAUUCCUUCACUAGAAAAUAGUUCAAAUUUUAUAUAGGAGGGUGUGAAAAUCGCGGAUUAUGGUAGAAGGUUAGUAGGUAGCGAAGUAUUGUCGUCAUAGUAUUAGCCUUAUUCUUAUUGUGAAUCACUGUUGAUUUCUAUGAUCGUCCAUAUUCAUUGUUUUCGAUUGUAUAACACUUUUGUCGUUGUUACUGUUUCCUUAACUAAUGGCUAUGUUUUCUUCACAAUCGUUUUUUCUCCUUUCACACCUAUUUUGAUUUCCAUACACAAUUUCUCUACCUCCAUUAGGUAGAAGUAAGAUGUCCGUACGCUCUAUUUUCUUCGGAUCUCACUUGCGAGACUUCACUGAAUAUGUUGUUAUUGUAUAUGUUGGGCGGACGCAUAUGAACCACUACAAAACAAGAGCCUGUGACUCAAGCUUUAUCUUCUAUAUGAAUAUUUAAUUGUUAGAUGAUAACACUUUUAUUCUAAUUGUAUGUGAAAUUGUCUGGUGUUAAAAUGGGGCCAAGCCAAAUGUUUUUAGAAUGUGCCAAUUUGUUGUUGUGUUGCUAUCUACAGCCGCCUAAUUGGGUUGAUUUGUAGGCUUUACUCUAUUUGCCUUUUUUGUGGUUGUCUUGGACCCAGUAGUUCUUCAUGUUAUCUGGAAAUACCUAUGUGUUAUGUGGCAUUCUUUGACUAGCCUGGCAAUUUUGUAUGGAACACUUAAUAGUUUUGGCAUCUUCUUUUAAAUAAUAAUAAAAUAUUAUGGUGAUGGAAAAGAUCAACUAGUCUUUUUCUUUCUGUGGGAAUGGAUUACUAUUGAAGCAUCCAAAUAAUACACAAAAACAUACAUCAAAGAAGAAUUGACAUUUAUAUAUACAUAGUUACGAUUUGUAUAUUCCUAUGAAAUUGGAGUGUGUCAUAACAACUUUAGCCAUAGUUCGGAGGUGUACUGGAUUCUUAUCUCUUUUAUAGAUAUAGCUACAAUUUGCAUAUUCAUGAAUCGAAACUAGAGCGCGGCUGUAUCAAACGGACAUCAAGUGUAUCAGUUGUAUCCCAGUGAUUGAUAUCAGUUGCAUUAGACAGGUACCAAUUAUAUCAAAGCAUAUGUUUCAAUUAAAACCGCACAAAAGAAUUAUACUCACCGUACAUGUCUAUCGUGUAUUUAAUAUAAAAUUCAAAAUAUAAUUAACUACUUUUCCUAAUUUUUUGUAACAGUAUCCUAAAUACAGUCUAAAUAUUUACCGCGCUUCCCAUAAAUUGAACUAUGCCAUGGUCCAGCUUCCCCUGUAUAAAGAUUAAGGAGGGACAAUAUCUUUUUAGGGAAAAAUCCAAAACUAAGUGCUUCCAAUUUUGGAGGAGUUUUGGCCAAACAAGCUAGCAGCAAUUCAAAUUAGGAAACUUUUGUAAUUUGUGAAUCUUGAGGAGUGGGAGCUCAGAAGUUAAGAACUUUAGUGGGGUUUACAUAAUUUUUCUAAAUUUUGGCAGAAAAUAAUGGCAACAGUUUCUGUAAACCUACUUGGCAAGCAACUGCACCUAAUUUAUUGGCCAACAGUUUUUGCUUCUACACUAGUAAUUUUCAAACUUUACCAGAAAAUAUUUAUUUGCACCUUAUACCAAACCAUAUUAAAUAUUUUAGUUACUACCAAUGUACGAGGGAGUCAAGAGUCAAAGGUCAAUAAGGGAUGGGAGUGGAGAAAACUCUGAAGCGCUUCUCUUGAUCUUUAGUUCAUUGAUUUUUUGAUUUGGUGAAGGAUGUACUGAUAUUGACAUAUUCAAGAUGAAUUAUCUUGAUAUACGGUAUUUAUAGAUGAUAUAAUAUUGAUCGACAAAAUAUUAAAUCGAUUUAAUAAUAGGAUAGAGGUUUGGAAAUAGACCUUGAAGUUAGUCUUUAGGGUUCACAUUGAACAGGACUAAGAUACAGAACUUAAAUACAAGUUCAUUAACGUUACACACAUAGCAGAUACAGAAAUGAGGAUCGAUUCUCAAGUCAUAAACAGGAACGAAAAUUUGAAGUAUCUUUGUUCUAUGAUUCAAGGAAAUGGGGUUGACAAGAGCAGUUGCUUGGAUAGUAAGCACCGUCUACUUCCAACUCUGAGAUUGUGAGUUUGAAUUAUCAAGGGAGCAAAAAGGUGGGAACUCCUAGGAAGGGAUAAGAAAAAAAGUAUAUUUUUUUCCAUGAAAAUAGAGAGAUUGACGAUUAUGUUACACAUAGCCGGGUAAAUGAGGUGGAGGCUCGCAUUCAAUUUUUUUUUAUGUGAUAGGAAUGUGUCAUCAAGACUUAAAGAUAAGUUUUGUAAAAUGAUUGUAUAUUGAUCGAAAUGUUAGCCAGUCAAGAACUCACACGUCCAAAAGACGAAAGUAACAGAAGUAGUUGAAAUGGACGUGUGUACAUAGUAGGAGAGACAGAAUUAUGAACAAAGAUAUUUGGGACAAGCUAAGGUAAGAGUAGCCCUUGUGAUGGACAAAAUGAGAUAGCGGAAGUUGAGACGAUUCAGGCACAUCUUAUAGCCUAUGAGGAGAGCUAAUGGUAGGCUGGAUAAGUAGUGAGGAGAAAAGAUUAGACAAAAUAUGUCAUAAUUGCAGUUUACCUACGACAUGAUCCUAGUUAGAAAGGUAUAAAGGCACAAAUUAAGGUAGAACGUCAGUAGGUAUUCGAGCGUUGUUUAGUUAAUUUAGUUAAUUUGCACUACCACUAUCUUACCAAUUUUUAUCACCUAUUGUUUUCUUUAGUUAGGCCUUGUUUAUCAUUUUGGUAUUGUUCUUUCCUUCAUUACUUUGAUAUGUUUUAUUUGAACCGAUGAUCUAUCAAAAACAGUCUCUCUACCUUCACAAAAUAGAAAUAAUAUAGUGCACACACCACCAUCUCUAGACCUCGAUUACACUGAAUUGCUGUUUUACAGCUAUGAUAAAGUGAUAAAUUGAAAUGUAAUUGAUAAUUAAAGUGAUAAGUCUAGAUGCAAAUGGACGUCACUCAUAUAUCGGUUUAGAUUAUGAAUUGAAGUGAAAAAUCAAGUUAAAGUCAUAAAAUUUGAUGCAAACAAACGUUACAUUGCUUAAAAUCACUGUUGAUUGCAUGUAACCAUCCAUAAUAAGAGUACAAAGUAAACUUCAAUUGCAAAUUAGUUACGAUUUGAUGUGAUUAGUUCAUUGCAUUAUUGAUAAAUAUAAGUUAAAUCCGCCAAUAUAACCAAACAUAAACCAAAAUCACCCGUGAUUCCAAAAAGGCCAGCUGUAAACGUAUGCUAAAAAUUGAACCAAAAUCACAGACACAACAGUUUCUUGACGAAGAUGGAGUGUUUAAUUAAAAUUGCUUAGUCAGAAGCCAAAUCUUUUUGGUUCCUUUAAGAAUUAGUAUCACAAAACUCAAAACAAAAAAGGAAAUGAAAACUAAAAAAGAAGCUGUCUGAACAAGCCGCUAAUUACAAAAAGAAUCAACUGAUAAAGUUGAUUUUCUAAAAGAAAAUAGGUUAUCAAGAGGAAACAGUUACCUCUAAAAUUGAUUCACUCAACAACAUUCUAGAGAAAAAAAAUUAGAGUAUUAAUGUGGUUGUCACACAUGGUCCAUUCUAUCUGAUGCAUGAGGCCAAGUGUUAUCAAGAAGCAUUGAGGUAUAAAUCAUCUCAAAACAGGAAUAUGUUAAGCAUGAAUUGGAAGUAUUAGUAUGUUACAAUUCUCACCUUGUAAGCUAAUUUUGAGAUUGAGUUGGGUCCACUGUCCAUUUUGUUGAAAUGAUAGAAGCAAGAACCAUCCCUUUCUUAGUUUACCUAAUGCUGGAUCCCCGUGUAAUAUUGUUUACGUUCCAGCGGUCCGGCCCCGGGCCGAAGGAGAAGCUAUUAGUAUGUUCCACAUUGGUUCAGAGAAUUGAGUUAUCAUCUACUUUUAUGAUCUUGGACAAUUGCUACCUCAUGAGCUAGCUUUUGGAACUUCUUAACCAGAAGACGAGCAGAAUGUCAACCAUCUGGCUAUUCAGUGAAGCCCCUUUUUGAUCAUCAUGGAGCUGGGUGGUGAGCACAUUAGUUGGAAAAAGACUUGAUUGUUAUCUCAGAACAAUGAAAUUGCCUUGGGGCAGCAACAUCCAUCAGGAUUUAAGUGGAGCACCUUUCUGUCAUAAUGAAGCUGGACGGUGAGCACAUUAGCUGAAACUACUGACAAGUCCUUGAUUUCUUAUCCGCGAAUGUAGACUUGGAUUCAUUGAAGAAAGCACUUGAGGUGAAGACCAAUGAGUGUUGCGACAACGAUGGAAAGAGACUUGAUUCAUUACUUAGUCCUUCCAAACAAUCUUCAUGAUAUUGCACCGAGUAUCUCCUUCAAUUCCAAUUGUUGGUGAUAUAUAAAAACUAACCAUUCCUUUCACCGAGGAAACACCGACCCCUUUUCUCUUUCUGGGUGUGAGCCAUCCGUUCUCUAUGCAAAACGUUCGACAAAAUCUCAUAGGGCACCUAAUGUGCACCAAGAAGCACACUUCAUCAGAUCUUUUCUCAAGUUCACCAUAGCAUUUCCUGCAUCAGAGGGAUGCUCGUGGUUUCCUCAUGAUCUUGAUUCUUCCAUCGUCCAACCCUCAGAUAAUUCGCAUGUCAUCUUUCCCAAUAUUUGAUUUGAUAAUGAGGAGUGUGUAUACCCACAGAUCGAGCAUGUAAAAGAUAAGAUGUAAUAGAUCAUAUUGGUAUUUCUUCCUGGAGUCUAAUACAGUGCACAUAGUCAUCCCUGCAACCAACAAAUAUUUCCCCACCUAUCAUCACCGGGGAGGAGAAGAUGUCUCCUCCAAGUUCAAACUUCGCAAAUUCCCGCACCGUAUUACAUGGUUGAUUUGAAACGUCAGAAUUCAAGCUGACUUGAAGAACAUGUAAACUUCCAGAACUGGAGCAAACACAGAGUAACCUGGCAAUGUCAUAUACACACAUGGAUUAAGUUUCUUAUUUACUUAUCAUAAGCUCCAUAGAAUAAUUCAUUGCAUGAUAGAACUACAAUAGAUCACCUCUGAGACAGAGAAGAAUCAAUACAUGCCAAUAACAAGUGUUCAUCAACAUAGGCAGAUGAAGUAAUUGGAUGUCCAAUAUCAUGCUUCCAGAAUAAAUCACCUUUUUCCUAACAGAACAUGAAACCACAUCAACAUGAUCAAAGAUUUGAUGCAUUGAUGUGCCAAUAUUAUAUAAAUAUAUCUCAAUCUUUCACAUGGGGAAUGUCAGCCCGGCAUCUGUAAUAAUAGUUAAGAUAAUCUUGUGUAUGGUACAACUUGAAUGAUGUGCAUUAUCAAUCCAUAGUCAGAAGCUUUAGAAGAUAUGAUACCCAGAGACUUAACAUAAUUAAAUUACAGACUUUUGUUUUAUUCAGCAUCAAGAGAUCACAAGAAAAAGAGGCAUCAGACUUUAUAAGAGCUCUUUGAAUAUCAAAAAUAAAGGGGAUGAUGCCAUGGCUCAAUGCCUAUAUUGCUUCCAUGAUUUAACAUCUUAGAAUUAAGAAAAAGACGGGAGGUUAGCAAUUUAGCCUUGAUUUGUUGACCUUCAAUUUGCUUUUACCCCAAGGACUUCUUCUACUUCGUUAUUAUCAGUGUUGCUACGAGGGAUUGUUCGGCUCUAUUUUCCUAUAUCCUUAUUUGAUUUGAUAACACACCAAGCCAACAAAACAUGUCGUUUACUUAUAUGAGAUGAUCACACAAUUUCACAGAGAAUAAGAGAGGACCAGUAAACACAUCUAGGUAAGCUAAUUUACUUGUCACACAAACGACCUACUAUUGCAUUUGCAUGCAUUCUCCUCGAAAAGAGAAUCUUGAAACAGUCCAUUGCAUUAUAAGAUAUGUAAAGAUCUCUGUAGGGUAAGGAUUUCUUGAAAAGAAAAAAGAGGAAUGUAUACAGAAGCAGACUGAGGAGGAUCCAUUAUUGACAGGAAUUCAACAUCAAGGUACUGAACAUUUGUAUGGGGCCAUAUAGUAACAUGGCAAAGCAAUAAAUCUCACAGUAAUUCAAAAUAGAUAGCUGGAGCCUGGAAGUGCUGGUGACAUAAUAUGGCUAAAACAAUUCUUGGAAUAACUAGGAAUACCUUUGGACAUUACCUAUGAAGUAGUACUAAGACAAGAAGACAGUCAUUAGUAUCACAUACACUCUAAUUCAACAUCACAAAGUGAAGCAUAUCGAUAUUGACAGAAUUUUAUAACAGAGAAGGUAGAAUCUGAAUCUUUUUGUAUGUCAUUUGUUCCUAUAUCACAACAAAUAGCAAAUAUUCUUAAGCCUAACUAAGAGAAUCUUAUCAGCACGUUGGACAUGAUUAAUGAUACCAAUUAGAGGGGCGGUUUUGAUUUAGGAAUUAUUGGUUAGAAUUUAUCACUGAAUUUUGAAAAAUAAAAUAGAUUCUUUAUCUUGUAAAUUCGAACUUCAAAAUAGAGAGAUCGCUGGAGAUAAGCAAGAUCCUUUCCAUUUAGUACAAAUUCAUAACUUAUCAAGAAGGACAAUUGUCUCUAAAUAUUGUAUAUUGUAUUUGGCAUCAAUUAAAGAAAAUAUUUCAUUUAUCUUAUAUUCUCAAAACAACAAAAAUCUCUCUAAUAAUACACGUUUUCGAGUCAAGGUCAUUUUGACACACUUUUUUCUUAAGUGAAUCUUACAACACGUAGGACGACUAGUGAAUCCUACAACACGUAGGACGUCUAGGAUUAACGAAAAUAGCUUUCAAAAAAGUACAAUAUACUACAUCAAAAGGAAAAAAGAAGGGAAGAACAGCGACAUACAAUAAUAACACUAUUAUCAUCUACUAGGGACUCAUUUUAGUAUAAUAACUGUAUCAAUCUUGGAGCAUGAUAAUUACGUAGUGUAGACACAGCCAGAACCUUGUAUUGAGCAUGGGCAAGGAGAGAAAAGCUGAAAAAAUGACUGACAAUUUGGCAUGCAUGACACAGAUAGAAUGCAAAAUAGCUCUUAUAUAUAAAAAUAAUUAUAAGCAAAAAUGCAGAUUACACACUUCAUCAAUUUUAUAGGUUAUACAGAUCAUAGAUUAAAAAAUCACUACAAGAGGUUUAAAGAUCUACAUCUGAUUAAGAAAAAAUUUGAAGUUCUUAAAGAAAGCAUACAACAUGCAAUGUUCAACUUUAGCAGUAAAAUUUCCUGUGCCUAUAAAAUUUAGUGCUUGGUUGCAUAGACGGAAAAGGAGGUUUCGUUGUCUACAAGUUUCUUGCUUGUAUAAAAGACCAAUAUUAUUCAUUUGGAGAUUCAUGAUUCACAUGUCGAAGAAAGAAGCAGGAAACAACAUAGUAUCCAACAUCAGACGCAUGUUUGACUAGCAUUUGAGUUGGAGUCCAUUAUGACAGAAAAUAACAAGUAGGAAGUUCUACAUGUGCUCGUCCGAGGCUGACCUACCUUCUUUCCUGUUGGACUAAUGCAUCUUAACAUCAAUCAGGUAAACAAGAAAGCCACUUUUGUUGUAUGAACUCAACAGUCCAAAAGUAUCCAAAAAUGAAGCUUAAGGUUGAAAGGAGAAUACAUUUAUUUUUGUAACAAGAAUAAAAUUCAAGAGGAGCCUAUGUGCAGGUGAUUUUGGAGCAAGAGGAGCCUAAUGAAGAAAAGAGACAGAUUAAAAAGCUUGUUCCGACGGUCAGACAGAACAGCCAAAAUUUGCUCUAAGCUCCUUAAAAGAUUGAGGAAAACUUCUUCCAGAUUGUGUACACAUUGGUAAUAAGAAUGCACCAUUAGCUUAGUAUGCUUGGAAUCUCGGAUCGUGUACGGAGAAUGCACCAUUAGCUUAGUAUGUUCUUUAAGCUAGUCAAUAAUCAUUAAUGUCAUAAUCAUAUGCUGCACAAGAACAACUGAAGUUCAAGACCUUUACCGAAUCAAAGGAGUAGACACUGCCAUCUCUUGAGCAAACAAUUACCUGUAGAGAUUUAAAAAGGAGAAUAUUCAUACUCGCGAGCAUUUGGAUAUUGAGAUACUACUUACUGAAAAAUUAGAAAGGCUUUGGGAAUGCAAAGAAUGGAAUAGUAAGGACAGAAAAAAUAAACUUGUGAAAGGCCUACUUAAGCUGAUAUCUUACUUGUAUGGUGAAACUUUUAUGCUAACUGCAGUAAUCGUAGGACUGUGUCGAUGGUAGGAGCCACUAGUCAGGAGAGACUGGGUGUGGUGGGUGGCUUUGGUCUGUGAGUGUAGGUUACUACUAGGCGGGUACCCUAUUCCAGAUUUCGUUUUUCUUAUUUCUUAUUGCUUAUGGCUCUUAGUUCCCCUAUCCUGUAUUGCUCUGAGUUCUAUUUUACUAUUUCUGAUUCUUUACUCCUUUACUCCUGUUAAGCCACUCAUCCUGCUUCACGUUUCAUUACGACUUUUGUUUACAAUUUUUUAUCUUGAGCCGGGGGUCUAUCAGAAACAACCUCUCUACUUCUUCGGGGGUAGCGGUAUGGACUGCGUACAUUUUACCCUCCCCAGACUCCACUGUGUGGGAAUACACAGGGCUUCUUCUUGUUGUUGUUGUUGAAAAUAGAAGCAGACAAUAAACUGAAAGUAUAGAUGAAUGUCAAAAACAAAAGUAGGUCAAAAAGGUUGGCAGAGUCAUCAAGAAAUCGGACUAUGGUUCACAAACUAAGGUCUACACUUACAGGUAGACACCCUACUACUAAUUUGAAGCAGAACUUUGGGCAGGAAGCAGGAAAGCCAUCAAGGGAAAUUCAAAUGUGACUUUUGGUACCUAAAACUCUACGUCCUCACCCUCAUAAAGGAAAGGACUAUUGCAUAAGCCCUUAAAAUCUACAACAUCACGACUUUCAUGCUUGUUCCUGUCACCAAAAAAGUUCGGUACAUCUCAGCUACGCAGAAUAAAGAAAGUAGGCUGUGUGAUCCCAGCAUGUGUUUUAGCUUCCUUGUGAAUGGUUACCUUAAAAUAGAAGUGUGGUUGGAUGCAAUUUAUAAAUAUAGAAGAUAUUAUUGAGAGAAAUAAUCACCUGUGAAGGUAGUGCACGAGAUAUGCAGGGCCCAGCAAAUAUUGGGCCAGUUGUACUCACCUAUUUCACAAAAAAAUAAAAACAUAAAUAAAUAAAUAAUUGAUGAAAAUCGGGGAAAAAAAAAGACAUCUCACAAGAAAUGGACAGAUGUGCAUCAACUUAGAGAUCGGAUGCCUAAUUUCAUUUGGUAUUGAAUAUAGUCUUAUUCAAUCAACCAGACUGUAUUAAUGCUUUAGUAAAUUUUUGCGCUUAUUGAGACAUAAUACAAUUGCAUACAUAAAUCUGUGCUCUCUAUAACCGCUUAAGUUUUUCGAUGAGAUGGUCACACACUUUGACAUAGUAUCAGAGCAGGCAAGCAGUCUAAGUUCCAAGUCUUACUGCCACCCAUUAUCAAAAAAAGGAAUUUUCCCGUGCUUGGCUCAUAAAGACAAAAAGAAUAUGUGAGGGGGCAUGUUGAGAUAUAAUAUAAUGCACAUAAAUGUGUAUACACUCUAACAACUUAUGCUUUUAGAUGAGAUGGUCACACACUUCAACAACACCAAUUGUUUUACAACCACAUCAUCCUAUUUACAGAUGUUCAAAUUUACAACCAUGGCAAUCAGAAAAUGGUUUUAUCUCAGCACUAAAGGUUUGGCUUUCAGAUCGUGUAAGAGGUAAGGUUAUUUCAGGAAAAUUAACCCUGAAAGGGGAGAAUGUUUCAGAGGAAAGGAAUUGCGAGUUUGUUCCUGAUAAGGUCAAAUUUAUUGAUGUAAGCCAGCUGACGGUUGAAAUAGUACAUCAGAAAAUAUGUGAAUCACAUAGAAUGUAAUGAACACAUAGUGUAAAACAUAGCUUUAGGCUCUUAACAAAUUCACCACCAGCGUUGCACCAAAAACUAAGCAGAAUAUAAAUUUACGUGAGCUUAGUACAAAGUCAUUCUGCACCCAAGGGUGUGACCUAGUGGUUCAAUGAAGUUAAGUUGAACACCAUGAGGUCUCAGUUUCAAUUCCCAACAGAGACAAACAUUAGGUGAUUUCUUCCCAUCCGUUCUAGCCUUGGUGGGCAGAGUUGCCUGGCAUCUGUUGCUGGUGGCAAGUAUCCCGUGGAAUUAGUCGAGGUGCGCGCAAGCUGGUCUAGACACCACGGUUAUAAAAAAAAAGUACAAUGUCAUUCUUGAAAAAAAUAAAUUAGAAGUUCUAGCAGUUCUUUCUUUCCAAGUGAUCCAGCAUAUAGUGACGGAAAUAGUGUUCCAGGUAGGAAGGGAAGGUUUAGGAACUCUUUUCCUACCGUCAAGCAAGCAAGCAGGUCUCUAAAAAAUUUCUUGCAUGCAAAAUUUAAUGCUCAAAACAUUGAAAACCAGGUUGCAAAAUUGACGGGGAUUUUCCAAUGAAGGAAGAAGUGUUGGAGAGUAUGCAACAAUUACGGAAAGGUGCUACAACUAUUAUUUAUUGACUCAUGGGCUAAAUUUAAACGCACAACUUGACUUUCAAUACGAUCAAAUGAGUAAAGGUGAUACUUGAAAAAGAAGCAAGGUCCGAAGCAGAUUAUAGUUGAGACCAUGUGCAGACUUGAACUAAGCAAGGAGAAGAAGAGAGCAAGUGAUUAUGGGAUACAUAUGUAGAGCUAGCUAAAAAAGCAUCCUCGUAAUGAGAUAAGAACAUUAUACUCAAUCUUCAAUAAAUGCAUAACAGACAAAAGAAUGGACCCAAGAAGCUAAAGAGUGAAGUGUUGGUAUGUUCUUUCAACAAGGAAAACUUAAAUGCUUUUUUUUAAUCACGUAAAGAUUUCAUUGAUAAUAACAAGGCCAACAUGGCCGUAUACAAGAGGUAUACCAAAAAAGAGAAAUCCAUAAAAUAUGGUUCUCUCCAAAAGACACACAAUCCUCUACACAAACAAGAACUGCAUGGGUGCACCAAAAGAAAAUAAGGGAUCGAAGACUGCUUAGUAAAGCUCAUCUCCACCCCGUCAAAAGCUCUCUCAUUCCUCUCUUUCCAAAUAACCCACAUUAGCUCAAGAGGAGUAACACACCAUGCCUUUAAAAACUUAAAUGCUAGCAUAAAUUCAUAGUACAAAAGUUAAAUCUACAAAGAUACAAAAUAUUUUCACUGAAAAAUUAUUCUGCAGAGAUUGGUCUCUGCAGAGAUUGGUUUCUGAUCAUGUUCCUAUUGCUCUUCAUUGUGGCACUUGGGAGGCUCCAAAAUCGUAUUUCAAAUUCAGAACUGAUGGUUGUCGAAAGAGGGUUUUGUGGAUAAAGUUAGAAAUUGGUAGAACUCUUUUGAAUUCUCUGGAAGACCUGAUUACAUUUUAGCCUCCAAGCUCAAAGCCCUCAAAGGGAAGCUCAAGGAACAGAGUAGGAGUGAUACAGCGAAUCUAAAUCUACAAAAGUCAAGAUUGCAUAGUCAAAUGGAAGCACUGGACUUUAUCUUGGAAACUAGGAUCCUUACAGAGGAAGAAGUGGCUGAAAAAGCUGGCUUAUUUUUGGAUCUUAAAGAAGUCCUCAGAAAUGAGAAAAGUGCAUGGAGACAAAAAUCUAGAGCACUAUGGCUCAAGGAGGGGAUAAACACACUAAGUUUUUUCAUCAAGUAGCAAAUGCCCACAAGAGGUACAAUCACAUUGAUAAACUAGUGGUGCAAGGGAAAAAUAUAAUGGAACCAUAAAAAAUAAAGGAAGAGAUAGUUAAAUUUUACAGUAAUCUAUAUACAAAGCAGGAAGAAUGGAGACCAACCGUGAAUAUCAGAAACUUUCCAACCAUUACAGAAGCUGAAAAAGAAUUUUUGCAGGGUGACUUUGAAGAGCAGGAAGUAUAUAAUUGCCUCAAGAUGUGUGCAGAAGAUAAAGCUCCAGGACCAGAUGGUUACACGUUGGGGUUCUACAUCAAGUGUUGGGAAAUUAUGAAGCAUGACAUCAUGGAAGCUUUGCACAACUUUUAUUCCCAGGAAGUGUUUGAAAAAAGUUUCAAUGCUACUUACAUAGCUUUGAUUCCAAAGAAGAAGGGGGCAAAGGAGCUGAAAGAUUUUAGACCAAUUAGUUUGGUAGGGAGUUUCUACAAACUAAUCUCUAAAGUCUUGACAGAUAGGUUGAAAAAGUGGUGGAAAACCUGGUAGACUCUCAACAAAUGGCCUUUAUAAAAGGCAGACAAAUUAUGGAUGCUGUGUUGAUAGCUAAUGAGGCAGUAGACUCUAGAAUCUCCCAAGAAAACCUGGUAUUCUAUGCAAACUCGACAUUGAGAAAGCAUAUGAUAAUGUCAACUGGGAUUUUAUCCUGGAAAUCCUUAGACAGAUAUGCUUUGGUAACAAAUGGGUUAACAGGAUAAAGUUUUGUAUAACCACAGUGAAGUUUUCAAUUUUAGUCAAUGGUAGCCUGAAGGUUUCUUCAACUCUCAGAAAGGGAUCAGACAGGGGAAUCCCAUGUCCCCAUUCCUGUUCAUUUUAGCCAUGGAAGGGCUUAAUAGCAUGAUACAGGUGGCGAGUACUAAUACUAAUGGCUGGGUCCAAGGUUUUGAAGUGGCUAGGAACAAUAAUCAAAGAAUGGAAAUCACUCACCUCCAGUGUGCUGAUGAUACUCUAAUAUUUUGCGGAGCAGAAGAGGAGCAAUUAAAGUUUUUGAGAGUGAUCCUAAUUUUGUUUGAGGCUAUUUCAGGUCUUCACAUCAAUGGGAAGAAGAUCUCCCAUAAAUCAGGUACCUGAUAUAGAGCUUUUGGCUACAAUUCUAGGAGGUGAAGUGGGCAAUUUACCUACUGUUUACUUUGGCAUGCCUGUGGGAGCCAAAUCAAAGUCCAACGGAAUUUGGGAUUCUAUUUUGGAGAAGUGUGAGAAGAAAUUGUCAAGGUGGAAAUCACAAUACUUGUCCUGGGGGUAGGUUCACUUUAAUUAAUGCUAUCCUGGAUGCUUUGCCUACCUACAUGCUUUCCCUUUUCCCAAUCCCAUCUGGAAUCGCUCAAAGGCUGGACAAAAUCAGGACAACUUUCCUCUGACAAGCGAACAAAGAAAAAAGAGCUGCUCACCUAGUCAAAUGGAAAGAUAUCACCACAAGCAAGAGACAAGGGAACAAAGAAAAAAGAGCUUCUCACCUAGUCAAAUGGAAAGAUAUCACCACGAGGCCGGAGAGUCGGUAACCUGAGAUCGCCUAAGCAAGAGACAAGGAGGACUUGGCAUCAGAAAUUUGAAGCAUCAAAGCAAAGCUUUGAAGCUUAAAUGGCUUUGGAGAUAUUCACAUAAACCUCAAACUUAAUGGAGCAGAGUCACUAAGAGCAAAUAUGGGGAAGGAAGACAGUUGAGUUUCCAAGGAGGUCACCACUCCAUAUGGAAUCAUUCUCUGGAGGUCCAUAAGAUGUUUUUGGCCCUUUCUCAAAGAUCAUUCUCACAUUAGAGUGUUUAACGAAAACAGGACCAAGUUUUGGAAAGACAAAUGGAUUGGAACAAGGUGUCUCAUAGACCUGUUCCCAGAUUUGUUUGUCUUGGCUCUAGAUCGACAAAGAACAGUAGGUGAGAUGUGGACACAACAUGGUUGGACUUGAGGUUCAGAAGAAAUUUAAAUGACUGGGAGAUACCUAGACUUCUGGAACUAUUUAAUCAGCUGAAAAAAUUUCAGGAGACACAAAACGGAGUUGAUCGCCUACGGUGGAGCGAAAACACAAGUGGAAUAUACAAGGUUAGUUAUGGCUACCAGAUCUUGAAUCAGAUUGAGCCACAACUCAAUUACUAGCCUUGGAAACACAUCUGGAAAAUCAAGAUACCUUACGAAGUAUCUUGUUUCACCUGGCUUCUUGCUAAAGAAGUUUUAACACAUGAAAAUCUGGUCAAAAGGAAUAUUGUUUUGUGCUCUAGAUGUUUCCUCCGCGAAAAAGAAUUGGAGACAAUUAACCAUCUGUUCCUACACUCCAGCAUAACAGACCAACUAUGGAAGAUUUUCAUCAAUCUCAGAGGCAUAGCAUGGAUAAUGCCCAGCAAGAUUGCUGACACUCUUUUUAGCUGGGAGGAGGCAGGAAGUGGUGCAGGGAAUAAAGAGAGAUGGAGGAUUAUUCCAUCAUAUAUAUGGUGGACCAUCUAGAAGGAAAGAAAUGAUAGAUGCUUUGAAGAUAGAAGAAAUUCUGUUCAAAGUAUUAAACUUAACUUUAUUUUGCUAUUCUAUUUUUGGUGUACCAAAUUGUAUUCUAGUGACACUGAAGCAAUCUUAGAUGUCUUAAGCACCAUUUAGGUCUGACUCUCUAUUGGUAGAUUUUGCAAUUAUUUCCUUGUAAAUAUGGGUUUUCAGUACUACAGUACUAAAUACUGCAUCAAUACAAAUGUUAACCUUGUUAAAAAAAAAAUUAUUCUCCAGAGUUAUUGAAUUUGAAAGUAACUAUAUAAUGAUAAGUUGUGUUUUUUGGUGAGUCAAAAUGUGAAUAUUCGUCCAAUUGUGUUUUGGUCAAGUGGAGGAGUUCGUUCUUCUAUAUUUGGAUUUGCCUCUUCCAUGCAGCUUCUAAGAAUUUCAGUUUUACCACCGAAAAAUACCCUCCUUAUAUCCAAAUAACAAGGUGGAAUACAUGGAAUUCAAUAAAAUUAAUGUUCUACCUUCCAAAUGACAGAUCCCUCAGUAUCCAGCGUAACAGCACUUCCAUCCACCAUGCAACAUAUAACUGCAACACCACAAGCUAUGUUGAAAUUGACAUCUGAUAAAAAACACACCAUAACAGCACAUACUACCAACCAUCUAAAAUUUGGACAACGGUCCAUAACAUCAUAAAAAAAAACAUAAGAAAUAUGAAAAUCUGAGGUUCCAAUCAAAAUUUUAAGACUAUCGUUGUAGUCCUAGACCUUUAGACACUGCUCUAGAUGCCUUUAUACACCUAUAUUUUGUGUAUCUCUAACACCCUCCACCACAGGUAACACAAUGUAGGGUUCACAUGCAGGCGAAAAGUCAACCUACGGGUGAGAAAAUGGACUAGCCAAGUGUUGCACUAUGAAAGCCCUCACGCGUGAAUAUGGAAUGUGGUAUAUCAACACCUGCAGGCUAAAAGUCAGCCUAAUAUCUAGUCACGGACAAAAAGAUAACAAGCUACAACAAGUACCAUUUCCAGAUGAUGGAUUGAUUGAAAGUGACCCAAAAAUAGGAACUCCAAACUCGUGUGCCCAUAGUUGACCAAAUGGCAGAGCCUGCAGAUCAAAAUUUGUUUAGCAGGAUUGCAAAGAAGCAAAUAUUGACAAUACUGCAAAGUACAAGAAGGUAAUGCUUUGACACAUUAAACAAAAGUACGUGUAUGCUGUUGAUACCAUGGAGCAACACAUAUCAUUCCAUCUCUCUCCUUGAGUGGAGGGUUGGCAAAGAAAAGAUUACCAAAGACGGCAAGAAAGUAUUAGGUUUAAAGAGAUAUUCUAUGACGAAUUCUAUUAUGUACUGGCCUAGUAUGCCAUAGAGAUAAAUAGGCAGUUGAUAAAGGUACCAUAAUUUAUUUUUUUUGAUAACCAAAAGGUCCCAUAAUAUUUAAGACAUACAUAUCUGUAACUCUUUUAGUAACCAGCGGAGCUGUAAUACGACCAAUCUUGUUGUCUUGUGAUAAUUAGCAGUAAACAUUUAACAACAUCCAACUUUAGAUUCAGCAUAUGGUAAAUGAGUUAUCUCUUGGAUACCAUUACUAUGUAGAGAAUGGUACUGAGCUGCUGUUUUUGUAACAGUUUGUAUUGAGAAUUUGAGAUAAUGGAUAAAUUUUUGAGGGAAAUGUGAUGACGUAGUGAUAACUCAAGCAACUACAAGUAAAAUAAUCAUUUGGGAGUGCAUUGAUUAAUUUUUGUAAAGCAAUGGAGAGAGUGAUAUAUGGCAGUUCCAUUUAGUGAAUUUGGUGAGAUAUGAAGGUCACAUAUGACACAAGCUGAAGAAACUAUCACUAAAAUAAAAUAUUCAUCUGUAACGGGUCACAACAUUUGUAACUUUUCUGGAGACAACGUCCAAGGGAAAACAAUUUUUGAUAAAUUUUGGGAUUAGUAAGUGUUUGCUUCAAAUUUUUGAAGAGAAGUUUGAAUUUUCAACCAAAUAUUCAUUCUUUUCUUUUUUCCAGAAAAUAUUUCUCAACCAAACAGCAAAAAAUUAAGAGUUUCAGUUUUUAAAGAAAAGAAAAAACUAUAAUAACUAUUCUUUCCUGGUGUUCGGUUAAAAAGUAGUUUUUGCAAAAGAUUGAAAAACUAUUCCAAAACAAGUUCUUCAAAUUUUUGAAACAAACGCUGCCUUUCUGGUAAUUCAUAAACAAACAUGUUCUCAAAAUUUUGAAACAAUAGCUUCCCCAGUUGAGAUUCUGAACAAAGUUGGUCACCUAAACAAAUGUGAAGGAAGGGGAAAUGGGGUUUGAUCUGAUAAAGAAACAAACGAGAAACUCGUCUGUUGCAUAAUGAAGAAACAAGAAAAUUGAUUAAAUGUAAAAGCUUUGUCCUAUUCAGAUGCUAUCACGAUUCUACCUUUUACAUAUGCUUUACAACUACAUAAACUUCUAUCACAAUCACAGAUUCUUAAGAGAUUUUUACAAUAUCUUCAGAUUCUUAACAAUCUACAUGUUUGACUAGGAUAAAAUUAGUAUCCCCUUUUCCGCUGAAAAUUUAAUUAUAAAGCAAAGAGAAAAGCUAUAUCUCCAUACUGAUUGCUUUCAGUGAUAUAAUGAUAAAUCACAUUAGCCCAGACUCUGCCAAGAGCCAAAAAACAAAAUGCCUCACAUAAUGAUGACAUUAUUCUGGUAAGGUCUUAACUCACAUCUUAAUUAGAUACCAAUUGUAACACAGAGAUCAGACGCCAAAAAUGCAGCCAGCAUCAUAUUCCGUUUCUUUGUACAGCUUAAAACUAGCAUUAACUAUCUGCUUUGACAUGUUAUAUAUACUCCCUACUUUGUUGGCAAAAACAAGUAACUACUCAGUGUCAUGUAAGACCGUAUGAACUUGUAUGGAGCUAAGAUGAUAGUAUGAGAUUUCUGGACACAGAAAAAGGUUGCUAGCACUAGUGGAAGAUAAGGAGAACUGUAACCACCAACAGGAAAGAAGAUUAAUGUCAAGAAACACAUUUGCCUAUAGAUCUACUAAACAUGCAAAUUGUUUCACGAGGUAUGAGUAGUGACAUGAGGAGGGUCCCGAAUAACUUUUCUUCCACUUGGUCCAUCAUUAUUACAUUCCAUAAGAAAAGUAGAAAAAUGUACUUCAAAGAAAUAUAAAUACAACUCCUUACCCCAAUAAAUAGUGCUGUUACUCUGCCACUAGUGGAUGCUACAUAGAGUUUUUCAUGUACCUAAAAAGUUUUUUAAAGAAAAAGGUUAAGAAUAUUAGAAGAGAAAGGUUGCUUAAACAAGGCAGAAUAUCCAUGACUGGAACUAAGAUGUUAGAAUUGAUAAGGAUAAUUUUUCCAAAGCAAUGUAGUACACGGCAAAAGCAUAUAAUAACAUGCAAUAUAUGGUAGUUACCUUUAGCUCAAAAAAAAAAAAAAAACAUGCAAUAUACGGUAAUCUCCGAUCAGAUAUCUGAUAAAAAUUGCUUUCGCUGUGUACAAUUUUAUUGACAUGGAACUCAUAAGAUGAGGGGCAAAACUGAAACUCAGUCUCAUGGAUCUCAAGGAAGGUAUGCUAAUUAGCCCUUAUAGAAAUGUACAGCCAAACUCUUUAACAUUUUAAAAAUGCCAAAAUUUUCCAGAAGGGCAAGUCUAUCCACAAAGAAGGUCACUCAGAACCACCUCAUCAAGUGCAGGAGCACCGAAUAUGCUACCGCCACAUCGAAUUUUAUAAAUGCAGCAGUGAUUCUCAUAAUCAAGGGCAUAGAGAUUAUGAUCAUGCGACCCACACCUGCAGUCAAUUAUAUGAAGACAAUACAAUGAGUUAUAGUUGCAGUAAAUAAAAUCUAUUGAUCAAGAUGGCAAGAAACUUGACUACAUCAACAAAAACCAUUAGAUCACACACCACAUGUAUCUCUUUAUUCUUAUAUAUAUAGCAUUUAAAUUUUGAUCUAGCACUUAAAUAAAUAUUUUUCUAAAGGAAAAAGAGCGUCAACUUCAACAUAUAAGGCUUCGUAGUCUCAUACACAGCAAGCCAUGUUUGCAACAACAUUGCAUGGCUACAUUUUCCUUGACAUACUCCUGUCAAAUAGGGAUUAUGUUCAUGCAAAUCCUCAAAAUACACUAAAGGGUUGUCUCAUAACAUCCAUUAGAGAAAAAUAAUCAUUAUAUAAUACUCUGCAUUAUUAUCAACUUCUCGUCACCAUUUCCAUAUCACACAUAAAUAGUAACGGAAUAAUCAGGAUAUGAUGAAUUAAUUUUAGAUCGUGUUAGAAGAUAAAUUAAGAAUACGCAUAUUAACACGACAUAGGAAAAACAAUUAAAAUGACAAAAAGACACCCCAAAAGUAAGCUGUCUUAUUUAAUGCAAGGAAUCCAAUGAAAUCAUGAUAACGUUGUAUAAUAAGGAUUUCUAACAUUUCUGAAUGUAACAUGUGUACGUGUGCAAUAAUCAUUUAAGUAAACUUUUGGUUUUGGUACCAGAACAUUUUCUUAAAAAAAAACAUGAGGGCACAAAGGUAGUUUUUCUAGCAAGGAAACAGAUUUACCUAAUUGUUAUUAUAACAUUCUUAGUAGAGUUCUAUCUAGGCAUAGUUGUUCUGGUAACAAAUGAGUGGUAUAUACUCCAAGAGUAUUUAUUAUUAGAAAGGUAAAUACUCCAAGAGUGGUCAAAUAUACCAUGUCGGUGCAAUAUUGCUGGAUAUGCCAUUAUUUUUCUAAUGAUAGAAGCUUCCCAACAGGUGGGCCUUUUUCACAAUGGAAAAGGGACAAAUUUGCCCCUGAACUAUGCAAAAAUGGUCUAUCCAUUUGGACCUUUUGCCUUAAUAGAAAACAAAUUUCUAUCCACUUGAAGUCAAAGAUGUCGUAAGUUUGUAUUAUGAUGAACCAAAUGUUAGACGACAAAUACAAAUGCACUAAAUAAUCAGUAAUUGUUAUUCACCACAUUAUACCUCUGGUAUUAUCCACACACAGUUUGUCUGUGAAACAAACCACCUCUAACAAUUGCUAAUAACUAGAAUGCAUCAAGUUUUUAAUCUUAUUGCAGCAUCAUUGUCCGAAGAAGGGUGAUUUGUAAAACCAAAAAUGAGAUAACAAUAAUACUUAAGUGGUUGACAAAAGGAAAACGAAGAAAUUGAUAAACCAUACUUAUCAGCAACAAGGAAAAAAAAAAAAAGAAGCAGCAAAGAUGAGCAAUAACAGACUGUACAGCUUUGCUCGGCCAUCUUCAACACUGCUUCAGAAAAUAACAACAACAACAUACACAGUAUAUUCCCACAAAGUGAGAUCCAGGGAGGGUAAGUGUACGCAGACUAAUGAGCUCUUGUGUAAUUCUACAAUGUCAACGGGUACUGGACUACUAAAAAACCUCAUCUCAACACAAGCUCUCCGUAAUUGUGUAGUCAAUUGGCACUUCGACAGUUCAAACACUUCAUUAUAAAAGCACCAGGGGCUCUCAGUAAUUCUAUGAAGUUAACUGGCACUUAAGACCAUUGAACAGAGCAAUCAUGGGCUGAUCAGAAACAAUGGAACCCAGCUGGUUCUACCCAUCUUUCCUGUGAUGGGUAGUGGCACUCAGUUGCUGAUAAAACAAAAUGAAUUUGGAAGAUGAGAUCAUUGGGACAUUGUAAGAACACAUAUCACAUGAGGCAUUUCAUGAAAUAUAGAAUUAAAUGAGAUCUCCAAAAAGUGUAAGGAAGAAGCCAAUGUAAUGAUACGCAUCCUUUUACCUGUAUUUAACUGUGGUUUCCCUUCCCAAGCCCCCUCGCCAAAGAUUUUUAAAUAACAGAUAAAUAUAUGCACUGACAUUCCAAAAGCAGAGAAGAAAUAGACAAGCUUCAAAUACAGAGAAAAUUGACAAGUUUUAUCAACCAGUUAGGUAAUUUCCUGCAUGAAACAACAGUAGAUAAAGAAAAGAAAUUACCAGACCAAGUGCCUCUCUUUGUCAAUGACUGGCUGUGAUUUGACCUUAAAUCCAGAGAUUGAGCACAAAAAUAAAUGUCAAACAACAGUCAAAGUAGAAAACUCUAGUAAAUAGGAAAGAAGGCCAAUUUCCAGCAGACUACAAUCAACUACCUAGUUUAACUAACUUCAAUUGGGCUACAAACACCACUGGAUGAUCAAGAGUCAUCUCCUGUAAUAACACCAAGUGUCCAAUGUACUUUAAAGGAAAGUUGCAUCUUUAGUGUGUAGGUGUUGAAAAUAGAGCUUGGGCCAACUCAACCCCGAAAGUUUGCCCUAGAAGUGAAGGAGCGUGGACGAUACAAGAUGGAGCCCAACGUCAGGUAAGCAAAUUGGGAUGGGUUUGGCUCUGUUGCCAUGUUAAAAAUCGACUUUGGGCCUAACUCAACCACAAAAUCUAGCUCUAGAGGUGAGAAUUGUCCAAGAGCAUAUGAGGAGGCCAGAAAAUCCACAUCCCAAAGAUGUGGGACUCAACAAUUGUGCAUUGAAAUACCAGGCUUAAUUAGCACGGUGCAGAACUCAAACCUAUGACCUAAGUCACACGUACCUCAAUCAUUGCUACUUGAACAAGCCCUGGGGACCUCAUUUGUUAACCUUUUAAAGCAUUCAAAGGUUGUUGAAUUACUUAUCUUUUAUGUUGUGAACACCACUCACUUAAUGUUAAACCUCUAAUAAUGCAAAUAAUCCCCUUAACCUUCUACUAAACCUUAGUCUUAUUUUACAUUAUUUACGAUAAAAUUAAUUUUAAUGUAACAAGAUAUCCUAUCUCAAUUAAGUGAAACCUUUUAAAAAUUUAAAUAAUGACUAAAUACCCGAGAAGAAAUCAGUAAAAUCUCAUUCUUGUAAAACUUUGUGCUAUUUAAUCAAAAUUGUAUCAUAAUAAAAUGAUAACACAUCUCUUAAAUAACAGGGAAAAGUUCUACAGGUUUGUGAUUAAUAUUCAAUUGAAAUUAAAGACUUCUAUUGUCGAGAUAGAAUUUUACUUUAUAUAAGAGAACAUUUAAAAAGAUAUAUAUUGUGAAUAUAUGAAGACCACAACCUAAUGUAUAAUAAUAUGCUAAGAGGAACUGUAUGCAUAUCAGAGGUUUGGCGUUAAUUGAUGACUCCAAAAAUGAUUGUAUAAGUGAAAACAGAUUGAAAAAUUAACAAAUAGAUUAGUUCUCUUUUUUCAUCCAAAAGUUAGCAAUCAUUAAGAUGAUAGCACAUUUUGGAGUUAAUAACUUAAAAGGUCACUUAACUUUGAACUUUUAUCCUAAAAAGUACUUAACUUUGGACUUUACUCAGAAAGUCACUCAACUUAAGAUCUUUUACUCAAAAAGUCACUCAACUCAUUUUAUUAUUUUUUAAACUAAAAUUUUGCUUAAAUGAAAUUUUUUUAAUAACAAAAUUCUGAAAAAUAUAAAAUAUCCACUUUAUGACCCCUUUACCCUUUUCUUCAUUCUCCUAAAUUAUCUUUACCAUCUUUUUUACACAUUUUGCUUCUCCUUCUUGCUAGCUAAACGUAACAAGUAUUUCAACUGUUUAUCCAAAAUAUUGAUUCCUGUAUAAAAAAUUUUAAGCAUGGUGCUAGCCGAAGAAGUUCAGGAUGGUAAUGUUCUAAAUUUAAGCGAUAAUGUAUUAGGAGUUGUCCAAAGUAAUAUGGAGGGUAAUAUAGAGGAUGAUAAAAAUUACUGAUGCUAGUACAAAAUACAAAAGACAAAUCACUUCAUUAUAUAAAUAUUUAUAGGUGUUAAUCAAAAUCAUAGUUAACUAAAAACUAUUUCAUUAAUAAUAGUAUAUUACAAAAUACAGAGAACAUUACUAUGUUCUUAUAUUUUCAUAGUAGAAGACAAAAGGAAUCAGUGAUCCGAGUUGUAUAAUAAUAAGGAAAUUGAGUUUCUUCAACUUCGAAUAAUCUCAGUUUUGAACAUUGAAAAAAACACGAAUAAUGUACUAGUACAAAAUACAAAAAUCAAAUCACUUAAUUUUGCUUAUUUUGUAAAAAUUUGUUUUCGUAUGACCUUUACUCAUUAGUUGCAUGUGUUAUCUUAUAAGUAGUAUUUUUUGUUAAAAGGAUAUUGAUUAUUCAGUGACAUUUGAAUAGUAAUUUAUAGAUUAUUUUUUAUCAAGUGACGAAUAAAGCUACAAAUUCAUGAGUCAAUACUUUGGAUAAUGGUGUAUAUGGAACAAAAAUGGUUGAAACAACAAUAGAAGGAGAAGCAAAAUAUGAGAAAGAACUAAAGAAGUGGUGAUAAUUUAGAGGAAUGAAGGAAAGGAUAAAAAGGGUCAUUAAGUGGAUAUUUUGUAUUUUUUAGAAUUUUGUUACUAAAAUAAAAUCCACAUAAGCAAAAUUUUGUUUAAAAAAUAAUAAAAUGGGUUGAGUGACUUUUUGAGUAAAAAAUUUAAAAUUGAAUGAUUUUCUGAGUAAAAUUCAAAGUUGAGUGACCAUUUAAGUUAUUAACUCCACAUUUUUGCAUGUAAUGUUGAAGACUUAGUGCCUUUUGGGAUUUGCUUAUUUCCCAUAAUAAACACUUAUUUUGAAAAAAAAAAAAGAGCACUUGUUUUGAAAAGAAGGGUGUUUGGUAAACUUUCAAAAAUGCUUUUAAAAAGAAGCAGAAGCAACUUUUCUGCUUCUGGGAAGAAGCAGAAAAUUUCUACUUUUCAAAAAAAGUAGAAGCAAAAAAAAAAAACUUUCAUAACAAAAAUAUCCCUAUUACUCACACUUACACUCUCUCUCUCUCACACACACACACAUAUAUCCCUUAUUAAUUAACUAACAUAUCUUAUAAGUUUGAUUAAAGUUUAAUUUUAAAAUUGGAAAAAGACAUCGUUUUCACCCCAAACUAUACAAGAAAAGUCUAGGUCACACCUAAACUAUAUUAGUGACCUAUUACACACCUAAACUAAAAAAAAGUGAUACUUUUUACACCAUGUAAAGCAUUAUACCACUUGCAUGUGGUGUGGUGUAUUACACGUGCUUGCCACGUCAGCAUAAUACAAAAAAAUUAAUAAAAAAUAUCAAAAAACCCUUAUUAUUUUUAAUUUUGUCAUCUAUCAUUUUUCUCUAUUCUUCUUCAUCAUUCACUCAUCAACAUCCAAUUUAUUUCUCUUCUUCUUCAUCAUUCACUCAUCAAAAUCACUUUAAUUUUUCCUCAAUUCACCUUUGUUAAGGCUUGAAUUAUUAUGUUUUCCUAUAUUUAACGGUUAUUUUUGGGUUUUCUCAUCCGAGCUUUGUGAUUUUGAUUGAAAUUGUAAUCAAAUUGUUGGGUAAUUAAGAAAAACACAUCUGAAUUUUGUUAGUUUGCUUGAAAUUGUGAUCAAUUUGUUGAGUAAUUAGAGAAAACCCAUCUGGGUUUUGUGAUUUUUGAUUGAAAUUGUAAUCAAAUUGUUGGGUAAUUAAGAAAAACACAUCUGAAUUUUGUUAGUUUGCUUGAAAUUGUGAUCAAUUUGUUGAGUAAUUAGAGAAAACCCAUCUGGGUUUUGUGAUUUUUGAUUGAAAUUGUAAUCAAAUUGUUGGGUAAUUAAGAAAAACACAUCUGAAUUUUGUUAGUUUGCUUGAAAUUGUGAUCAAUUUGUUGAGUAAUUAGAGAAAACCCAUCUGGGUUUUGUGAUUUUUGAUUGAAAUUGUAAUCAAAUUGUUGGGUAAUUAAGAAAAACACAUCUGAAUUUUGUUAGUUUGCUUGAAAUUGUGAUCAAUUUGUUGAGUAAUUAGAGAAAACCCAUCUGGGUUUUGUGAUUUUUGAUUGAAAUUGUAAUCAAAUUGUUGGGUAAUUAAGAAAAACACAUCUGAAUUUUGUUAGUUUGCUUGAAAUUGUGAUCAAUUUGUUGAGUAAUUAGAGAAAACCCAUCUGGGUUUUGUGAUUUUUGAUUGAAAUUGUAAUCAAAUUGUUGGGUAAUUAAGAAAAACACAUCUGAAUUUUGUUAGUUUGCUUGAAAUUGUGAUCAAUUUGUUGAGUAAUUAGAGAAAACCCAUCUGGGUUUUGUGAUUUUUGAUUGGAUAUUUGGAAUUGAAUUGCUAAGUUUUGUGGUGAUGACGUUCGUUGGCAACGAUGAGGAAGAAGGAAUAGUGAUGGUGGUACCAGCACCCUUAUCAGAUCUCUAAUUAUUUUGCUCUAUUUCUUUGUUCAUAUGGAUUAUGGAAUAACUGUUUCUCUCAUAUUUCUGUCUAUUGAUUGUUUUGAAAAUCAAUGUGUUAAUCGAUCAUAUUUUCUAGUUUUAUGUUGAUGUUCUAUGUUGUUAUAGUAGUAUUGUUUUUGUUGAUCAAUUUGGUUGUCUUUUGGAUUUCAGUAUUUAGGGGUUGCAUGGACGGAGGAGGAGCACAAGCUAGGAUUGGAGAAAGUAGGUAAAAAGGGGACUAGAGAGAAAUCUCUAGAAACUUGUCAAGACUCGCACACCAACACAGGUUGCAAGUCAUGCUUAGAAAUACUUCCUCCGGCGAACUAACCUCUAUCGUCGUCGCUGUCGUUCUAGUGAUAUCACCACUGACUCGGUAUAUCACUUAAAUCCCAAAAUUCCAUCUGUCAAUAUUCGUCACCGUUUGCAUUCGUCGGAACGUUAUCGAAGUGAAAACAACAAAUUCAAUUUGACUUUUGGCGAGCUUGUUUAAGCUUAGUUAAAAAUUAGUGAUUCAAAUUUCAUUUCGAGAUUUUGAAAUUAGUGAAAUUGACAUCAAUUCGGUGGGGUUGGAGUUUGGGGGUAGGGGAUGAUGAAGAAGAUGAUGGUUUGGGGGUGGGGGUGAUGAAGAAGAUAAUGGUUUGAGGGUGGGGGAGGGGAGAUGGAUGUUGGGGGUUGGUUAGAGUGAGUAUUUUUUUUUUUAUUUUUUUUUUGCAUUAAUUUUUAAUGUAGACGCGGCUUUUUUUAUUUAAUUAAUUAUGUUUUUCCCACGUCAAAUCUAGGGGUUAAAAAAUAUCACUUUUUGAUAGUUUAGGUGGGUAAUAAGUCACUAUUAUAGUUUAGGUGUGACCUCGACUUUUGUUGUAUAGUUUGGGGUGGAAACGAUGUCUUUUCCCUUUAAAAUUUUAUAUUUCAUAGUUACAUCAUAAUUCUUUAUUUUAUUUUAUGAUUUAUAUAUUAUUAUUAAUUCAUUUUCACUCAUUUGCUUUAAAUAAAUUUGAAAAUAUCAUUGAUGAUGAUCACCAAAGAAUAUAUAACUUUUUACUUUUUAUUAUUAAUGAUAAUAAAUGAUGGAUGAAUCUUGUUACAAGAUUAAAUGAUAUUUUGGCAGUACUUGUAAAUUUUUUCUCGAAUAUUCAAUUUUAAAUAAAUAAUUCAUGAAAUGACAUAUUUGUUACCAUGUAGUGUACAUAUAGAAUAUGAUGAUUGCUUAUUCUUAAUAAAUUUUGACACAAUAAAAACAUAUCCAAAAAAAAAAAAAAUAACAGAUAGAAUCUUAUUUUAAAUAUUUGUUAUCAUGUAAUUUACGUAUAUGAAUGUGGUUGUUUAAUUUUAGUAUUGACACAGUAAAAAUAUAUCCAAAAGAAAAGGUAACAAAUAAUAGAUAUAAUCUAGUUUAGAUAUUUUUGACAUAGUAAAAUGUAUCCAAAAAAAUAAGGUAACAAAUAACAGAUAGAAUCUAAUUUUAAAUAUUUUUUUGAUGUUUUCUUCAAGCCUCUAUUUAUUUAACGAGUCUAUCAUACUGCACUUCUACUCCUUUAUCUAUAAAUAUAAGUAAUAUUUCUCAUAUAUACAUAUACUUUACUGCUCUCUAAAAUAUAAAGUCAUCUCUAUUAUUAAUAAGUUGCGUUUUGAAUGAAGAUUACUUUCUCACUUUAAGGUAUGCCUUUUUUAAUAAUUGACAUGAUAUAACUAGAUUUUUUAUGUGCAUACGUAUAAGAGCAAAUGUGAUAAUAUCGUUGUUUAAGAAAUUCUUAGUUUUUCUUUUAAUUUUUAUCUUGGCAAUAAUAUUUUUUUUUCACUAUUUUGUGUAAUGUUAUUAUUAUUAACCAUAUAUCUCUAAUGCAUAGAAAAUGAGUAAUGUUGAGAAGGCUAAAUAGAGUACAAAGAACAUAGAGUUCUUUUUAAAUUUAUGUGUGGAUGAAAUUAUCUCCGGAAAUCGUCAGGGUACUCUCUUCAAUAAAACUGGAUGGGCUAAUUUGGUGACUAAGUUCAAUGCUAGAACCGAAAAAAAGUAUGAUAAACUCAAAUUGAAGAAUAAAUGGGAUACUUUUAAAACCACUUGGAAAAAAUGGGAUGUGUUAGUUGGAAUGGAAAUUGAUUUAGGAUGGGAUAGCGAGAAGAAAACCAUUCAAGCGAGUGCCGAAUGGUGGACGAAAAAAUAAAGGUACUUCUAAUCUUAUUACUUAUUAUUCACUUAAGCUUGAUAAGUUAUUAUGUUAUUUUGGUCACUAAUAAUAUAUCUUAUUUCUUCUUAUCAUUAUAGGAAACUCCAGAUAUAGAGAAAUUUAAAGAAAAAGGUUUACAAUAUCGAACUCAAAUCAAGAUAUGUUUUAAGAAUGUUGCUACUGGCGAACAUGUGUGGGCACCAUCAUCUGGAGUGUUACCAGAUGGUAUACAAGGGAGUAGAUGGUUUCAAUCUGAGCAACCAUUUGAGUUUGACACUUCAAUAUAUAUUAUUUUAUAAAUUAUAUUAUUUUUAUAUUAAUUAAUUAAUUUUCUUUAUAGUGGUGUUAAAAAAUAUUAUUUAGUAGACUCGGAUUAUCCAACAACGAUUGGUUAUUUAUUAGGAUCACAUAAAGGAGAGCGUUAUCAUCUCUCUGAUUUCAGACGUAAUUCUAACUUCAGAAAUUCAAAUGAAACUUUCAAUUUCUUUCACUCCAGUUUGAGAUGUACAAUUGAAAGAACAUUUGGAGUUUGAAAAAAUAGAUUUGCUCUCUUACGCUCAAUGCCAUCUUUUAAAUUUAACACUCAAGUUCAUUUUGUUACAACUACUAGGACUAUACAUAAUUCCAUACGACAGCGCUCUACUACUGAUAAAGGCUUUAACUAUUAUGCUAAUGAAGACAUCAUCACAAAGAUCGAAGAAGGAGAUCAACCUUCUGGUAUACCUUCAGAAAUACAAGUCAGAUCUUCUACUAAUAUGGAGACAUUACGUGAUAAAAUUAGGGAUGAAAUUGUUGAGAAUUUUUAUGAUGUAUGAAAGACUAAUUAUUUUUGUCGUUAAUUCUUUUCAUAUGUAGUGAUUUAAUUUAUGAAAACUUUUAUAUUCAUUUUUGUUUGAUGUUUUUAAUUAAUAUUUAAAUUAUUUAAGCAAUAUAUCAUUAUUUAAUAUUUUUAAUGAAUUUAUGUAUAUAAAUCUUAAUUAAAAAACUUUAGAGUACGUAUUUUUUAAUUAAAUAAAAAUUAAAAUUUUAAUUAAAAAUAUCAUAAUAGAUAUUUAAAAUAAAUUUCCUCUAUAAAUUGAUUUUAGUAGUAAAAGUCUAUUAAUACAUAUCCUUUUUGGUCAUCCGUCUCAAAAAAACACUUCUUGAAAAAGAUUAUCCAAACACAAUUUGUUUAUCAAAAACACUUUUCAAAUGAAUUUACCAAACACAACUUGCUUUAUUUAAAAAGCACUUUUCUGAAAAACUAUUCUAUAAAAGUGAUUCUCAAAUAAGCAGUUUUCUAACAGCAAUCACAAGCGGGCUCUUAAAGUUAGUGUAUUAAGUGCACAACUCAAAAAAAGAAGAAAAUAAAGUCAUGACCCCUAUAAACUAGGUAAUAAAAAUGCAUUUUCUACCAUUUAAAAUUAUUUAUACUAGUACUAGCUACAUGAGGGGGAGAAAGAUUUGCACAUGGUGUUUAUCAAUCUUGAGAAAGCGCAUGACAAAGUCCCCACGGAGGUUCUGUGGAGGUGCUUAGAGGCUAGAGGUGUUCCAAUGGCGUACACAAGAUCAAUCCAGGACAUGUAUGACGGGGCGAAGACCCAUGUGAGGACGGUGGGAGGAGAUUCGAAGCACUUUUUUAAUUAGGGUUGCACCAGGAUCGAUGCUUAGUCCGCUUUUAUUCGCCUUGGUGAUGGAUGUUUUGACGCGGCAUAUUAGAGGGAGAUAACUUGGUGUACGUUAUUUAUUGAUGAUGUAGUUAUAAUUGACGAGACCCGAGAAGGAGUUAAGGAUAGGUUGGAGGUUUGGAGACAAACCCUAAAGCUAUAAGGUUUCAGUUGAGCAGGACCAAGAUGGAAUACUUGGACUGCAAGUUCAAUGACUUGAUGCAUGAGGCUAACGUGGUAGUGGAGCUGGAUUCCCAGGCCAUUCGGAAGAGAGAUAGUUUCAUGUAUCUUGAAUCUAUGAUUCAGGGGAGUGGAAAGAUUGACGAGGAUGUCACAUACCAUAUUGGUGUAGGGUGGUUGAAAUGGAGGCUCGCUUCGGGAGUCUUGUGCGCUAAGAAGGUGCCUCCUAAAUUGAAAGGCAAGUUUUACAGAGUAGCAGUUCAUCCGGCUAUGUUGUAUGGAGUGGAGUGUUGGCAAGUCAAGGCAUCAAGGUGGCGACAAUGAGGAUGUUGCAACGGAUGUGUGGUCUUACUAAGAGAGAUAAGGUUCAAAAUGAGAGUAUUUGGGAGAAGGUGGAGUGGCAAGUGCGGUUAAGGUGGUUAGGGCAUGUGAUGAGGCGAUGUACGGAUGCCCCAGUACGAAGGUGUGAGAGAUUGGUUAUGGAUAGCUUCAGACGGGGCAGAGAUAGGCCAAAGAAAUAUUAGACGGAGGUGAUAAAUCAUGACAUGGAGCAGCUACAACUUACCGAGGACAUGACAAUAGAUAGGAAUGUGUGGAGGGAGCAGAUUAGGGUAGAAGGUUAGUGGCUAGGAGUGUGUCCGGGCUAGUAGAAAGGUGUGCUUUGUUUGCUUCUAGGUAUGUAGUCGUAGUGUUAUGCGUCUGGCUUGUAGUUCCUCGCUCAUGGUGUUUUGAUGAUGUUUGGGAUUUCUGGAUAGACUGCAUAUUGCAUUACUCUACGGGUGUCCUGUUACUUUUAUUUGCUAUUGGUGCGGUAUCCCUUUUUGUUUGUUGUUUUCCUUAAGUUGUUAUUUGUCCUGCGCCAGGGGUCUAUCGGAAACAGCCUUACUACUUCAUCCGAGGUAGUGGUAUGGACUGCGUACAUCUUACCCUCCCCAAACGCCAGUUUGUGGGAAUACACUGGGUAUGUUGUCGUUGUAGUAGUACUAGCUACAUGGACUGGCACUAAAUAUUUUACAUUUUCCAACCCUACAAAACUUCAAGGACCAUGACUGUCAUGAUUGGCACUAUAAUAUAUAUAUUUGCUAAUAAAGCUAAUCAUUCUUCACAACAAUCUGUCUAGACAGUUUAUUAUGGCCAGUGUUUUUCAAAAUCAAAGACCACUUCACAAAACUACAUUUAGACUAUUCCUGUGGAGGUCAAAUCUUUUGUGCAGAAAUUCAAAUUUGGCAGGUUCAACAAAAAAAAUGAAUGAAUUUGGCAGGGCAAGUGAACUCAUUGAUCCCUUCACACUUCCUGGACAUGAAAUACUUCAAAGGAAACAAAUACUUUAGACAAUAUGCAAUCAUAUCCAUUUCUGUCACUUCUCCAUUAUCCUUAGAUUUAAUGGUAGAGAGUGGAAACAACAAGGUAGAAGGAUCUACACAUUGAUAAAGAGGAGAACAUCACAUGCUAUUAUCUGGAGACGGGAAAAAGGCAGCGUCUGAAAAAUUAUUUGAUAAUACUCUAAUUAUGGUAUCUUUUAAUCAUUAUCAAGAAGUUCAACUGAAAAGGUAAUCAAGACAGUAUAACUUCCUGACACAGUAAAUCAAAUCAUACCUCUCCAUGAGUUUGAAACUUCCAACAAGGGAUGCCACUUGAAAAAUUCAGAAAAUGAAUGUUUCCGUCAUAGCAUCCAACAAUAACCUGUAGGUGAAAUCCCUUUCAGCUGAUGUAAAACUUACAAACUAGAAAACUACGACAGAAAAAACUUAUCUAUAACCUGAGAAAAGUCAUCUAGAAUUGCUGCAGAACUCUCAACACGCCCUUGUAAUUUGAUCUCCCACAAAACAAGACCACUAAACACAAUUGCAGUGAAGUUAACUUUUCAUCACAGAAGCCUAAAAACCAUCUCAAGUUAAGCAUAAAAUUGCUCGUUUAUCAAUAAAGAACAGAAUGCUAGGUUCAAGGAAUAAGAAAACUGAGUCAACAAUGCAGCCAUCCAGUAAGCAUUGGUUUGGACUAGUCCACAAGGAAGUCACAUACUUCACAACUCAAGUAACAAUGGCAAAGAUAAACAAAAACACCAAGUAUAUAUAACGGUAGGUAGAACAAAAUAUUUCCAGAGGCUGAUACUAGCUACUACUGAAAAAUUGUGCUUGAUCCCAUAUCAGAAAAUACAUAAAAAUCAAAUGUCACUUUAUUAUAUAUUCACAUGUGAUAUCACCACAACAUUCAUAAAAUAAAAUGAUCAGCUUGGAGAUAUAAUCAUCAACACCCUCUCCAGCCCUCAAAAUCCUAAAUAUCGCCUUGUCCUAUCUUACUAACUAGACAUAGAGUUUAAGAUGUCAAUGUGACUUAUAGGUUAUUAUGUUAGUGCUACCAGAACCACAUUAAAUAAUAGAUGAAAAGUUAGAUCCAUGCUCGAAGUCAUAGCUCCCCUGUAAGUUUUUGUUUAGAUGUGUAAUUGUCUAUUUUCUUUGAGUCUGUAAUUGUUUAUGUUGCUAUUAACAAGAAGUUACCAUUAUCAAAAAAUAGAUGAAAAGUGAGCCAGAUAAAAGAAACAUCACAUCAUGUAGAAAUUUGAAUGAUUCAAUGGCUUUAACUUUUAAGCUGUAAAAGUUGCAUAAUAUGUAAUGGUGUCAAACAUUUUGGGAUGAUGCAAAAAAGGAAGUAUCCCAAUUAUUGGCAUGGCGGAAGUAUGUAUCAACCUAAUUAUGCACGAUUUAUAUGCACCAACUUGGAUGGGAGUAUUAGACAAGCUAUUUAAGCAAACUAAAUUUGUGUAAUAUAAAGAAGUACAUCGAUUAUCCAAUAUCAGAAGAUGUAUUCUAUCUUGGCAAGUGUAAUACUACCGAAAAAUUGCAGCGAUCUGACUUGUACAGCAAAAAAUUUUCCACAGUCCGACCUACAAGUUUCGUCUAUGAAUUCAUAUUCGGACAUUCCAAUCCAAAGAGGACUAUUUUGGGUCACAGCCCAGAUAACAGUGGAUGGUUACUGAUUGCACAGCAAAUCCCAUCCUCAGCUAAACCAAGUGGAUGUAGGACUCAAAAGUGUAAGAAAUUUGUCCUUAGCACGCUUUUCUUUAUCUUUUCUUAUUUUUCACAAUUACAUUCACCAUAGACAAACAUGUGGCAUUACCUUGUUGCAUCAAUGCAAAAGAAUUUGUGGGAGUGAGCUCCAAUAAACAGAUAAACAUGUCUUUCUUUAAAUACAACUAGUGGUGAUGCAUCAACACAAGACUCCAGGUAGACCAUCCACUGUUCUCGCAUGAAACCUCUUUUAUCAUGUGGAACUUCCCAAGACAACACCGAACGGCAAUUGUAACCCUUACAACCAGCAUCAUGCCUUACUUUGUUGCAUCGGCUGUAAGAACAUGAAACCUGUGGUGAAGUUGAAUUAUGCAUAUCUCUUCCAUUAACAUCGUUGGGAUAAAGAUCCAAAUCUGGAUCCGUUUUCAAACGUUUAACGGUAUAAUCACUGGUCAAACUCAAAGAGGUUCUGCUAUCUAGACCAAAUAUCCAAGAUUUAUUAGAAGGAAGCUUGUUUUUUUCUAGCACUUGCAAUUUCCCUCCCACUAAAGCAUCAGCUAUAAGUUCAUUGCUAGAGGACACUUUUUUAUAUCGAAUGGCCUUGUGAAGUUUUAAUGGAGUUGGAAAAGCAUACAAGUCCUUCAUAUUAAUUCCUAGAUUAUAGGAGACAUGAGCUGCUAAUAGAGAAUUGCCGCCCAUCUCAAAGAAGUCAUCAUCAAGGUAGAUCUUGUCAACAACCAUCAGAGCAUCAGAAAAAGCCUGCGCAAUAAAAGUUAAAUAAAGUAAGAAAGCACAACAUUGACUAGAGAGCAAGUGACCCACGACAAUAUGACAGCACGUAUGCAUAAAAUCAUUCACAGUUCAACAACUAAACUUAACAAUGAUGAGUCUGUUACUGGUCAACUUUAGCGACAAGCAUGUAAGUAAUGUUCAAGAGUAACAGUCAACUCACAGUAUUAUUAGAAGUCUACUAUCCACUCGUCCUUCCCAUAAAUUAGUUUCAUUAUUUGUACACCUAGCUAAGUUACAACAUCAUCAAAGCACACUCCAUGAGUAGAUUCUGGGCCAUGUUUCAAGAGUAACUUGAAGGCUAGACAUUUUGGAGUCUGUCAGGCAUGAUAUGUUCGCUUCUCCUCAAAAUACACUCUCUCUCUCCAACGUACGUCUGCUCAUUCUAACGUCUCCUUUGACGUGACAAACCCUUCUCCAGUGACACAAACGCCGGCAGCUUAACACCGCCGGCGGCAGGUAAGUAAGCCAUCCCCUUCUCUCUCCUUUGGCCUGUCUCUUAGGUCUCUCUCUUCCUUCCCGUCUUGCUCUCUCCCCAUACCGCCGUCCCAUCUAUCUCGCCGGCGAGGGCAGGCUACCACCGUCUGACUCCGGCGACGGGAAGAUAGUGAACCGCGCCGUCCAUAGGGAGCAGUAGAUUCUGUCCACAACCGGCCAGCGUCCCCCAGGCGAAACUCCGGUGAUAAUAUUCCGGUGACUACAAUAACAGACGCACCGGUAACAAGUUGAUACAAAGACACCGGCGUAUAGAUUCCGUCGUCCAGAUUCCGGCAAUAACCAGACGAAGCCCCGGCGACAUUUCCGGCGACGCAUCGGCAACCUAUUUCGACAUCAAAAGUGUUGGAACCAACAACAUGCAGAAGUAUCCCGGUGACUUCUAACCCCUAAACUUUAUUUUAUCGCACUUUAUUGUACCGCACUUUUUCCGAUAUCUUCACUGUUUAUAAUUUGUGUGGGUUAAUUUGUUGUGGGCUGUUUGUUCUGAGUAUUGGUGUCUAGCGUCUGUUGCUCUUGAAAUCUUGAUUGCAUUUUGUGCUUUGAGUGUACCUUCUAUAGUUACUGCUGUGUUUACCCUUUGCUGUGCCUUUUGUGGAGUAGUGGCUGGGGUGACUCAUGGUGGAAUAGGGUCAUGUCUUGAGGUGCUAGGAGUGGGUUCGGGGGUUGGUGUUGGGUUAGGUUUGUCUUACGGAGUGCGAGGUAUUAAGGGAGGGGAUAAGAAAGUUGAUAGGUUGAGGGUAGGGUCGUGGAAUAUAGGGACCCUGCAGGGGAAGUCGAUAGAACUGGUUAAGAUUCUUAGGAAGAGAAAGAUUAAUAUUGCGUAUGUCCAGGAGACCAAGUGGGUAAGUUCUAAGGCUAGGGAUGUUGAUGGGUACAAGUUGUGGUACUCUGGUAGUGAGAGGCGUAGGAAUGACGUAGGUAUCUUAGUGGACGAGGAGCUUAGGGGGAAGGUAGUAAAGGUUAAAAGGGUUAGUGAUAGGGUGAUGACUAUCAAGUUGGUCUUUGGAGGGUUUACUUUGAACAUCUGCAGUGCGUAUGCGCCACAGGUAGGUCUGGACGAGGAGGAGAAGAAGAGUUUUUAGGAGGUUUUAGACGAGGUGGUUAGAGGCGUGCUUAGUUCAGAGAAUAUUUUUAUAGGAGGGGAUUUUAAUGGGCACAUCGGGUCAUUGUCGUUAGGGUAUGAUGAUGUGCAUAGAGGCUUUGGGUUCGAGGUUAGGAAUGAUGAGGGAGCUGCUCUUUUGGAAUUUGUGAGGGCCUUCGGGUUAGUGGUAGUGAAUUCCAGUUUUCCGAAGAAGGAGGAGCAUCUGGUUACUUUCCGUAGUAGGUUAGCCAAGAUUCAGAUUGACUUUUUGCUGCUUAGGAAUGGGGAUAGAGCUUUGUGUAAGGAUUCUAAGGUAAUCCCGAGUGAGAAUCUUGCGACCCAGCAUAGACUCCUGGUGAUGGACUUGGCUAUCAAGAAGGGCAAGAAGAGGCGGGGUAGGAAGGGUCCACCUAGAGUUAGGUGGGGCGGCCUGACUCCGAUUAGUGCUUUGGAGAUAUGGGCGAAGUUGGAGGGGAUGGGGGUGAGGGAGUGUAGGGGGGACGUGGAUAGUAUGUGGGAUAAGGUUGUUGGUUGCAUCAAGGAGUCUGCUAGAGAGGUGUUGGGUGUAUCGAGGGGCUGGUCUUGCCGGUAUCGGGGGGAUUGGUGGUGGAAUGAAGAUUUUAAGAAGAAGGUGGAGACGAAGAAGGUGGCUUAUGCUAAGUUGGUUGAGAGUAAGGAUGAAGAGGAGAAGCGGGUGAGCAGGGAGGAAUGCAAGUUAGCUAAGAAGGAGGCUAAGUUAGCGGUUACGGCUGCUAAGACAACAGCUUUUGAGAGUUUGUAUAAGGGGUUAGAGGAUAAAGGCGGGGAAAAGAGGUUGUUUAGGCUUGCCAAGGUUAGGGAGCGGAAGGGGCGGGAUCUGGAUCAGGUGAAGUGCAUUAAGGGGGAGGAUGGCAGAGUAUUGGUUGAAGACGCCCACAUUAAGAAGAGAUGGCAGAGUAUUGGUUGAAGACGCCCACAUUAAGAAGAGAUGGCAGUCGUAUUUUCAUAGGCUCUUGAAUGGGGAGGGGGGACAGAGGUGUUGUGCUAGGGGAGUUGGAGCACUACGGGGAGUGUCGCGAUUUCGGUUAUUGUCGGCGUUUUAAGGUAGAGGAGGUCAGUGAGGCUAUUCGCAAGAUCUGAAGGGGCAGGGCGACAGAGCCCGACGAGAUCCCGAUAGAUUUUUGAAAGUUUUCUAGCGGGGCAGGGUUGAGGUGGCUGACCAACUUGUUUAACAACAUUUUCAAGUCCGCAAAGAUGCCCGAGGCGUGGAGAUGGAGCACGAUGAUUCCUUUAUAUAAGAACAAGGGUGACAUUCAGAGUUGCAACAACUACCGGGGUAUUAAGUUGUUGAGUCACACGAUGAAGAUUUGGGAGAGGGUGGUGGAGCGGAGGUUGAGGAAGAUUGUGUCUAUUUCAGAGAAUCAAUUUGGAUUUAUGCCUGGUCGCUCCACGACUGAGGCAAUUCAUCUAGUGCGGAGACUGGUAGAGCAGUAUAGAGAGAGGAAGAGGGAUCUACACAUGGUGUUUAUUGACUUGGAAAAGGCGUAGGACAAGGUCCCUACGGAGGUUCUGUGGAGAUGCUUGGAGGCGAAGGGGGUCCCUGUGACGUACAGCAGAGUAAUUAGGGACAUGUAUGAGGGGGCGAAGACUCGGGUAAGGACAGUGGGAGGAGAUUCCGAGCAUUUCCCGGUCUUGACAGGAUUGCACCAGGGAUCAACUCUUAGUCCGUUUUUAUUCGCCUUGGUGAUGGAUGUGUUGACACGGAGUAUACAAGGCGAGGUGCCUUGGUGUAUGCUUUUUACGGAUGAGGUAGUUUUGAUUGAUGAGUCACGACAAGGUGUUAAUGAUAAGCUGGAGGUUUGGAGACAAACCCUGGAGUCUAAAGGUUUCCGGUUGAGUAGGACCAAGACGGAGUACUUGGAGUGCAAGUUUAGUAACUCGAGGAAAGAUGAAGAGGUGGUAGUGAAGUUGUAUUUCCAAGAGGUUUGCAAGAGGAAUAGUUUUAUGUAUCUUGGGUCCACGAUUCAGGGGAAUGGAGAGAUAGAUGAGGAUGUCUCUCACCGUAUUGGAGUAGGUUGGAUGAAAUGGAGGCUCACUUCGGGGAUUUUAUGAGAUAAGAAGGUGCCCCCAAGCUGAAAGGCAAAUUCUAUAAAGUCGCAGUCCGGCCGGCUAUGUUAUAUGGAGCGGAAUGUUGGCCGCUUAAGAAUUCUCAUAUUCAAAAGUUGAAGGUGGCGGAAAUGAGGAUGUUGCGUUGGAUGUGUGGAUUUACCAGGGCUGACAGGGUUAGGAAUGAGAUUAUUCGAGAGAAGGUGGGUGUGGUGUCGGUGGAGGAUAAAAUACGAGAAGUGAGGUUGAGAUGGUUUCGGCAUGUGAUGAGGAGGGGUACGGAUGCCCCGGUUCAUAGGUGUGAGAGGUUGGCCUUGGAUGGUUUCAAGCGGGGUAGGGGUAGACCGAAGAAAUACUGGAGGGACGUGAUUAAACGUGACAUAGAGCAGUUACAGCUGAUUGAGGACAUGACCCUAGAUAGGAAGGUAUGGAGGAAAAACAUUAGAAUAGAGGGCUAAGGUGUGUGGGUGAGUCGUAGUCCGUAGUUAGGAGGGCUUUGGUGUCAUUUGUUUGGCAAUGUACAAUAUUUUCGUGGAUGUCGUGCCUAUGUUAUUUUAUCAUGUCCCAUGCUUUUGAUGUUUUUUGUAUAUUGUCCUUUGUCUUGAGCCGGGGUCUAUCGGAAAUAGCCUCUCUACUUCCUUAAAGGUAGUGAUAUGGACUGUGUACAUUCUACUCUUCCCAGACCCCAUGAUGUGGGAAUAUACUGGGUUUGUUGCUAUUGUUGUUGUUGUUGUUGUUGUUGUCAGGCAUGAUACGUUCACUGCGGCAUCCCAGUUUGAGUCUAGAACACCCUCAAGGCAUAUAUGAAGCCUCCGCCACCCUUUUCUUUGGAUAAGAUAAAUUCUAUACCACCCUUUCCCCAGCAGAUAAAUCAGCUGUCAGAUCUCUCCAGCUUUACCAUAUAUUAGCCUAGCGAAAGAGGAUUUACAGCUCAUUUUCCCAUGAAAGCAAUGAGAAGUAGGGAGUAAAAGACAUCUUUUUUGUUUAUUUUUUUUGGCAGUAAUGGAAACAUAGACAAUUCGGACACCUAGAUAGAUAUAUGUGGUUAAUCCAUUUGCACAUCUUGUGUAUAUUUUCGACACAACCUCGGAGUGAUGUAGAAAAUGGAUAAAGAACAGAUUUUCUGUGAAUACACAACCUGAUAUUCCCUCAUGUACUUUUUAUAUUUUAUUUUUAUUUUGGUAUCCUUCCCGUUACAAAAUUGGGCAUUCAGAGUCCUCGACAUAUUACAAUAUAAGGAUACUUGCCCAUAUUUACCCUUAUCUAAAGAUACUUGCCAUAUUUACCCUUAUCUAAAGAUACUUGCCAUGUUUACAUGCUUAACAGCUAUCAACAAAUGAAGUUUUAUAAAUAUAACAAAAGGAAUUUCAAAAACAUUGUACGCAUCGUAACAUUAUGCUAUCAAGAGAUUGGAAGCUAGUCUUCGCCAAAUAAGAAAUUAUAUUCGAAAUACCUUGCCGCAAGCCAGCUACCAUAUUGCAAGCCAGCUCUCUUGUUGCAAGAGUAUCAACAACAGCAUACCCAGUGCUUGUUGCAAGAGUAUAAAUCAAUAAUAAAAAACGUCAUCCAGUUAACAUGCUAAGAAACCCCAGCACGACAGGUUGCAUACAAAAGGUACAGAAGUUUAUACAAAAGGUAGUUCUCCGAAAAGAGCAUUACCUAUACUAACUGAAAUAUCAUAAGUGCCCAAAAAUGUCUGAAAAACAAAAAGUUUCACUGAUAUGUAACACCUUUUCAUUUACUCUUUUGGAUACACCCUUGUACCAAGCUAACAAUUUUUUGUAGAAAAAUAUCUUCACUAACUGUAUAGUUGUUUCACUGAUAAGUUUCUCCAACCCCAAGACUAUGCCAAACUACAUAACACUCCCAAGUCCCUAGGUCUCAGUUUAGGCGGCCCAAUUUCCUUCUUGCGACAUUGACUAAUAAAUUGCUCAAAAGGGAAUGAAUUCCCAUAAGCAAGAAGCAUAUGGAUCCGGAAUACCAAAGACAACCUAACAACUUUUACCCACUUAUAUAUGCAGCAAUGAACUCUAAAAGACUGCGCGUGAUUUUCCUUCAUAUUGCAUAUGGUUUCAAAGAAUGCAUGAUGGAGAUUAGGGCACUGCUUAAAUACAUCUUAUUAUAUUUAACUAAAAAAUUCACAUUAAUCAUGGAAAACAUUGCACUGAAUGAAAAUCGAAGCCAAGAUUGCUAAGCCCAUUUCAUAACAGAAUCACAACCCUUAAUCAAACUGAAGUCUAGUUAAAUACCUUUUGUAUAACAUUAAUGAGAUCGAUAUCUUGAGUUUCUUCAAUCUCAAUAUGGUUGCCUGCCUCAGACGCUACAGAAGUAGUCAACAUCUUGUAAUCCACUUUCCCUGAAGAAGACAUUGGAAAAGAUUCAACAAAGUAGAAAUGUGCAGGAACCAUAGCUGGGGGAAGUUUGCUGGCCAUCCAGCAUCUAAUUGAGGACCUGAAGACCUCAAGGUUGUUUUCCUUUUGCUUGAGCAGUAAAUAUGCUUCAACAAGUAAAAUAUCUCCUUGAACACAACGAGAAACCACAGCAGAGUCAGCUACUUGUGGGUGUUCCCUCAGAACGCUUUCAACCUCCUCUAAAGCAAUACGCUGGCCACUGAUCUUUACAGUACGAUCAUUUCUCCCAAUAUAAACCAGGUUUCCAUCUGAAAGCUUUCUGCCAAAAUCCCCGGUUCUAGAGUAACACUUCGCUUCAUUUUCAGUGUUCUUAGCAUCAGCUAUUUCUUCAAAUAAUACCACAUUAUCCAAUGGCAAAAUAGAAGGAUGACUAAAGUAUCCAGAAGCUACACAACUUCCACCGACACAUAUCUCUCCCUCAUCAGGAGAAUUUUCUCCAACAAGAACCACAUCACAACUGUCAAUAGGAAUGCCUAUUGGAACACUGCACAGAGCAUCUUGUUUCAGCAUUGUGGGCAACCACUUGCAGUCAAAAUAUGUGCAGUCACCGGAAACCUAUUUCAAACAUCAAAAGUUCUAAUUAAGACUUCAGAGAAGAUAGUGAAUUAAAAUGAUAGGUGAUGUAAGCUACCUUUUUGUUAAGAGCAAUCUUAAAAUUGGCAUCUUGUUUGAUAUGAGAAAGCAUUACUUGGAAGAUUCUCUUUUCAAACAGUCCAAACAUUAGAACUUACAAGAACAUAAGUGUCCAAAAAGUAACUCACAAAGAUGGACAGAAUCUUUUCCCUACCAAUCGUUUCAAUAUUAGAACUUGCAAGGAUAUAACUAACUCAAAAGUAAAUCACUGUGACAGAAAUCUACCUCUGUGCUUCCAUAUAUAUUAAGAACAGAAGUCUGGGGUAGCAACUUGGCAAGCAACUUCCACAGCGACAUAUCAAAAAUUUCACCACUAAGCAUUAGAAGUUUUAAGGAAAUCUGAGUUGUAGAAGAAUACAUGCUCUGCAGAGCAGGAAGAAUCGCCCUUAUAAGAGAUGGAACUGCCACGAGCCUGCUAAUAGAAUAGUCCUGAAGAUAAAUAAUGGAAUCUUUUAAAGAUGUGAUGCUCUCAGAGAAUGGAAAAGAACAGAGAAAAGGGAUAAGGUCCAAAUUUGCCCCUACACUACCCGAAAUUUCUCAAUCUGAUCCUCCGUCAUACCUUGGGUCCAUUAACACCCUUGUUAGCAAAUCAUUUCGUAGUUUCCCUUGCCAUUAGUGAAGCUCUAGCAUGAAAAUGGGUGGACACCAGGUGCCAAGAUACUAUAAGUGAAAGUCCAAAUUUACCCCUUUCGACUAUGUUUUCAUUUAGAUACUAUGUUUUCAUUUAGAUACAAGUUGGAGCUACCUGUCAAGGGAAAAAACGAGACUUUUCUAGGGGGGUAUAAAAUUAUACCCGAAGUAUAACUGAGGGAAGUUGCUCAAUUUUAAAUAAUACAACAGCAAAUCGGACCCUUUUCCCGUUAUGGCAAAAUUUUCCUCUACAUCACGGGAAAAAAAUGGUGGCUCAAUUUUCAGUUUGCAAUCGGCUAAUGGAUAGGAAAGCCUUACUAUUGUUGGCAAUCAAAUGAGAAAAGAAUGCACACCCUUUGAAAUACACCUCCAAGUAAACAGAAAUCAAAGGGUAAAUAAACCCUUCGCAUAUACCUGUAAGAGAUUGACUACAUAAAAUAUAUUUUCCUUCAGCUGAUUGAAAGGAGGUAUGACUAACGUACAAUUAGCAAGCAUAGCUCCUAAAAAUUCUUGCAGAUGGUCAAUGAAGCUUAUGGAUGUUUUGAAAAGAAGGAUUUCUUCUCUUUCAAAGGGAUAUGAUCCUUGCAUCCACAAAAAGCGGUUCAAAAGACCUGCAAGUGUAUGAUAAAAUAAAUUGAACUAAUGCCUCGGUAAAGUGAACUGAACGAUCAAAACAGAAUUUUGUAUGGUGAAUAUAAAUUGAUGACAAACGGUUAAACAUUCUCAAAGAAGUACAACUCACCUACUUCAGUACCACAUACCCCCUUAGGUUUUCCAGUGGAUCCAGAUGUGUACAUCAAGUAGCAGAAUGAUCUCGACCUUUCGCUUUCACAAGGCCAGACUAACAAUGAGUCAGAUUUGUUUUGAUUGAAAUCCUCCAUUGACAUAUAAAAAACAGAAUAACAACCUUUAUGAAUGAGCCACUGUAAUUUAUCAAGUUGAUGACAAGUUCUGUCAACUGAAGCUCCAUAACCCACAAUAAGAUCAGAUUUUGAAGAAGAUAUUACUGAUAAUAUCCUUUCGUUUGGCCAAGAAGGAUCUAAUGGCAGAAACGCUUCUCCGCACCUCAAAACGGAUAGAACAGAAACAAUGUACUCAACUGACGGUUCCAUAUAUAUUCCAACUAUUUUUGGGUUAUAUGUUUUAUGGAGCUGUGUAUACUGCUCUGAACCUUGAUUGGAAGAUCCCGCGACUAUCUGGUCCUUAGAACUGCAGUUAUUUGCAGUUUGAUGCAUAUUAACUACUAGCCAGGAAAAGAUGUAAUGCAUAAUUAGUUUACUCAUAAAGUGCUCAACAACAUCUGGAAGGAUUGUAUAGCUAACAAUAGAAAACCAAAAGAUUUCACGGAAAAGGGUAUAAAAUUUCAUAUUUGUUUACAAAUCUUAGAAAACAUAGAUUAAGGAAAAAGGUCCAAAUUUGUCGUAGUGCUAUCUGAUGUUGCUUAAUUUUCCCUCCAUUAUACUUUUGGUCCAGUCAUACCCCUUGUCGUUGGCAAAUUUCUCUCGUAUUUUCCCUAGCCCUUAACGAGUACUCCUUCGUAAAAUGGGUGGACUCAGCGUGUCCAAACUCUUCGAGAACUGAGUGUUGUCUAAAAUUACCCUCGGAUUUGAGCUCUGCCAAAAGCCAAGGGCAAAAAGAGACUUUUUUCCAGAUGACAAAUAAGAUAGGACCAUGUUAAACUUUUGGAAAAGUUGCUCAAUUUCAGAUAGCACAGACCUUAUUCUAAAGGAAAAUUAGAAAGACCAAAAAAUUCAAGAAAGCACAGCAGCAACAUUCACAAGAUAUUCAUGUUCACCUAUUGAGAUGGUAGGGAAGGUAACAAUUAAGUAAGAACUAUUAUCCAAACUAACAAAAUGCAGAUGUACACAGAUUACUACCGAAAUAAGAACGAUACUCCAUAAAUAAACAGGAAAUAAAAAAUCUUUAUAUCUUAAUUCAGUAAAACCGCAGUUAAUCACAAAUUUCAAACGCUAACACACAAAUUAACACUGUCUUUCCUUCAUCAUAUAGAAAGAAUAUCGGAAAAGAAGAAUCAGUCUAUAAAAAUAGUUCAAAAACUACUAGAGAACGAAAGACUUGAUUUUUAUUCCAUGGAUACUAGAUCAACAAAUCUUUACAUUAAUUUAUUAAUACCCCACAACAACAUACCCAGUGAAAUCCCACAAGUGGGGUCUAGAGAGGGUAGAGUGUACACACACCUUACCCCUACCUCGUGGAGGUUGAAAGGCUGUUUCCGAAAGAACUCAGCUCAAAUACAGAAAACCAAAGUAGAAACAAAAAGGGAAACCGACACUGAAGAAAGCAACUAAUAAGAAAACAGUAACAACAAAAAAAUGGCAACCAAUUCAUUAACACUCCACAACAACAACAACAACAUACCCAGUGAAAUUCCACAAGUGGGCUCUCGAGAGAGUAAAGUGUACGCAGACCUUUCCCCUACCUCGUGGAGGUAGAGAGGCUGUUUUUGGAGGACACAGCUCAAAUACAGCAAAUCAAAGUAGGAACAAAAAGGGAAAACGACAGUGACGAAAACAUAGCAACUAAUAAGAAAACAGAAGAAAACAACAAAAUAGCAACUAAUUCAUUAACACCCCACAACAACAACAACAUAUCCAGUGAAAUUCCACGAGUGGGCUCUCGCGAGACUAAAGUGUACGCAGACCUUUCCCCUAUCUCAUGGAGGUAGAGAGGCCGUUUCCAGAGGACCCUCACUCCCUCAGGCUCAAAUACAGCUACGCAAAGUAGAUAUGAAAAGGGAAAACGACAGUGAAGGAAACAUGGCAACUAAUAAGGAAACAGUAACAACAACAAAAUAGAAACUAAUUCAUUAAUACCCCCACAAAGUCACAAACUUCUGUUACCAACACACACACAUAUUACACCAUUUUUUCUUCAUCAAAUAAAUAUAUAUAUAUAUAUAUGUGUGUGUGUAUAUAUAUAUAUGUAUAUAUAUACAUACCUGAAGAAGGCUUCACAAGAUUGGGGUCAUCAUCAUGACCAUCAAGAAUGCGUCGUAGCCGUGAACUGAGAGAAUCAACGGCGGAUAGAACAUCAGAAAACGUGAAGCACUGAUCACCUUCAUAAACCGGAGGAUUAAUCGACGUUCUUUUAGAGGAAAUAUACUCUUUGAACUUCUCCAUGGUCUCUUCAUCGCCAUUUUCGUUGCAAAAAAGUUGAAAUUCUUUGGCGAAUUUGAGGCCCCCACAAGCUUGAAUAACAGCAAUUUUGUUUGGGCUGUUCGUAGCAACUUUGUAGAACUCGUGAGAUAUACAACAAGCAGAAAGCUUAUUGUAUGAAACCAUCGAAGUAGAGUGUGUAUUAUACAAACCAAAGACGAACAACAGUAUAAGGAGCGGUCUUAUUUGGAACUAUUUGGAAUGUUGGGGAAAGGUAAGUUUUUCCGGCGGUUAGAUCGGCUCUGUGGCAGGAGCCAAAAUGACAAUGUUGGUUAAUUAUGAAUAUACAUACGUGUCCUUUUAAAUUGGUUUAAAAUUACAUCCCAUGAUCUUUAAUUUUAAACGUAUACAAGUAGAUAUUUAAAUUUAUAUAAAAUUAAAUAAGUAAAUAUAUAUAUUUUAUGUGUUAUUUUUUCUAUUUUAAAAAAAAAAAUAAUUUAUUUUAACUUGAUACAAAGUUUAAUAAAAUAAAAAAAAAUUUUAAUCUUGUGAUUUUAAAUUAAAGUUGUGUUAAAUUAGCAAAAUAUCUUUUAAUCUUGUGGUUUUAAACAUAUCACGUGAAAAGUUGAAAUUAAAGUAUUACUAAAAAAGAAAAGGAAUUAUUUUUUUAAAACGAAUUAAAAAGAAAAAUAAGUCAUUCUUUUUUAAACGGAGGAAGUAUAAUAUACUCAAAACAUGAUGUAAGACGAGAAUUGACCAUAUAGAAUACUACAUAGGACAUAUGUGUCUAUUUGUUCAAUGUUAUAUAAGUUUAAGUGUAUAUUUAUGCGUAUUCAAAAUUGGAAGUCAUAGAUAUAAUCUAAAGUCAAGUUAAAGGACAUAUUUAUAUAUUGUGUCUUAUAAAUAUUUACGUUUGAUUAGAAAGGUAUGUAAAAUGAGGAUUUUGAUGUAGACGUAUGAAAUAUUAAGAGAGAUUAAGAAAUUUAAAAUAAAUAUACUCAGAAUAAGACAGGAGUUGCCUCAAGGAUGAGAUGGAGAAGUGCAAUUGAAAUUAUUUAGAUAUGCAAAAAAAAAUGUACAGAUAUAUAUUGUAUAAAGGUGUGAGAUAUUGGAGAAAAUUGAAGGAAAAGUGUCUUUUAAGUUUUGAAUGAAGGAUUGGUGACAUUGACCAACAGAUAGGGUCAAACAUCAUUAGGAAACUUGAUUAAGUUAAUUGUGGACUUGAUUAAUAUUUUCAAAACUUUUUAAUCUUUUCAAAAAUACAAAUCAACACAACCCACACUUCUCUUCAAUCCAAAUCAACCAUUCUCUCAUCUCUCUCGACAGUUUCUCUCAACUCUCUCCCAACUUUUUCAACAGUUCUGUAAAAUUUCUUCCUUCAACCCCCGACGACUUCUACCUCCGGUGACAAAUAGUUGAGCUUUGAGUUCCCCUCUUUUCUCCCUUCAACCCCUGGCGACUUCUACCUCCGGCGAUAAAUAGUUGGGCUUCGAGUUCCCCUCUUCAAUUCAAUCAACCUAUCUCGCAUCCCUCUCUCGACAGCUUCUCUCACCUCUCUCCCAACCAAUUGUUCUACAAAUUUUUCAUUUCAAUCCUCGGCGACUUCAACACCCGACUACAAAUAGUUGGGCUUCGAGUUCCUUUUNNNNNNNNNNNNNNNNNNNNNNNNNNNNNNNNNNNNNNNNNNNNNNNNNNNNNNNNNNNNNNNNNNNNNNNNNNNNNNNNNNNNNNNNNNNNNNNNNNNNNNNNNNNNNNNNNNNNNNNNNNNNNNNNNNNNNNNNNNNNNNNNNNNNNNNNNNNNNNNNNNNNNNNNNNNNNNNNNNNNNNNNNNNNNNNNNNNNNNNNNNUUCUUGUUCUUGGUAAAAAUGGUGAAAUUGCUGUUUUUUGUCGAACAAAAUCGUGCUACUGUUUUUUGUUUCUUCCGACAGAUUACCCAUCUGGUGCAACAUAUUAACUAUCUGAUGCAACAGAUUUAUCAUAUGAUGCAACAGAUCAACCAUCUGAUGCACCAGAGGAACCAUUAGAUUAUAAUUCUGAUACAACAGAUUAAUAAUCUGAUGCAACAUAUUAACUAUCUGAUGCAACAGUUUUACCAUAUGUUGCAACAGAUUAAGCAUCGAAUAAAAAAUUUGAUGCAACUAAUUAACCAUCUGGUGCAAUGGUAGAACCAUCAGAUUAAUGAUCUGAUACAACAGUUUUACCAUAUGUUGCAACAGAUUAAGCAUCGAAUAAAAAAUUUGAUGCAACUAAUUAACCAUCUGGUGCAAUGGUAGAACCAUCAGAUUAAUGAUCUGAUGCAACAGAUGAAUCUCCUGUUGGAUAAAAUCCUAUCAACUCUUCCUACAGGAAAUGUUCAAGACUUGAUUUUUCCAACUGAUCAUUCAUCUGCCGCGAUAGAGAACCCUAUGUUGGAAGAAAUCUAAAUAAUAUUGACUGUUGAUAACUGUUCCAAUAAAUCACUCAUGUGUUACAACAUAUGUGUGACCUGUUGUACAAACCAUUCGUCUUUCUCAAUAGAUGAGUGAUAUAUUUUGUAUUGUCGCAACAGACUACUCAGUCGUUGCUGCAGGUUAGUUAACUGCUCUAACAGAUCACUCAUAUGUUGCAAUAGAUGUGUGAUCUGUUGUAUAAACCAUUUAUCUUUCUCAACAGAUAAGUGAUAUAUUUUGUAUUAUCAAACAGAUUAUUUAACUGUUCCAACAGAUCACUCAUAUGUUGCAAUAGAUGAUGUCACGACAGUUAUGUGAUCUGUUGAACAGACCAUUCAUCUAUCUUAAAAGAUGAGUGAUAUGUUUUGUAUUAUUGCAACAGAUUACUCAUCCACUGCAAUAGUUUGGUUAUAUGCUGCAACAGAUAUACUACCUGGUGCAACAGCUCGAUGAUCUGUUGCAACUGUUAUUUUACUAUUUUGCUUGUUUGAUUUACUGUUAUCCUUUUUUAACGAUGUAUUAAUCAACAAUAAUAUAUUAUUUUAUGUUCCUGUUAAUUUUAGAUAAUAUGGUUCCCAAAAGAAUAGAAAUCGAAUCAAGUCCAAGUAAAGAAACAAGUGAAGCAGCUAGGCUACAUCCACCACUCUAUGAGUUUGCUUUACAAGCGUUAUCUCAAUCGAAAGCAAUAUAUGAUGAACACGGGGAGGAGGGAUAUUUCAAAAGAGAUAAUGCAGAUGCUAAUAGCCUUUCCACUAAAGAGCUGGUUAAAGCCUUCAACAUUGAUCGUUAUCCUGUGAGAAUGCAGUGCGAUGGUGCCACAGAUUUAACGGGUGAUUUCGUGGUUAAAGCAAACCAAUAUGAGUAUGAUCAUACUGGUUAUACUAAUUUUGCCUCUCCCAGCGAAUGUUCUGCAUACAAAUGUCAAGACUGCAGGACGAAACAUGAUGUAGUGAUUAAUGCUAUUAAUGCAUUAACUACUUCUGUAAAGGAAUUGACAUCUAAGAGGGUUAUCAUUCCAUCAAAGAGGAUUUUAUUUCUAUCUGCUCCAUUAGAGAUUAGGGCUAAGAAGAGAAGGAGAGUGAUUUUCAAGGCAUUAUCAAGCAUCCAAAAAAACAAAACUGUAACUCCUCUGUCUGUGUGUUGCACUGAGCAACGUACAAUGUCCAAAGAAGAGCAGCACGAGCUAAAGAAGGUGAAUAUAUUAUAUGUCUUCCAACUGACAAAACAAACAAACAUAUAUCUGUUUCAACAGAUGACACAUCUACUGAAAAUUAUCAAACAAAUAUAUAUAUCUGUUGCAACAAUUAACUAACCUAUUGUACCAGAUACUUUAUCUGGUGCAACAUAUGUCUCGUCUGCUUUAGCAAAUCAAAUAACUCUUCGUACCGCUUUUAUUUGUACCAACAGAUGACCUAUCUGCUAUAACAGAUGAUUCAUAUGUUGCAACGGAUGGUUCAUCCGUUGAAAAUUAUCACACAGGGUCUUUCUCAUAUAGAAAUUUGUCCCAACAGUUGAUUCAUUAUUGCAACAGAAAUAUAAUAUAUUUGGGACAGUUUAAAAUGGGAGAAAGAUCUGUUUGAUUUGCUAGAAGAGAUGAGUUAUCCUUUUCCGUUUUUUUAUAUCUCCGUGAUUAACAUUGACCAAUUCUGGCUUUCCAGGUGGAUGUAGAAGAAGCUACUACUGAACAUCAUUGACAAUAUGCUACUCUUUUUAUGAAAAUACGGAGAACAGAAAGCGCAGAAACCGUACGUAAGCGACAAUAAAGAUCCACGAUGAGCAAAGCCGAAUUCCAUAGCACCGGAUGAAGAACAACUUGUCCAUACUGAGUAGAUCUUUAUAGCUUGAGCCUGUUAAAUAAAUCAUUUGCAAUAUACUUAAAUUUUUAUUGAUGUAUUUAUUGAGAUCUGUACCCAUAAUAAUUUUUUUACAUUUCAUUUAUUCGUUGACUUAUUUCAGCUAAUUUAUGAAGGCUUUGAUUUAUUUUAUUUUGUCUACGAAUUUGAUUUAUUCCUUAGAUUUGAACUUAUUAAUUAAAAAGGAAUACUAGAUUCAAAUAUUGCAACAAAUAAUGUAUCUGUUGCAACAGACGACACAUCUAUUGGAAAAUUCAAACAAAUUUAGACAUAUGAUGCAACAGAUAGGUGAUCUGUUGGAAUUUAUCAAACAGGUCUUCCCGCUGUUGCAACAAAUGGACUUUAGAUAAAAACAUCAAUAUAAUGCAACAGAUGACCAACCUAUUGCAACAGAUAAACUAUAUGUCAGAACAGGUAGGAUAACUGUUACAACAGAUGGAUAAUCUGUUGCAUUAUAAAAAUUCAACUUUCGUUGGACAUAAAAAAUUGCCACUACGUGUAAAAAGGUUAAAGUGAAUUAAAUUGAAAUAAAAAAGGCGCAACCCAUCGAUGGUGUUCAGUUCAAACACCUAAAAUAAAAUAGGCAUCAAGUAGACAGUGUUUAUUUUAAACAUGUAAAAUAAAAUAGGCAUCAAAUGUGUCUGUGUCAGUCUGGCACAUUUCGCUGACUUGCCGUCACUUAGCCCCCAACGAUCCUUUUUUCCCCCCCAUUGUCUUAUAUAUUCAUUUUCCUCCUAAAAUUUAACCCUAAAUUCUCAAAUCUUCUUCUUCAUCGUCAUCUUCUUUUAUCUAUCCAAAUUCUUUAAAUUAUUUCUUUCAUUCUUUCCAACCGAGCUUAACAAUGUCGAGCGCAUCUUCCACUAUUUUUUAUGAUAAAGAUUUUUGAUAUUGUAAGUGCGGUCAUGAAGCUCUGUUAAAGACUUCUUAGACUCAACAAAAUCCUGGUCGUAGGUUUUUUACUUGUAAGAUUUCAAAGGUAAUAUUUUUUUUAUUUAAUUAGUUGAUUAAUUAUUGACUUGUAAUUAUUUUGUACUUGUGUUCUCUUUUUUAUAGAAAUUGGGUGAAUACGAUUACUUUGAUUGGUAUGAAGAACGACACCCUUCACAAGCAAAUCGUGUAAUCUGGAGUUUGUUGAACAAAGUCAAGGCUUCUGAAGAGAAACAAAAUUGAGCAAGAGGAUACUACAUUGUUACCGUUAUUGCUACUGGUUUGGUGUUGUUGGGCACAUGGAUAUUCAAGCCUAAUUGCUGAAAUUUUCAUGGUGAUGUGUGUAUUUGCUACUGGUUUGGUGUUGUCGAGCACAUGGAUAUUCAAGAGUAACUGUUGGAAAAUAUCAAAAAGAUUUAGGCAUAUGUUGAAAAAUUUAGGUCAUCUAUUGGAAAUUAUCAAACAGGUCUUCCCACUGUUGCAACAGAUUAGACUUUGAUUAUUAGAUUAUUCAUAGAAAUAACAUCGGCGUAAUGCAACAGAUGACCAACCUAUUGCAACAGAUCAACUAUCUGCCAGAAGGGAUUAAAUAUAUUUUACAACAGAUUGACAAUCUAAUCUAUUACAUUAUAAAAAACUCAACUUUCAUAAGAAAAAAAUUAUUGCCACUACAUGUACAUGUAAUAAAGUGAAGGGUGACCUCUUGCAGGUUUGCCACAGUGUUGUCGCACAGAAAAGUCAUUGGCUCAGCCAUUUCUAUGACGGUCAGGAAACAUUCGAUGUGUGCAGGAGCGUGCGACCCGCUCGCUUUAGCGGCAUCAUCUUUUGGAAGGAUCAUUCCCCUAUUUUAACCUUUAAAAUCCCAUGAUUUCUUCAUCAACACUUUCUUUGGCAAAUGAUUCAUCAGUUUACUCUCCCUCAACAAGAUGGGCAACAGCACCAUCAGUAGCUCCACGAGGAGAAAAAAAUCAAAAUCGUUGACAAAAGGUACAUUGGAGUCAUAAACAUUGAUCUUUCCCUCCUCGAGUAGUAUCUUAACAGCCUGAUAAUACAUAUCGUUCACGCUAAUGACUACAAAAAUUCUUUUUACCUUGGUCCAGCUCUUCCCGUGUGGAUUUGGCCUGUCCCCUCUAACAUAUUUUAGCAUUUUUUCUUCAUCCAAGACCAAUGUAGGAACUAGGAAAUUAAGUCCCACGCCAAGGGCUGAUACCUUUCCAUUGAUUUGAUCGUACCUAUCCUUGAGCUUCUUGCAGAAGUCAAGGUCCAUUAUCUUAUCGGCAGCGUCAUAAGCUUUCCGGUACGUUAAUUGUCUUUUUCUCAUGAGGCAGAGAAUUAUGUCAACAUGCUGUGAGAUAAGAAGUCAAUUUUUAAAUAGGUUAGUAAUUGUAAAGGUGCAACGGAUGGUCCAUCUGUUGCAUAUGGUUCUCUGAAUCAAUAAUCCAACGCAACUUAUGCAACAGAUGGAUAAUAAGUUACAACAGAACCACUGCCAGUUGCACCAGUAUACCCAGCUGUUGCAACAGAUGUGAAAUCUGUUACGUAGCUUCUUCUUCAUGAGGUAGAUUAUAAGGGCUAGGUUAGGAAAAGUAAACUUUUCUUGUCCUCGUACGGCAUACGCAUAUCAGUUAUAGUCUGAAAGUCUUGGGGGGAAAAGAGAGGCCUGGGGUAAUCUGGUGCGCCUGGCUUGGCAUUCUUGGCCUGUCGCAGAUCCCUCUCCUCUUCGGCGCCAAGUUCUAUGUAUAUGUCCACCUUCUUGACGGGACCCUAAACUUCAACAGCUUUUGGAGAGUGAGGAAUUAUAAUUUCUUUUGAUUUUCGAGCGGAGAGUACGUCUCUAAUUACUCUUUUCUUUCUCCUAACCAACACUGUAGGAGUGUGUAGCUCCCUCACCUUCUUGGAUGGUAUGACAUACCUCUUGGAUUUGAAUUCCUCAAUAGCUUUAGAGAUAGCCUCUACUUUUUCAAAGAGUUUAUCCUGUCUGUCCUUGCACUUAUCGCAUUCGCAAUGAGAAUAUGAGGGUGAAGGGGGGUGAGAGGGACCUGUGUAAGGGCAAAAAGGGGUGUUUUCAAACAUAUUUAUUCUUUUUUGAGCAUCAACAUGUUCAUCAUCACGAGUGGUAGCAGCAUCUGCAUGCCUGCCACCAACACCAAUAACUCCACCAGAAGAAGCACUCGGAUCUGCCUUAGUAAAAGGUUGGUCAUGAAGAGCCUCAACAUUAGGCUGACCUUGCCUAACUGCUCUUCUUAUGGCUGUUGCUCCAGCCAAUUUCUUCUUUAUUAACUCCACGUUGGGUCUGCAAUAGUAUCAACAUGACCAAGAGUAAUUAAUAUAAGAAGUUAUCACCGACUCCUCCUCAGUAGGCACGAUCCAUGGAUGCACAACCUAUAAAAAAGAAAACAAAGACAGAUGCAUUUAAAUCAUAUAAUAUAAUAAUUUUCACAGUUGGGCUACAUUUUAAAAAAAAGACCCAUCUGUUUCAUAGCUUGUUGUAUAUGGUUAAAAUCCGUUUGAGUUUGGUUUAGAAAAAUAGAGCAACACAUGGAUAAUCUGAUGCAAAAUAUCAAUCAUCUGUUGUAACAGUUGCACAAUACGAGUAAACUGUUAUGCAACAGAUGAUCUGUACGUCGCAACAGAUGAAUAAUAUGUUAUCAGAUUAAACAUCUGUUGCAUAAUUUGCUGUAGAUGGUUAUCUUUUAAGAGUCGGGUUCAGAGAACCAAAGCAACACAUGGGUAAUCUGAUGCAAGAUAUACCUUAUCGCAACUGAUGUCCCAUCUGGUGCAUCAGAUAUAACAUCUAUUCAAUAUCUUUCUUAUCUUUGAGUAGAAUUAUUUUACUUGAAGAAGACGUAUUGCAUCAUCCGGAGGGUUAAAAAGAUCAGCCUCCUUAAUAUUGGUGUUGCUUUUUGCAGCCAACCACCUAAACAUCCUUGGAUGAGAAACCUCAUUCGGGUAAUCCAUUAACUACUUUCGGAGGGGAGGAAUGACUUCAAAUGCCCAAGCCUAAAAAAUGUAAACAGGAAGUAAGCAAAAUAAAAUCAUAAUAACUGUAUUCAAUAUAAAUUAAUGGAUGAGUAAAAUUAGUGAUUAAUUUUACCAUGAAAGCCCAAGGAAAGCUGUAUAAUGUGGUCGUCCUUAAGGAUAGCUUUGUCAGUAAAUAUUGGACAGUCAAGUAGAUGCUUUCAUAUCCCCAGGUAUAGUUGUUAAAUAUAUCAAAAUCCUCAGCAUGCACUAACAAAUCAUCUUCUAUGACCUUGUUGAUGUCUCUUUCCAAUAUAACCGAAUGGGCAAAUCAAACUAAGCACAAUUGUUCCCUGUACUGCUCUGGUAUGGUUUUAUCCUUGAUAUCCGUCAACAAAUCUGAUGCUUUGUAGCCACAUCGAGUAAUGUCAAACAACCCAUCUAUUUUUUCCUUGCAUUUUCUUGACUUGGAUCUUUUGAGGGGUGGUGGUCCUUUUGAACGAUGGCAUCUCAAGCUCGUUACUAUGGCAAACUCUUGCAAGCCAAAACAAACAGGCAUGCCACAGUAGUUGAUCCAGAUUUCAUCCAUCUUCUUUUUGCCCCCCUCCUCCGGAUCUUUAUCAUCCCUCGUGUACUUGAUCCUGCGCUUAGGAAAUGGAUACGGGCAGAGGGGUCCUCCGGCAUCUCAAGAACGCGUCCAAAAUAGCUCUUCUUAAAAAGUCCGCCUAUGUUUUCGUUCUUUAUAAUUUUCAUAAAAUGUUCAAAAAUUUUUCCCAUUUGUCAUUUAAGUAUAAUUUGACCAAUUAGUUGUUUUCCUUCUGGUUCAUUUAUCGGCAUCGCAACUUGAAACUUGUUAAUACUAAAAGUUUUGACAGGAUCAUGCUGGGAUGUCGAUAUUAACUCACGCCCCAUCGGUGAUCCAUUAUCAUCAUGUUGAGAAUCAUCCUCUUUCUCUUUCUCACUCUCUAAUUUCUCUUCUUUCUUACUUUCAUUUUCUUCAUCACCAUCUACGGACCCUUGUCUACCUUUUUACGUUGUUUUCACAUCUAUCCUCAACUUUACUUUUUCCUUACUGAGAUUGUUUCGAAAGCUCCUCUGAAUCCCUCUGUACUGUAGCCUUUUUUUUUGUGGUCAGACGAUGAUCCACUUUCACUUUCUUUUCUUUUGGGAGACAUGUUUUACCUACAGAUAAAGAAAAAUAAAAAUUACAUUACAAUUGAUGUAUGCAUAGAUUUUAAAAAAUACAUUACAAACACUACGAAUAUCGAUACACCAACAGCCACCACCACAAACACCACCAACCAAUGCCAACAAACAAACAAACACCAUGAAUAUCGACACCACCAACAACCACCAUAAACCAAUGCCACUACCGUGCCACCACGACAACCACAAACACCACCACCAACAACAACACCAUCCAACAAUACCACGACAGUCAACGGAACACUGCGACGGAAACUAGGGAUUUCUCGAGUUCUUCCUACGAUUUUACCAUCAAAACUCAAAAUUGUAAACUCAUUCUUGAAGAUAAUACAACUAAAAGUUUUAUUAUUCAUCAUUAACUUAAAAGCCCUUAUUUAAAAAACAUAUAUUGAGCUCUUCUCGAACUUUAUUGCCUACAAAGACAAAGAAAACGACUGAUACAGGCAAGAAUGAAGUCGAAAAUAACACCUAUGUGGUUAGAAAUGAGAAGAAAAGCGAUCUGUUGUGGAGGUUUGAACAAAUUUAUUGAGUAGUUGUUGUUUGUACUGUAUUGUUGAGUGAGAAUGAGAGAGAAAAAGCGAGACCUCGAGAUUUAAAAUGAUGAAAAGUUUUGUAUGGGUUGAUUUGUAUUUUGGAAAAGAAUGACAAGUAGUUUUGAAAAUGUUAAUUUGGUCCGAAUUGAUCUUAAUUAUUUUUAAAAUCAUAAAAUAUAUUUUUAACCCUCUCAUCAUGCAAUUGCCAAAAGAGUAAUUCAAUUGAAAUUGUAUAAAAACAAUUGAAGUUGUAGUUGACCGAGUACUCUAGGAGGUGACCCUAUGAAAACUCACCCCUGGUCCUAGAUUAAUCAAUUUAGGUACUAUUAGUCUAACAUAUGAACUCAAUUGAAAUUAUAAAAAACAAAUGUUCAACAUAUUGCAUCAGAUUUCUUAUCUGUUGUAAAUUAUCAAUCAGAUUAGGUAACAACAGAUUACGAUUCUGAUGUAAAUUAUCAAAUAGAUUAAGUCAUCUAUUGCGACAGAUUACCCAUCUAUUGUAAAUUAUCAAAUGAAUUGUCAUAUGUCGCAACAGAUUACCCAUAUAUUGUAAAUUAUCAAAUAGGCACUGCCAUCUGUUGUGGCUGACCUUAUGAGAACUUACCCCUAGUCCUAGAUUAAUCGAUAGUUUACCCUAUGAGAACUCAUUCCUAGUCUCAGAUUAUUCAAUCAAGGUAUUAGUACUCUAGUCCUAGAUUAAUCAAUAAAGGUAUUAGUCUAACAUAUGAGGUAGUAAGAAUCGGUUUGGCUUAGAGUUAUCGAUCGUUGAUUCUGGUCGAGAGGAACGCAAUACCAUCUCAUUAUGCAAUUGCCAAAAGACUCAAUUGAAGUUGUAGUUGACCCUAUGAAAACUCAUAUUCGAUUCAGGUAUUAGUCUAACAUAUGAACUCAAUUGAAUUAUAUAUAAGCAAAUGUCCUGUUGUAACAGAUGUAUUUUCUGUUGGAUCAAAUCAAACAGAUUAUGUUAUCUGUUGCAAUAUAUUACGCAUCUGUUGUAACUAACAAAUAGAUUACGUCAUUUUUUAUGAUAGAUCAUAAAUUUACUAUAAACUAUCAAACAGAUUAAGUCAUCUGUUACGACAGAUUACCCAUCUGUUGUAAAUUAUCAAAUGGAUUAAGUCAUAUAUUGCAAUAGAUUACCCAUCUGUUGUAAAUUAUCAAAUGGGCUAUGUCAUCUAUUGUAGUUGACAUUAUGAGAACUCACUCCUAGUACUAGAUUAAUCAAUUAAGGUAUUAGUUGAACAUAUGAGGUAGUAAGAAUCGGUUAGGCUCAGAGUUAUCGAUCGACGACUUUUGUCAGGAGGAACGCAAUACCAUCUCAUCAUGCAAUUGACAAAAGACUCAAUUGAAGUUGUAGUUGACCCUAUGAGAACUUACCCCUAGUCCCAAUUAUUCAAUUAAGGUAUUAGUACCCUAGUCCUAGAUUAAUCAAUUAAGGUAUUAGUCUAACAUAUGAGGUAGUAAGAAUCGACUCAGAUUUAUCAAUCGAUGACUCUAGUCAGGAGAAACGCAGUACCGUCUCAUCAUACAAUUGCCAAAAGACUCAAUUGAAGUUGUAGUUGACCCUACGAGAACUCACCCCUAGUCCCAGAUUAUUCAAUUAAGGUAUUAGUACCCCAGUCCUAGAUUAAUCAAUUAAGGUAUUAGUCUAACAUAUAAGGUAGUAAGAAUCGGCUCGGCUCAGAGUGAUAGAUCGACGACUCUAGUCGGGAAGAACGCAGUAUCAUCUCAUCAUGCAAUUGCCAAAAGACUCAAUUAAAGUUGUAUUUGACCCUAUGAGAACUCAUAUUCAAUUAAGGUAUUAGUCUAACAUAUAAAAUCAAUUAAAAUUAUAUAUAAAAUAAUUUUCAACCUGUUGCAAUAGAUGUCUUUUCUGUUGGAUCAAAUCAAACAGAUUAGGUAAUCUGUUGUAACAUAUUACGCAUCUGUUGUAAACUAUCAAAUAAAUUACGUCAUUUAUUGCGACAGAUCACAAAUCUGUUGUAAACUAUCAAACAGAUUAAGUUAUCUGUUGCACUUAAAUAUUUUUAGAUCUUUUCUUAUGAGGUAAUUUAGGUAUUUCCUGUUCGAGAUAAAAUAGUUAAAAUACUAAGGCGGUAAAAAAUAUUACUCGGUACUACUUGGAUAACUCAAAAAUCUCCUGAGUGAGUAGUCUUAUUUGGUCUUUUUAAUGUCACCGUCUCCUCGUGCCCCUCAAAAGUUAUUAAUGAAUAUUUAAAACCCCCCAUAUCUAGAACUCUAUCUCCUUCAGCCAUAAAGUAGUCUAGACUCAAUUCAUAACUCUUCUUUAUUCUUUAUUCUCAAUUAUCUUUGUUGUUUCCUUUUUUUCUCUCUUUUCUCUCUUCUUUCUGAUGAGGAUCCUUUAGGAUCUCAACUAAUCAAUAUCUUUUCUCGACUGAACUGGAUGUUUUGAUCCGUUUACUUUUUUGACAUUGCAGGUAUGGUUCAUUGUUGCUCUUUUCAUCUCGUCUUCUUCUUUGUAUGUUAUUUAAAUUAGAUAUUUACAUCUGUUGCUAUUAAUGAUUUACCCAUUACCAGUUUCCUAUUUAUUGAGAAAAUUGAAGGAAAGAUGACUUUUAAGUCUUGAAUGAAAAACUGUUGUUUUUAUUAAAAUAUGUAAAAAAAGUUAUUUGUUGGGAGAACUUAAAAAGCCUUGUUAUCAGUAUAAUUUUUUUUAUGUCUUUUGUUUGGUACUUUGGUGGUGGUGGUGGUGGUGGUUGUGUUGAAACAUUUGAUGUUUGUGUUGUAGAUGGUGUUAGAACAUAUGGUGUUGUUUUAUUUGUUUCUUUGUUGUUGAUGUUGUUGUUGUUGGUGUUGCAAUAGUUUCCUCAACUGUUGCAAGUGAUGAAUCAGUUGUUGGAAUAGACAGAGCAACUGUUUGAAGAAAUCAAACCAGUAGCAAGGCUGGUUUGAUUCAUUCCAACAGAUGACCCAUCUGUUGUAACAUGUCAUCCAUCCUUUGCAAACGAUGCCUCAUCAGUUGAACAGAUAGGUAAUCUGUUGCACCUAUUGGUCAUCUGUUGAUUCACUCAAUUUUGUGUUACCCUUUUGUAAUGUUAUUUUUGUUCUUCUCUUGUUUGACAUCAAAUGUAUUUCUCUUGUUUGCAGACAAAAGGAAGUGAAAUUGGAUCCACUUUUACCCGGCCAGCAUUAAAGGCUAGAGUAAAAAUGGGUUCGAAGGAAUAAGCUGUUUACAGAUGGAACCACUUCAUAUGUGUGAGGUAUGUAUUACUGAUCAACCUAUCAUGAAAACACACAUCCAGUACAAUGAUUUUGUGAAUGUUUGUUCUUUACCCAUUAGGCAUUAAUCCUUCAAAUAAGAAAUGGCAUUUUACAGUUAAGAUUGUUAGGUUCGAACUGGUAAGGCUGAAGGACCAAGACAGUGGUAUCGAUACCCCGUUAUAAUUUAAUGACGAUUCAUGCUCAUAUUUUUGUGUCAAGUUUGGGGAAGGGUUCAAGUUUUUGGCGGCAGUGUAAAUAUCCAAUAGUGAUUAGACCGGUUUUAAUGGCGCAAUGAACUUAUUGAAAAGACUUCAAAGCCUCGCACUGCAACAAACAACAAUGGAUCUAAUAGAAAUUUCCCUGGUCCAAAUUUAUAUGGAUGGGUUAUUGGAGGAGACUAUUAUAAAGCAGAAGGUGUUUGGGACAAAAACCUAUGUGGGAAGAGGGAGGUUGAGAAGGCCAUAUAUCAUCUCAGUCCUUGUUUAAGAGGAUACACAGGGUCGAAAGGAAAAUGUAGCGAAAUUAGCUUAUAAAAUUGACAUGAAAAAUGAAAAAACUGGAUGAGAAGCGAAUGUGAAAGUGUAUCCAAAAAUGAAAAUCCAUCAGUCGUUGAAGAAAAAGAAGAAUGGUCAAGAGGAAUUGAGGUGGUCAUUGAGGCCACGCUCGCUCGUUGCAUUCUCGACCAAAGUGUCCAACUCCAGUCCUGUUGACCAUUUUGUUUUAUCGACUGACGGAUUUUUAUAUUUUGAUACACUUCCACAUUUGAAGAUCAACCAGUUUUUUUAUUUCUCAUGUGAAUUUUAUUGGCCAAUUUCGCUACACUUUCCUUCCUACCCUGUGUUUCCUCUUAAACAAGGUCUGAAAUGAUAUAUGGCCUUCUCCACCUCCCCCUUCGUGCAUAGGUAUUCUCCCAAGAACCUUCUGCUGCAAAAAAUUCUCAUCCACCAAUCCAUCCAUAUAAAUUUAGACCAGGGGAAUUUCUAUUGGUUCUAUCGUUGUUUCCAGCAUUGCGAGGCUUCGGAGGUCUUUCAAGAAGUCUAUUGUGCCAUUAAAAUCGGUCCAAUCACUAUUGGAUAUUUACACUGCCGUAAAAAAUUUGAACCCUUCCCCAAACUUGACACAAAAACAUGUGCAUGAAUUGUCAUUAAAUUGUAACGGGAUAUCGACACCACCAUCUUGGAACCCUUCGGCCUUGCCAGUUCGUACCUAUCAAACUAAAUUGUACAAUGUAGGAUCUUGUUUGAAGGAUCAGUGUCUAAUCGAUAAAAACCUGCAUUCACAAAAUCAUUGCACUUUAUCUGUGUCUUCACGGUAGCCUGAUCAAUAAUAUACAUAACUCGCACGCAUGAAAAUGGGAUCCAUUGCACGCAUUUUAUUCUUCCUACCCCAUUAGGACACGUCAGACAGUAUUGUUUACUCAUCUGCACGAAUGUGAUGACUACUAUUUACAAAAUCAUUACACUUUAUGUGUGUCUUCAGGUAGCCUGAUCAAUAAUAUACAUAACUCACACGCAUGAAAAUGGGAUCCAUUGCACGCAUUUUAUUCUUCCUACCCCAUCAGGACAUGUCAGACAGUGUUGUUUAUUCAUCUGCAUGAAUGUGAUGACUACUAUUCGUGACUUUUUAUCUUAGCAGAUUCAAAACAACUGAUGAAUCAAAAUCUCCAUCUGUUGCAAUUGACAAAUCAGCUAUUGGAAGAAAUCAAAACAUCUCCUCCAAUAUAUGGUCCAUCUAUCGCAACAGAUAAUCUAUAUGUUGCAACAGAUGGUAAAUCUGUUGCGAUAGACUAGACUUUUUUUCUUUUUAUUCAUCUGCACGCAUGUGAUUACUUCUUGCUAAAAAUAUUUAUUUCUAUUUAGUUUUCCUAUUUAUAAAAUCAUGAGAAUUUUAUUAUAUUCUUUCAAGAUUAGCCCUAUUAUUAAAUGACUACAUAAAGUAUAUUAUUCACAUUUAUACUUUCAAAUCAUAAUUAAUAAGGCUAAUUUGGUAAAAUAAUCACCUGAUUUAUAUUUUUAUUAAUUGGUGUGCCAAGCCCAUAGGGCCCAACUAAUAACGGAGGAACUAUUAAAAAGAGGUGAAGACUUUUUAUCUAACACAUUCAAAACAGCUAAUGAAUCGAAUACUCCAUCUGUUGAAACUAAAACUAAUGAAUUAGCUGUUAGAAGAUAUCAUAACAUCUCCUCCAACUUAUAUUGUCCAUCUGUCGCAACAGAUAAUACAUAAGUUGCAUCAGAUAUCUUAUCUGUUGCAUAAACAAACCAUCUAUUGCAACAGAUGGUAAAUCUAUUUUAACAACAGUCUAUUGCACAUUCAAUCCAUCUAUCGCAACAGAUGCUAAAUUUGUUAAAAAUACUAGACGAUCUAUUGCAACAGCUCAAUAACAACGGCUUUAUCGAGUCUCAAACCGCUAUGAAAAGGUGAGAAAUAAUUAGUAUAAAAGAAAAAAUCACGACUUUUCACAGAAAAUAAAAUGUCACCAGUUUGAAUGUAAUUAAUACAAUGGAGCUAAACAGUUCUGCCUUUUGGCCUGACAUGUCCAGAUUAUAGGUCCCUCUUUAAUCUUCAUCCAACUCUACUUAUUUUUUGCAUUUUUUCCUUUCGUGUGACAUCUUCAACCACUUCUCUUCAAAGAGCAUAUUCCUUUCUCGUUGAGGUAAGUUUUUUUCUGGUGUAAAUUUACCAGUUGGUCGUAUACGUUGUAUUAUAUUUUCAACUUUUUUCUUUAUAUUUGUCAAUUCAUGUGUGUUCUAGAUAUGACUGAUCCUUUUUCGAACAUUGCUAUUCUACCCGACACAGUGCAGAAACUUCAAAGGCAGGUGAAUAACCUGCAGAGCGAGUUGGUCGCUGUGAGAGCGGCGAUGUUCAGAGAGAUACAGAGGCUGAUAAGAGCCCUGCUGCUGUGAGUUGAUUGGCCGGCUAUCAUUAAUGAUGAUAUUAAUAAUUAAAAUGUGCUUUCUCUUUUAGCGUAUGUAUUUUAAUUUUUCUAUAUCGGAUCUAUACCUAAUGUAUUUUAUUUUUCAUUUAAUGAAAAAUUUAUUUUUAGUCAAAUUUUGGCGUUUUAAUUAUUAUUUAAUUUUCAUUCUGUCUAUUUCUUCUAAUCUAAUACAUGUUAACAUGUCGACGGUUGGAGGCAAUGUUGAAUCCAGUAGCACUAGCAAUUUUGGCUUUUGAGUUCUUUCAACAGAUGGACCAUGUGUUGGAACCGAUUGGUCAUCUGUUGGGUUUCAACAGAUUAUCCAUCUGUUUCGACAGAUUUGUCAUCUGUUGGAGGAAAGCAUUCCAGUUUUUUGUGCAACUGUUGAGAAUAAUUGUGGUUUGCUGUAUUAUUUAGUUCAUGUUUUGCCUCUUUUUAUUGAUGCACAAGUUAUUUAAAAUAAAAGAUAUUUUAUAUAUAAUAAAUAAUAACAUUAGGUUCACAACAAUGAGUUAGAUAUAUAAAAGUCCACAACAAACAAACAAACAACAACACAAGUUUCUGCAAUUACAACGAUCAUGGUGGAUUAUGAUUCGGGCAUGUAGCUCUUUUGUGGUCAGCACACUUACAUUUGGAGCACUUGUUUCUUCUUGAUGAAAACGAUUCUCCAACUCCACGCCUCUUUGUAUAUGACUUUCUUCCUGAUUUGAUAGUGCUCGGGUCAAUAUAUGGAUGAGGUAUUAGUUUCCCCAUAAGCUCUACUGGAACAACCCAAGAUUCUUCGGGAGGCACCGGAGUAAUAUACCUACUAUAUGUCAUUUCAUAUUUUUCCAUCGAAUAAUAUUGAGAGGAGUGCUCGUAAACUUCUGGUCCAUAUUUAUGGCCGUAUUGAGCUCGAAGGGCUGCCAUAGCAUGUGGACAAGGUAUUUUGUCCAAGUAAAAAACUCUACACGUACAAGAUCUAGUUUAAAGAUCAGCCAUGGCAGCAUCACUAUGACCGAUGAUACAAAAUUUGUAAUCUGCUAUUUUAUGAGAGAAUAACCUACUCCCCAAACUGAUGUUCAUUGAUAUUUUCUUUUCGAUUUCGAGAAAAAAUUGGGUUCUUUUUUCUAGGCACUAGAACUGCACACGCCUUUCGUUAAAAAAAUUGCUAUACUUCUCGCUUAUUUUUUCAAACAUAGCCUUGAUGGGAAAUUCUCUUUCAUCGCCAAAUAAUGAAUUCACCGAUUCAGCUAUGUUUGAU
rnacentral:lncRNA from 1 species